rnacentral:lncRNA from 1 species
CGGAUGGGGAGAGUUAAAGAACAAGGGUGGAAGUGCUAAGGCAAAAAUCUUUGCUUCCUUUGAAGAUUUAGGAGAGGUGAGGAAUAUUUAGGUUUUGCAAGUGAUUUUGAAGGGUCUGGAAAACUGUUUUGUCCUAACUAACGUUCGUGCUAACUAAGGGAUUCCUACAGUCAGGAUGGCUCUCAUACCAGCUGUGUCAGGACCCUGACUUAUAAGUUGUGAUCACCGAAUGUACAUGCAUAGUGAUCCCACAGAUCAAUGCUCACUGAACACAUAGAAACUGAAUAAGAAGAGUCUUACAUCCAUUACGUACUGUUUAUGCAGAUAUGGCCUCCAUGACCAAGUCUUCAUAUAUAUUGAAGUGGAAAAUCUUCAUUAGUAACACGAACCCAUGCCAUCAGCCAUAACCCCGGAGGCAUUCUGACUGGUAAGCGUCCUAGCUCGCUCAAACAUCACCAAUACAUUCUUAACCAUAUCUUAUUCUCUCAUACCUGGUCAAUGAAAUAACCAGUGGCAAUCCAGUGAGUACUUUGAACAUACUCGCAAGCAACCCAUGUUGUGGAACAAGGCAAUAAUGAAGCAUGGUAUAACACUCGUAAGCAAUCUUUUGUGGGAAGCAGAUUUUUCCCGUGCGGGCAUGCAUCAUAAGGUAAGUGACAAUCAUGUAAACAUGUUACAUAUAUCAAUAUCAACUCAGGGUUGAACCUCCCAUGUUCACUCAUCAUGCCAAGUCGCUGACUUAGCUUAGCAUUCAUACCACCACCAAUCUCACGUAACCACCUUUAUCACACACACACACACACACACACUAGGUUUAUGCGAAAACUUCUGCACGUAGUUUAAGCAGCACCACCCAACAUUCCUUGAUAGUGGACACGACUAUUCGAAUAGUUUUACACUCAUCAGAGGUUGCACACUUUACCCACAAGACUCAAGAAACUUCCGUGUGAGGACAUGACUCGCGACAUUUCUCAUACCCGAGGUAAGUACCCGAACACCACCUUUCCCAUGACGAUACUAACAAAGAGACCACUCGUUGGUGACAAUCCCUCGUGAUGUACAUCACACGUGUAUUCCACGAGGGCACGCAACGGUGUGCCCGGUGUCUGUGAAAAGAGCCCAUCGUUGCCCUUUCUUGGCAUGACCCCGUCUCGAGAGUGACCACGUCACUCCCGCCACUAGUAAUGCAGGCUCUCUACACCGACCAUAGUAAUCAACAAAGCCCCGUCGCAUAAGGGGCAUUGUGGUGGUACAUGUAAGGUUGGGACGGUCAUCAAAUCUUAAAUCUGUUGCGUUUUUUUGAAACUACUCACACAACUGGCCUCGGUAUACCACUCCCUUAUGAAGUGGUUACCUAGCUCAACACAUCACUCUAGGUGUGACGCCCAAGAUGCGGUCCUAUCCUUAGUUUGGCGCGAGGGCUUCACGAGGGAUAGAAACGCAUCUCGUCGUUUUGCAAGAAUGGAUAUUGUUACAAGUACAUGUAGUGAAAAGAUGAGUAUAAGGAGUUGGCUUACACUCGCCACAAGCUACAUCAGAGUCACAUCAAUACAACAAUAUAUAGUCAUCAUGAAGACGAGCAGGGUCCGACUACCGACGAAAAACAAACGAUAAAAAAAUGACGUCCAUCCUUGCUAUCCCAGGCUGCCGACCUGGAACCCAUCCUAAAUCGAUGAUGAUGAAGAAGGAGAAACUCCAAAUAGCACAAUCAACGUGCUCACGUAAAAGUAACUCUUUACCUGUACGUGCAACUAGUGUUGUAGUAAUCUGUAAGCCAUAAGGGACUCAACAAACUCAUUUCCAAAGGUAUCAAGACUAGCAAAGCUUAACGGGUGAGAUAUGGUUAAGUGGUGAGGCUGCAACAAGCGACUAAGCAUUUAUUUGAGGUGGCUAACCUACGAGUACAAGAAUACAAGAGGGGGAAGAUCUACGCAUAGCGGAAGUGAACUAAUAAUGAUCAACUGAAUGACCCCGAACACCUAUUUAUGGCAGACAUAACCCAACCAUGUCCUCGAUCAGAGAAGGACCUCACGAAAGAGACAGUCAUGGUUACGCACUCAGUUGGUAAGUUUUAAUUAAGUUUACUUCAAGUUAUCUAGAACUAUAUGUUAAACAAAAUUUUCACGUUGCCACAUAACCACGGGCACGACUUUCCAAAAUAUUUAACCCUGCAGGGGUGCUCCAACUAGUCCAUCACAAACUACCACACGCUGCGCCGGAAUGACCUCGAUCAGGGAAAACCCGCGAUCUCCUCGGUUUCCUAUCGGAAAACCUCAACCUCGAGAUAACCUAAAGCAUCCUCAGAAUCCCUCGCACAAGACGCUCGAGAAAGGUAAAACAAGUCCAGCAAGGCCGCCCGGCGUGUCGACGAUCCCGAUAGGAGCCGCGUAUCUCGUUCUCAAGACACGACGGAUAAGCUAUGCCUACGGUGGCCUAAUAGAAAUCACCCAAGUUGCCCUGGGUUGGCCCCACACAGUGCUCUGUUUUGGACCAGCAACAUCAACAUUGGCCCUCCCUGUAUUAUGUUGAAUUACUCCUCAGGUUCAUGACGCCCUAUGUUACAGUAUUAUCGGGAUUAUUAUGUUGGGCAAAUAUACUACCAAUGUUGGGCAAGAUGAGUAUUAUCGGGAUUAUUAUGUUGGGCAAGAUGAGUUUUAUCCCAAAAAGAGAAUCUAGGGGUCCCCAUAAUAACCCCAAGCAUGUUAGGAGCGCUCAUUUAUGAAACAUAACACCGGUAGCCGAAACUAAGGCGACAAAAGUGGAACAAAACACCAGGCUAUAAAGCCAAGCCUUCCACCUUUUACCAAGUAUAUAGGUGCAUUGCAUCAAUUAGCAAUAAAAUAGUGAUAUAACAAGGAACCCAUGUUUUCACAUGGAAGCAACUGCACCUGCAACUAGCAACGCUAUCCAAUGGUUAAGCAAGCGGUAACACAGCCAAACAGUGGUUUGCUGGGUAGUGGAAAGGUUAGAGGUUUUCAUGGCAAUGUUGAGAGGUUGAUAUUUAACAGGUGGUAGGCAGCGAGACAUAGCAGAAGAACGAGACAACUAGCACGACAGUGGUAAUAAUGGUAUCUAGGGAAAUGAUCCUCUCCCNNNNNNNNNNNNNNNNNNNNNNNNNNNNNNNNNNNNNNNNNNNNNNNNNNNNNNNNNNNNNNNNNNNNNNNNNNNNNNNNNNNNNNNNNNNNNNNNNNNNGUCGUGUCCUGAGAACGAGGUACGCGACUCCUAUCGGGAUCGUCGACACGUCGGGUGGCCUUGCUGGAUUAGUUUUACCUUUGACGGAAUAUCUUAUGCAUCGGGAUUCCGGUGAUGCUUUUGGUAAUCUCAGAGUUGAGGUUUUCCAUUAGGGAAUCCGACGAGAUCGCGAGCUUCGUGAUUGAGGAUUUCUAUGCGGCUUGUGGUAAUUUGUGAUGGACUAGUUGGAGCACCCCUGCAGGGUUAAAUCUUUCGGAAAGCCAUGCCCGCGGUUAUGUGGCAACGUGAAAGCUUUGUUUAACACUGGUUCUAGAUAACUUGAAGUUAACUUAAUUAAAACUUGCCAACUAUGUGCGUAACCGUGACUCUCUCUUUCGUGAGUUCCUUCUCCGAUCGAGGACACGGUGGGGUUAUGCCUGACGUAGGUAGGUGUUCAAGAUCAUUCAUUUGAUCAUUCGUAGUUCACGUCCGUUAUGCGUAGAUCUUCCCCCUCUUGUUUCUUGUACUCGUAAGUUAGCCACCAAAUAUAUGCUUAGCCGCUGCUGCAACCUCACCACUUAACCAUGCCUCACCCAUUAAGCUUUGCUAGUCUUGAUACCUUUGGAAAUGAGAUUGCUGAGUCCCCUGUGGCUCACAGAUUACUACAACACCAGUUGCAGGUACAUGUAAAGGUUGCUUGACGCGAGCGCGUUGAUUGUUCAUUUGGAGCUGCUUCUUCUUCUUAUUUUUCUUCUUCUUCAUCGAUCUAGGAUGGAUUCCAGGCCGGCAGCCUGGGAUAGCAAGGAUGGACGUCGUUCUUAUUUUUCUCAUUUGUUUUCGUCCGUAGUCGGACCCUGCUCUUACUCUUGAUAUUUAUGUAAUGUACUGAUGUGACUCUGAUGUAGCUUGUGGCGAGUGUAAGCCAACUCUCUUUAUAUAUCUCUUCUUUUCAGUACAUGUACUUGUAACGAUAUCCAUUCUUGCGACACGACGAGAUGCGCUUCUAUCCCUGACGAGGCCCUCAUGCCAAAUUGAGGAUAGGGUCGCAUCUUGGGCGUGACAAGUUGGUAUCAGAGCAAGGACCGACCUAGGAGCCCCCUUGAUUGAUCGAACUUGGCCGAGUCGAGUCUAGUGAAAAACUGCUUUGAGCCUAGUUAUAUAUCGGAGAGUAGGAUUCUUUUUUCUCCUCUUCUAUGCUCUGGUGAGGAAUCUUGACGUAAUAAUUUAUUCUGCUCCUCUUCUCACUCAAAUUUUUUUUAGGAUCACGCGGAUAUUUCUGGAAUCUAUAUGAUGCUGAUGUGACGGAGUUCUGUCUUGGUGCCUCCUGUCUGACUUGAUUUUCUUCCGGGGAGUUGAGCUCCAGGGGAUCCUUGAGCACAUCGUUAUCAUUUAGAUUUGUUAGUAUCUCAGAACGAAGGAUGUUUGUAAUUGCUUCAAUACUAGUAGUGGCGAGAUAACCCCGAUGUCCCCAGUACUGGUGCAGAUUGUUCGGGAGUACUGCCAUACUUUGUAUCGUUGUGGUUACGAGGGUCUGUUGUAGAUGAAGGUCCGAGAUUCUGGUUGUGUGUUGACGGAUGUGAUACAGGUGACGGGUUAGUAUAGGAGUUGUGUGACUAUUACUCCUUGUAUCCGUGUACCAGAUUGCAUGACCAGAUAUUUCGGGAAUUCAUAGGUGGGAACUCAAGUAGUUACUUAUAGGACAUUCUUCCAACAAAUGCAUGAUGUUAGGUUGGGGUUCGACAUCUAGUGGAUUCGUUUGUUCACGGCCGACUUACAGCGGUACACGUUGUGUCUUAAAGAGUCCUUGUAGCUUGCUACGACUCGGGGACGCUUCGUAUGUCGGGUGCACUGCCUUGCACUUGAUGGCUACUGUAAGGAUCGAGCCCGUGCGAUCCUGUCCAUGAAAAUAUCGGACGAAAUCUUUCUCAUGAGUUUGUUCUGGCUAAUUGCAAGCCGCAUCCUUGUUUUUGUUGAAUAUGGUAAUUCAAGUUGCUUCGAUGUCAAGUGGUGAUUUCAGAUCUUUCCUAAUCUGUGUUCUCACAUUUUUAUGGGAAUGCAAAUUCUUUGCUCAAUCAGAUCGUCGUAUCAAUUCCAUUUAACCGGUGUGUUUCUCUCCAAGUGGAUUCAAUCCUCGCUAUUUUUUUUGCAAGAUCAGUCUCUCUUUUAUGCCGGAGUUCAUCUCAUCUGUUCCAAGUCGUCUUUGUUUUUCCCCGCCCUCCCACCCUUUUUCUCAGUGAUUCAAUUUUCAUUAAGAGUUUUCUUUUCAUGGUGCUUCCGCUGUCUGUUCUUUCUCUCUUACCCGGUGAAUUUAAUUCAGUUGUCCGUGUUCAUCAUAUCCUUUUCAUCCUUGUAAUUCUUUCCUAUGUUGGAAAUUUUUAUCAGUCUAUCUUGUUUAUUCAGUUAUCUCUAUUCUAUCCGGUGUGUUGAAGACAUCUCAGAGUUUCUUGUUUCAGAUCUUUCAUUAUUUCGAGGUUCUAACCUCAUCUAGUUCUCUUCAUACCGGUGCAAUAUCAAUCUUUCCAGAAUCUUUCUAACGGUGGUUUCUUUGAGUGGGCCCAUAACCCACAGGUUUUUCCAGGAUCUUGUCUAGCUCUUGUAAUCUUUCCCGGAGAUCUCUAAUUCUUUCAACUAUGACGUACGUAUGAAUUUCAUCAGUCAUAUCCCCUCGUCAAGAUCUAUUGGAAUUAAUUCUCAUAUUGGCUCAACCUUGCAUUUUUCUUUAUUCCGGAGUGUCUCAGUAUUCUUGGUGAUGUUCUUCUCGUCAUUCUCUCCUUUGAAGAUUCGAAGGAGUGUUUCUCUCAGUCUUGUUCCAUUUUUGUGAAGAUUGUCAUCUCAGCUUCGUGUUAUCCUCUCAUUUGUUCCAAUCAUGAGUAAUCCAUUUCUCGCUAUCCGGUGCUUCUCUGAGUUGUUUUUAUUCUCGAUCCUCCGAAGGACAUCACUCGAGAAGAUUCUUCGUUCUCAUCUUUCAGCUUUCAUCCUCGAUUCUUCUCAACUGUUGUCUCUUCGUUUGUCUCUCGAUUAUUCCGGUGCUUUGUUCAAAGUUUUCUCUCAGGCGGCUAUUGAUCUCUUCAUUCUCAUAUAUCUCCAUUCAUGCAUGAUUGCCUCAUUUGUCCCAAUUCUUGCCGGUGGUUGUUUCAAGACUUCUUAAGUUUGGCUUUAUCUAUCUCUCUGUAAUCUUUUCAAGAGGAAUAAGUUGUAUGCUAAAUCCGUUGCUUGUCAUCAAUUUAAUUUGAUGAAGGAUGAGCUUAAUAUAAUUCUUAUUCUUGUUCUUCCUUCUUCCAAGAGAUUUCAAUUCUUCUUCCGGAGUGGCGCAUGAUAUCAAUUCUUUUCUCAAGUGCUUAUCUUUCUUUUCCGGAGUUCUAAGUUUUCUCAAGUAUCUCUUUGUGAGGCUUCAUCUAAAUCUUGGUAAGGUCAUAAUCUUAUUCUUUUCUACCUUGUUAUCUUUGCAUCGUUCAUUUGUAUACGGAGGUCCUUCUUGGUGGUGCAUCAAGGUUUUAAUCCUUUAUCAAAUGUUCUUCAAGAUUCUUGUUGGAGAACCUUAAGUAUCAUUUCUCUUGCAUUUAUAUGUGCAAUUGUUCUUACUUUAUCCUUUGACGUGGUAUUAUAACAUUCUUGUUAGUGUAGGAGUCUCGAAGGGAAUUUAUUUCAAGAAUGAGAUAAUUAAACCCACCAAAUUCUUUGAUCAUGAGAUAUUUUAACCCAUGAUUUCUUCAUUGAGCUAUCUUGGUUUGGAUUUCACCUAAAGCCUUUCCUAUGGAUUGUUGCUAUCAUGGUGCUUGUCAUUAAUCCAAGUUCUCGUUGUAUCCUCUUGGUGUAAGAUUUGUUCAUAUCUUGUUUCUCCCAAUCAAUCCUUGUUUCUUUUAGUGGUUGGUUGUCACCUCAUAUUUGUUGAGAUGAUUUUCAUAAGCCCACUACUAUCUUGUUCUUUUCGUUGUUGGUUUUCCAACUACUCCGUCUAUUCUUCUAUCCAGAGGCUCUUCAAUUCUAUUGUGAUGAUAGUUGUCAUUCCUUUCUUCAUUCUCUUCUUCCGCUUGAGCUAGUUCCUAUUCUAUUGUUCCGGAGGCUUUGUGUUAUUGCUCUUUUGGGUCAAUCUUGUUGUUCUACCAAGAUCAUGGUGUUCCCUUGCUCUAUUUAGUUGUUUGUUAUGAAUAUUGUCUAUUUCUCUCUUCUUAUCGAAUUUUUGUCCCACUUUCCUACCGAAGUGUUGCCGAAAUUUUCCGUGAAUUCUUGCUUGUUUCUCAUAUCAUUCCUCAGCUCCUUGCAACCUUCAAGGAUCGUUGGUUUCACUCGUUUGUCAAGAAGCGACUAAGUUUUACCUUUUGCUUUUCUCAUCCUCUCCCCCUUUCAUUCUUGGAUCUCGGGGCGAGAUCUUCUUGUAGUGUAGGAGAGUUGUGACAGCCCGAUGCCGACGCCCCAGAAGAUCCCCCUUUCUUUCCGUUUCCGUCGUGUGGUUAUUUUUUUCGUUUGUUGCAUCGUCAUUUAGUUUGCAUCAUCGCAUCAUGCAUGGCAUCACGUCAUCGGUGUUUUGUCGGUGUUGCUUGUUGCCUGUUGUUGGGUGUUAGAGNNNNNNNNNNNNNNNNNNNNNNNNNNNNNNNNNNNNNNNNNNNNNNNNNNNNNNNNNNNNNNNNUGUGACGCCCUCGGCUUAAUCGUACGCUAAUCAUACACGCAAAUGCGUACGAUCAAACCCAAGGACUCACGGGGAGAUAUCACAACACAACUCUAGACACAAAUAAAAUAACAUCAGCUCCAUAUUACAAGCCAGGGGCCUCGAGGGCUAGAAUACGAAAGCUCGAUAAGCACACGAGUCAGCGGAAGCAACAAAUAUCUGAGUACAGACAUAAAACAACAUGGGGGUGCCUUAGAGAAGGCUAGCACAAAAGAUACAACGAUCGAACGAGGCGAGGCCUCCUGCCUGGGAACCUCCUAACUACUCCUGAUCAUCAGCGGCCUCCACGUAGUAGUAGGCACCGUCGGGGUAGCAGUCGUCGGUGGCGGGGACCUCCAUCUCCUGGGCUUCAUCAUCUGGUCGCAGCAACCGGACCAAGGGAACAAGGGGGGAGCAAAGCAGCGGUGAGUACUCAUCCAAAGUACUCGCAAGUCUUACAUCAGAACUAUUCUAAUAAUGCAUCAGUAUCAAAGAAGGGGGUUAUAUGUGGACUGACUGCAGCAAUGCGAGAAAAGAGAGAGAAUGCCUAGUCCUAUCGAAGACUAGCAUCUUCAGGGUCUUGCAGCAAUAGACGAGAGUAGAACAGGGGGGUAACACAUUAAUAGUCAUAUUGUUGCAGCAAUAUUAAAGUGAGGUCACGCCUGAAGAUCCUCCCUCGACUCCCUGCGAGGAAGCAAUCCCGAGGCAAACUAAUUCCAGUUAAGUAACAAUUGUAGUUGUAUAAGAUCGGGGCACAACUCCAAGUCGUCCUGUAACCGUGGACACGGCUAUCCGAAUAGUUAAUUUUCAUCCCUGCAGGGGUGCACCACAUGUCCCGUCACGCUCGAUAACACUCUGGCCGGACAUACUUUUCUGGGUCCUGCCCGGCCUCGGAAUAUCGACACGUCGCAGCCCCACCUAAGACUAAUCAGAGAGGCCAGCCCGCCGGUCUAAAUCCUAAGCACAAAGGGUUCAUGGGCCCAGUUCCCCUUCACGCUCCUGCACGUGGCGUGGGCGGCCGACGUCAGUCCUAGCAUCCCUUAAUCACAAGCGCGAUGCAUCUCGGGACCACUCGGGUGCGCGCCGCUACACUGCUGGCAUCUGAAAAGCUUCGGCUGAUACCGCGACGUCGAGUACCCAUAAUUCUUCCCGCGUAGCCGGUUAGUGCGAAAAGGUCUCCGACCAACCCAGAUCAAAUACCCAAAUCCAUUAGCAUUUUAAUUAGGCCAACAACACAGUCUCGCGGGAAUCCACCCGUCUUACAACUAAUCACCAAUGAUCCCAGUAACAUGGUCGAGUAACUGUGUGGUUGUAACAUCGGGGGAAUCCGAGGUAUCACCCUCGUUGGAUUCCGAACGACGUACCCGGCAAGGUGGGCUUAGAGGAAUCACCCUCGGGGGUCCCACACUCGCGGGGUGGCACGACAGAGACGUCAUCGGGAAUGGUGAAAGAGGAAUCACCCUCGAUAACCACGACCGACUAGCUAUACUACAGAGAUAUCAUCAGGAGUACUUAGCGAGGUGUCACCCUCGGUACCCGAUAGUAUCCCUGUAGCGUCGUACAACGAAGGGGGGUGGACGUGCUGUGUCGGGUCUGGCUCGUCGAUCAGAGAUCGAGAUUUGGAAACAAGCGGGGCAACUGAUCUACGGGGUCAGAGGGGAUGACUGCUCCACCUAUACUAAGCAUAUUAAAGGUACAUGACUGAAAGUAGCAGUUCAUCAAAAAACAGGCUAUGCAUCAGAUAUAGGAGCUAACUACAACAGUAGCAAAAUACUAAUGCAAGCAGUAGGAAGAAAGACAUAGGCGAUAUAGGAAUGAUCAAGGGGAGUUUGCUUGCCUUGCUGCUCUGCGGCAAUGGACUGAUCAGCAGGGUCGUAGAUGUACCCGGCAGCAGCGUCAGUCUCGGGGUCUACCGGUAAGAAGAGGGGGAAGGAACAAUAAAUAAUAGCACCGAUGCAACACAAAGCAUGACAUGGAAAUAUGCAGGCUAGACAUGAGCUAACGGAGCAACAUCCGUCAUAGACGGGUCGGAAGAAUAUCUAACGAUAUUUUCCGGGUCUCGGGCUACUACCGGUUAUACUGGAAACGAUGGAAAAGUUCUAUGCUUGCUAUGCUAGGGACGCGUGACAGACGAACGGGCCGUGGAUCCGGGUUCGUCUCGCUUUGCUGAUCAACUUUCAUGUUGAAAAUAUUUUGAUCUGACUUACGGAUUAUUUAAUAUUAAUUUUUAAAGUUUUAUUAAUUAUUUAAGAAUUAAAAACAGAUUUAAAAGAUUUAGUAAAAUCCUAUUAUGACAUCAUCGCGAUGUCAGGCUGACAUCACAUUUGACCGGUCAACUGACCAGCGGGUCCCGAACGUCAUAGGCACAAGUUUUAUUUAAGAUUAAAUAUUUAUUAAUCAGAUUAAUUCAACGAGGGACCCACGUGUCAUACUCUAAUUAUGUUAAUUAAUUAUUUUAACUAAAUAUCUAUUUAUUUAUUUAUUUAAGAAAAACAUUAUUUUUAAUUAUCGCGCGGGGCCUCCCUGUCAUUGACAGCGGUGCAUUGGCCCCACCGGUAAGUGGCUUAAGGUUAUUUUCACAUUUAUUUUUAUUAGAUACCUAACCGUUCAAAUACCGUAUUCCUCUAAUUAUCCAAAUACACAAAUACAUACAUCACAUCUCAUACAUACAUACAUACAUACGCAUCUAAUACACCAUUUAUUCUUUUUCAUUUAUCUUUUCUCUCACAACACUCAUCUCUCUCUCUCUGUUAACAGAGACAGAGAAGUUCUUUUGCUACUCCACCUAGAAGAACACCAACUUCGAAUCCUUCUACCGGAGUCCACCGUCGACGGAACGAGGCCCCGUUUGCCGGAACGGAACCGUGACGUCGAGGAGAACGGUAAGGUGGGAGGAGCCCGAGGAGGGGCUCACCGACGGUGACGUGACGGCCCGGUGAAGCCGGAGUUCGCACGUAGUUGACGGUGGAGACGGACGUGGAGGCGGUGCCGGUGCCGACGAGGGGGAGCCGGUGAGGAGGGCCCCCCGGAGAUGGAGCCGCCGAUGGUGAGGGGCUCGGCCGGCGUGGUGAGGGGGCCGAGAGAGGCCGGCCGAGGUGGAGGCCGAGGGAGCCGGGGCCCCCUGCCGGCGGGGGUGGAGGCCGAGGUGGCCGGCGUGGUGGAGGGGGGGCCGCCGGGUUGGGUGCUAGGGUUUGGGGGUGGGGCGUGGGAGGUGGCCGGCUGGGCCCCUUUUGGCCCAGCUGGGCCGGCUGGGGGGGGGGCUUUCUCCUUUUUUUUUUNNNNNNNNNNNNNNNNNNNNNNNNNNNNNNNNNNNNNNNNNNNNNNNNNNNNNNNNNNNNNNNNNNNNNNNNNNNNNNNNNNNNNNNNNNNNNNNNNNNNNNNNNNNNNNNNNNNNNNNNNNNNNNNNNNNNNNNNNNNNNNNNNNNNNNNNNNNNNNNNNNNNNNNNNNNNNNNNNNNNNNNNNNNNNNNNNNNNNNNNNNNNNNNNNNNNNNNNNNNNNNNNNNNNNNNNNNNNNNNNNNNNNNNNNNNNNNNNNNNNNNNNNNNNNNNNNNNNNNNNNNNNNNNNNNNNNNNNNNNNNNNNNNNNNNNNNNNNNNNNNNNNNNNNNNNNNNNNNNNNNNNNNNNNNNNNNNNNNNNNNNNNNNNNNNNNNNNNNNNNNNNNNNNNNNNNNNNNNUUCUUUCUUUUAUCAUUACUAUUUCUUCAAUACUUUCCUCUUAUAUGUAUAUCCUUUUAAUACUUGUAAUGAACCGAUAAGGUGCUUCCCAUUGCUUUCAAAUCAUCGAUCCGGACAGACGCGAAACCACGCGGGUCUGAGAUGGGAAUUCGAUGACGUGGCAUCAUUAGCGGUGAUCACUGUAGCUUAAUUACAAUUACUACUGUAGCAAAANNNNNNNNNNNNNNNNNNNNNNNNNNNNNNNNNNNNNNNNNNNNNNNNNNNNNNNNNNNNNNNNNNNNNNNNNNNNNNNNNNNNNNNNNNNNNNNNNNNNNNNNNNNNNNNNNNNNNNNNNNNNNNNNNNNNNNNNNNNNNNNNNNNNNNNNNNNNNNNNNNNNNNNNNNNNNNNNNNNNNNNNNNNNNNNNNNNNNNNNNNNNNNNNNNNNNNNNNNNNNNNNNNNNNNNNNNNNNNNNNNNNNNNNNNNNNNNNNNNNNNNNNNNNNNNNNNNNNNNNNNNNNNNNNNNNNNNNNNNNNNNNNNNNNNNNNNNNNNNNNNNAUUACUACUGUAGCAAAAGUCGAGGAUGUCACAAUUCUCCCCUACUAACAAGAAUUCUCGUCCCGAGAAUUAAGAGGUAGAGGGAAAGAGCCCGGGGUAUUCAUCACGAAGAUGAUCCUCGCGUUCCCAAGUGGCUUCAUCUUCAGAGUGAUUUGACCACUGCACCUUAAGGAACUUAGUGACCUUGCGACGAGUCUUACGUUCAGCUUGGUCGAGAAUGCGGACCGGAUGCUCUUUAUAAGAGAGGUCUUGUUGUAGCUCAAGCAUAUCGUGAUCCACUGCUCGAAUAGGGUCCUUGAAGCAGCGACGGAGCUGAGAAACAUGGAAGACAUCGUGAACCUGAGAAAGGUUCGCCGGCAGUUCCAAUUGAUAAGCCACUCUUCCACGCCUUUCAAGAACAGUGAAAGGACCAAUAUAACGAGGAGCUAACUUGCCCUUGAUUCCGAAACGGUGUGCACCUCUCAUUGGUGUGACACGAAGAUAAGCCUUUUCGCCAGGUUGAUAGACCAUAUCUUGAUGAUGACGGUCAUACUGACUCUUCUGACGAGACUGAGCAGCCUUCAGAUUCUCAUGAAUAAUGCGGACUUGAUCUUCGGCAUGUUGAAUAAUAUCCGGACCGAAGAGUGAUCUUUCCCCAGUUUCUGACCAAUUCAGAGGAGUUCGACACCUUCGCCCAUACAAUACUUCGAAAGGGGCCAUCUUCAGGCUAGCUUGAUAGCUAUUGUUGUAAGAGAACUCGGCAUACGGGAGAGAUUCCUCCCAUUUUUACCGAAAGAAAUGACACAAGCUCGAAGCAUGUCUUCGAGAAUUUGGUUGACUCGUUCAACUUGUCCCUGGGAUUGAGGAUGAAAUGCAGUGCUGAAGGACAGAUGAGUCCCCAUAGCCUUCUGAAAACUUUCCCAGAAUUUUGAAGUAAACAAGCUGCCACGGUCCGAACUGAUCACCAACGGAAUACCGUGCAGUGAAACAACUCUUGACAUAUAAAGAUCUGCCAGCUGACUAGCAUUAAUCGUUUCUUUGACGGCCAGAAAAUGUGCAACUUUGGACAGUCGAUCAAUGACGACAAGAAUAGCAUCAUUACCUUUCUGAGACCUGGGAAAACCAGUGACGAAGUCCAUUUCAACGUGAUCCCAUUUCCACUCGGGAAUAGAGAUAGGUUGCAGAGUUCCAGCAGGCUUUUGGUGUUCUGCUUUGAUACGCCGGCAUAUAUCACAUUCUGCCACAUAGCGUGCAAUGUCUUGUUUCAUAUUGGGCCACCAGAAUCUUUGCCGGAUGUCUUGGUACAUCUUGGUACUACCCGGGUGAAUAGACAAUGGUGUGUCAUGAGCUUCUUCCAUCACCUUCCCAGUCAUCCUGAGAUUUUCCUUCUUAUUUGGGACGAAUAGGCGACCCUUGAAAUACAAGGCGCCACCUUCAUCAACAGUGAAAAAGGAGGGUUUACCCUUUGCAAUAUAGCUCUUAAUCCUGUCGACAUCAUCGUCAAAGUUCUGUAUAUUCUUUAUGGAGCUCACAAGAUCUGGUUCAACCACUAGGUUACUGAGGGAACCCUGAUUAACAACACGAAGGUUCAUCUUUUGAUACUCUUCAGGAGGCGGGACAAGGUAACCCUGAGGAACAAUGUGGAGGUUCAGCUUACGGAAUUCCUCUUGCAGACGAUCGUGAACCUGAUGAACCUGGAGGUGGUUGCAGUAUGACUUGCGACUUAAGGCAUCAGCCAUUACAUUAGCCUUGCCAGGGGUAUAUGAUAUACUACAGUCAAAAUCUGCUAUACGCUCCAUCCAUCUUUGUUGACGCAGGUUCAGCUCCGGUUGAGUGAACAAGUACUUCAAACUUUGAUGGUCGGUGUAGAUUUCACAGCGGUUACCGACAAGGUAUUGUCGCCAUUCCUUCAAUGCAUGAAUGACUGCGGCAAGCUCGAGAUCAUGAACUGGGUAGUUCUCUUCAUGAGCACGCAGUUGACGUGAAGCAUAAGCGAUCACCUUGCGAUCCUGCAUUAGGACACAACCUAUUCCUUGACGAGAAGCAUCACAGUAUAUGACGAAAUCCCUUUUCGUAUCUGGAGGAGCAAGUACUGGAGCGGACGUCAGCUUGUCCUUGAGUGCCUGGAAACUUUCCUGACAUUUAUCAGUCCAUUCAUACUUAACACCUUUGUGAAGAAGGUUGGUUAAGGGCUUCGCAAUCUUGGAGAAGUUCUCGACGAAUCGACGGCAAUAGCUGGCGAGUCCGAGAAAACUUCUGACUUGCUUGACAUUCUCCGGGGGAGUCCAAUCAAGAAUAGCUUGAAUUCGUUCGGGGUUGACCGCAAUACCAUCCUUGGAAAUCACAUGACCAAGGUAAGUCACUUCGUCUAGCCAGAACUCACAUUUGGAAUACUUCGCAUAGAGUUUAUGCUCCCGAAGCUUAUCCAGUACAAGACGAAGAUGUUCAACAUGCUCUUCUUUGUUCUUCGAAAACACCAGAAUAUCAUCCAGAUAUACCACGACAAAUUUGUCGAGGUAGUCCAUGAAUAUAUAAUUCAUCAGUCGAGAGAAGGUUGCCGGUGCAUUGGUUAAGCCGAAGGACAUGACGGUGUACUCGUAUGAUCCAUAUCGAGUAACAAAGGCGGUCUUUGGAAUAUCCUCCUUGCGAACACGGAUCUGGUGGUAUCCCAAUCUCAAGUCGAGCUUAGAGAAAACGGUGGAACCAGCAAGUUGAUCAUACAAAUCAUUUAUCCGAGGGAGAGGAUAUUUGUUUUGAAUAGUGGCCUGGUUGAUAGGACGAUAGUCUUGAACCAAUCGAUUUGUCCCAUCCUUCUUCUUAACAAAGAGAGAAGGUGCUCCCCAAGCAGAGGAACUCGGACGGAUGAAACCCAGACGGAGCGAGUUGUCAAUUUCUUGCUUAAGUUCAAGGAGUUCAUGUGGUGGCAUUUUAUAAGGACGCUUGGCAAUAGGAGUGGUACCGGGUACCAAGUCAAUGACAAACUCGACAGCUCGAGCAGGGGGAAUCCCCGGAAGUUCUUCUGGAAAGACAUCUUGAAAUUCUCGGACCACUGGAAUGUUUUCAAUCCCUUCAAGAGGCGACGCAUUUAAUGCAUUCAAGGCAUACAGCCGUGCCUCAGCAUUACGGACGAGAUGAGCAUGGUAGCUUACUAGUUCAUCUGAAGGGUGUAGGAGGUGGACGGUCUUGGUGGCACAAACGAUCGAUGCCGUAUGAGCUUUCAACCAGUCCAUCCCCAAUAUGAGAUCAAUGUUGGAUGACUUUAGUAGGAUGGGGUUGGCAAGGAAUUCUAAUCCUUCAAUUUCAACUGGAACAUGGGGGCAAACCACAGAGGUUCGACAUUCGCCCCCAGGGGUGUUUACCACUAUCGGGAUGUUCAUCUCUUCGCUCCUAAUGUCAUGCAUGUAUGCAAAAUUUUCCGACAUAAAGGAAUGCGAUGCUCCUGUAUCAAACAAUACAGAAGCAGGUACUGAGUUAACGAGAAGUGUACCCAUCACGGUAGCAGGCUGGUCUUGAGCUUGACCCAUAUCAAUGUUGUUGGCCUGACCACGAACAUAAGCAGGCUUAGUGUUGAAGUUGCGGUUCUGGUUGUUGCCACGGCCAGUUGCGGGAAGUGCCAGCUGAUUCUGAUUCUGCCUGCAGUCUCUAGCACGGUGACCUGGACGGCCACACUUGAAGCACAGCCCGUCCUCAGGACGGGAUGGAGGAACUCGAGGUGGUGGAGCUGGAAGCCUCGGCUGCCUAGGUGGUGGAGGAGGCAGGCGAGGUGCAGCAUAGGACGGCCUCGGAGUAGGAGCAGGUGCAUGGUACAUGUUGUUGGGAAUCCAGAUCUUCCGCUUCUGUGCAGAUGAGCCCGAAGAUGAGCCCAUGUCACGGUUGCGCUUGCUGCUAUCUUUGUAUUCCUACAGACCAGUCUCAACCUGAAUAGCCUUGUUCACGAGGGUGGCGAAAUCAGCAUAGUCCUGAACGAGGAGUGUCAGCUUGAUAUCAGGGUGGAGGCCUUCACGGAACUUCUCCUGCCUGCGUGCAUCAGUCGCAAUGUCUUCUUCAGCAUAGCGAGAUAAUUCCAGAAAUUCCCGCUGAUAAGCAUCCACAGUCUUGUUGCCCUGGACUAAGUUGCGGAACUCACGCUUCUUCCGGUCCAUGAUUCCCUGGGGAAUGUAUCGAGCACGGAAAGCAGCCUUGAACUCUUCCCAAGUGAUGAUAGCUCCAACGGGCUGAGAGCGCCUGUGGCUGUCCCACCAUUGAGCAGCGGGACCCUUCAGAAAGUAUGCGGCAAAGUUGACAUAGCUCGCCAGGGGCACAUUGGCAGACUCUAGCUCAUAAGAAAUGUCACGGAGCCAGUCAUCAGCAUCUAGAGGCUGAGUUGAGCUGCGGUAGAUCACAGGGUUGAGACGGCAGAAGUCUUGCAGUGUCACGCCUUGUGGUUGGUUCAUGUUCGGCCUUUGGAACUGAUCCAUGAGCCCUUGCAUAAACUGGCGGUUCAGCUCAAACUGUUGGAUCAUCCCCGCCAUAUACUCAGGAGGCGGGGGUGGUGCAUCGUUGGCACGGCCACGCGGGCGGCCAGCUGGUCUAACCAUCCUGUUAAAUAUUUAGCAGCGGUAGUUUAGCUUAAAGUAAUCGGAAGGCAUCGCACGCAUUCAUGAAGUAAUCAAGUAUAAUGAAAGGGAAAUGCGAUAGAUACUCCAUAGUAGUUGAGUUCGACAUACAGACCCAUACAUAAGUUCGAUUACAGACUAACGAUUAAAAAAACUCGAAAUUUGGCGAUAGCCCGGACGCAUUUGACGAUACCCUGGACUCACUAGGCGGCGCGCAGGCACGCGAUGGAAGAGUACCACAACGAGAUGUAGCGAUAAGACUACAUCAACGUCGGAGAGGACGAACGAAUCCUGGUAGCUGGCGGUGAUAGAAGGUAGGGACAGGACCCUGUGUCCCGUUGUGACUCUGGUGACGGUACCGCAUCCAGUCGAGGAGCUGAGGUCCAAGUGCAGGGGUUCUACCCCCAACAUCUGUCCACUCGAGAGCUGAUGGUAGCUCUGUCCUGCUCGGCUCGCGGAUGCGCAAAGGGGGAACCCUCGGACAGUGUGAUGGCUGCAGCUCUGUCAAUGCGUCGUAAAGACGAGUGCGCGUAGCAUACAACUCCACAGUCAGAGCUCGGAAAGCACGAUCCAUUGCCUCAGUGUACUGCACCAAAAUCCGCGCGUCGUACCGACGCGUCACGUAGGGGGCGCAGACAGCGACGUAGGAACGGUCGUUGCGCUCCCGAACGUCAGAAGCGUAGGCAGUGAGAUCAGACCCAGUCUCAUCCCCAGCAGGAGCAUGCGGGAUGUAUCUGAAAGGGCUCUCCUCCAGGUGAGGGUACGCUCCACGGAGACGGGUGAUGGCGAUGUAGGCCGCAUCAUGGACGGCCAUCUCGACCGACACUCCAAUACCACAGAACACGUGGCGCUCGAGGGUCUCGCCGCCCCUCUGGUCGAAGAUGCGAACCUCAGCCUGGUACUGGCACUGGUUGUACUCGCGGAAAUCCUCGAACACGGUGUACUCGGGGUACCAGCGAUAUCCCAGCCUGGUCAGGAGGUCGACCAAAAUGGCCGGGAACCCAGUCGUCUCGGUGGCCUGUGUCAGGCGCACGUGCUGUCUUGCGGGACGCAUCUGAAAAUAAGAUUGACGAAUGUCAAUGACAGUGUGUGUAAUACAUAUUCAGGAGAAAAAGAGUAGAUAGUCCAGCGCUCCGGAUUGAUGUGAUUCGAGAACCUAAUGUUAGAGUUAGUAAAACCUUUGACCCGAAAGAGAAGAGAAAGUAGAGCCCAGAGUAUAGAAAAGGAGUAAAAGAUACUAAUACCACCCAAUUGAGAUGUGGGCCCAUAACCCACAACAUCAGUGUUAGUAAAGUUUUUCAAACACUAGACUCAACUUCGGCCAAGGAGUUGGAAAGGGGGGCUACCUACAGGCAGUUGGCUCUGAUACCAACUUGUGACGCCCUCGGCUUANNNNNNNNNNNNNNNNNNNNNNNNNNNNNNNNNNNNNNNNNNNNNNNNNNNNNNNNNNNNNNNNNNNNNNNNNNNNNNNNNNNNNNNNNNNNNNNNNNNNAAUCUGAGCAUGAUUAGUAUAUUGAUUGUCAUCCUUUGCGUGGCGGUCGGGAUCGCGCGAUGGUUUAUACCUACCAACCCUUCCCCUAGGACUAUGCGUUGAAUGCUUUGUUUCGAUUACUAAUAAAACUUUUGCAACAAGUAUAUGAGUUCUUCAUGACUAAUGUUGAGUCCAUGGUUUAGAUGCACUUUCACCUGCCACCAUCACUAUCUUCUUAGUGCCGUGCAACUUUCGCCGGUGCACAAAACCCACCAUUAGCCUCCCUAAAAACAGCCACCAUACCUACCUACUAUGGCUUUUUCAAAGUCAUUCCGAGAUAUAUUGCCAUGCAACUACCACCAUGACAUGUGCCACCACGUCUACAUUGCCAUUGCAUGAUCGUAAGAUAGCUAGCAUGAUGUUUCCAUUAAUGUAUAUGCCAUGCUAGAUCAUUGUCACGGUACACUACCGAAGGCAUUCCAUAUAGUCAUAGUUGCUCUAAAUUUUGAGUUGAAAGUGUGAUGAUCAUCAUUAAUGGAGCAUUGUCCCAUGUGAGUAAAUAAAAGAGGCCAAAUAAGGCCACCAAAAAAAAGAGGCCAAAGAGCCCACAAAAAAAUGAGAGAAAAAGAGAGAAGGAACAAUGCUACCACUUUUUCCACACUUGUGCAUAUUAAGCACCAUGAUCUUCAUGAUUGUGAGUCUCUCAUUUUGUCACCACCAUAUAGCUAGUGGGAAAUUUUCAUUAUAUCACUUGGCUUGUAUAUUCCAAUGAUAGGCUUCAUCAAAAUUGCCUUAGGUCUUCGUGAGCAAGCAAGUUGGAUGCACACCCACUAGUUUUCUUUAAGAGCUUUCACAUACUCUUAGCUCUAGUGCAUCAUUUGUAUGGCAAUCCCUACUCAUUCACAUUGAUAUCUAUUGAUGAGCAUCUCCACAGCUCAUUGAUAUGCCUAGUUAAUGUGACUAUCUUCUCCUUUUUUGUCUUGCAACAUCCACCAUACUCCACACCAUCUAUAGUGAUAUAACCAUGGCUCAUGCUCAUGUAUUGCGUGAGAGUUGAAAAGGUUUGAGAAAGUAAAGGUGUGAAACAAUUACUUGGCCAAUACCGGGGUUGUGCAUGAUUUAAAUUCAUUGUGCAAUGAUGACAGAGCAUAGCCAGACUAUAUGCUUUUGUAGGGAUAACUUUCUUUUGGCCUUGUUAUUUUGAAAGUUCAUGAUUACCUUGCUAGUUUGCUUGAAUUAUUAUUGUUUCCACGUCAAUAGCAAACUAUUGUUUUGAAUCUAAUGGAUCUGAACAUUCACGUCAUAUAAGAGGAGUUACAAAGGACAUCUAUGCUAGGUAGCAUGUAAGAAUAAAAAAUUCAUUCUUUAUCACUUCCCUACUCGAGGACGAGCAGGAGUUAAGCUUGGGGAUGCUUGAUACGUCUCAAACGUAUCUAUAAUUUUUGAUGGUUUCACACUGUUAUCUUGUCAUCUUUGGAUGUUUUAUGUACCUUUUAUAUCUUUUUCGGGACUAACUUAUUAAUUCAGUGCCAAGUGCCAGUUCCUGUUUUUUUCUGUGUUUUUGGCUCUUUUCAGAUUUGAUUUUGGAACAGAGUCCAAACGGAAUAAAAUCCCCGAAAUGAUUUUUUCCCGAACGGAAGAAGAUCAGGGGGCCUGUGGGCCAAUCCAGGAGGGCUCCUGGGAGCCCACAAGCCCCCACUCCGCCACCAGGGGGGAGGCGGCGGUGGCAGGGCUUGUGGCCUCCCUGGCCACCCCCUGACCUAGAUAUUUGGCCUAUAUAUUCCCUAAAAUACAGCAAAAAAUCAGGGGAGCCUCGAAAAUACUUUUCCGCCGCCGCAAGCUUCCGUUUCCGCGAUAUCUCAUCUGGAGACCCUUCCCGGCACCCUGCCGGAGGGGACUUUGGAGUUGGAGGGCUUCUUCUUCAUCAUCAUCGCCCCUCNNNNNNNNNNNNNNNNNNNNNNNNNNNNNNNNNNNNNNNNNNNNNNNNNNNNNNNNNNNNNNNNNNNNNNNNNNNNNNNNNNNNNNNNNNNNNNNNNNNNACGGCGACAGGGAUGGCGAGCCCACGGCGGCGCGGCGAGGAGAGGAGGGAGACCUACAGGCGGGCGGCGAGGACGGGAGCCAGGGCGACGUCGAGCAUCGGCGAGCACGACGGUGACCUAGGGGACGACGGCGAGCUGCUGGCACGCAGGGACGCUUGCGGGGAGCUGCUGCAGGCGGGCACUGACAGGGGCUCGCGCGGGAGACGGGCGACGGGGAGAGGCCAUGGCGAGCGGGGCCGGCAGGGCGCGGCGACCGGCGCGGGCGGCGCGGCAACCUUGACAGGAAGGCCUGGAGGCGAGGGACGAGGCGGGGCCUCCAGCGGUCGAGGAAGAGGCGGCGCGCGGGCACGGCCGGGCAGCGCGGGCAGGACGGCGCGGUGACGCUGCUGCGGCGGCUCGGGCACCUCGGGGCUGCAUCGCGAGCACGGGCACGCGGGGAGGCCAGCGAGGCCAGGCGGCGCGACGAGGCAGAGGGGACUCGCGCCUGGCUGCCAUGGACACAGACACGGGAGGAGCUCGGGGAAGGAAGAGGCGGCGGCAGGGAAGGAGCUCGGCCCUGGCGUGGGAAGGGGCUCCUCGGGCAGAGGGUCCAUGGGGGCGCAGGGAGGACGAGAGAGGCACGAGACGGGGGCGAGCAUGACGCUAGGGUUGGAGGGGGCCUGGGCCUUGGUCAGGGUCCUCUCCUAUUGGGUUUUUUCUUUUUUUUAAAACAGAGAACACCACAAAAGAAAAGGAUUUAACAAAAUAAAAGAAAUACCUUUUUUGACUCCUUUAAAACAUACCCCAACUAUAAAACCAAUUGGGCAUUUUUUUAAAGGACUAAAAUAAAACCUUUUGAAGAAAUAAAAUUAAAACCCGUUUACAAAAGAAUAAAAAUCGAACCCCUUUUAAGAAUUAAAUAAAACCUCUUUAUUUAAAGAAUAAAUAAAAACCUUUUAAAAGAGAAAAUAAAAUGGGAGGGUUUUAAAAUAAAACAAACGGAGAAAUAAAAUAAAAACCUAAGGGUAGCCCCUACAUUUAAUAAAAGGGCUUUUAUUGAAAAGAAGAAGACACACCCUUUUGAAUAGGGGUUUAACCGAAGACUUUAGCAAAACCACAAAAACGAAAUGAGAGAGGAGAGAAGGGGAGAAGGUUUAGGUCGGCGGUGCAACAGGGUUUAGCGGUGGCUCUCACGCACCCGCUCUCAACACGCCAACAAACGACGUCACACUCACAAGCUCUAACACCCAACAACANNNNNNNNNNNNNNNNNNNNNNNNNNNNNNNNNNNNNNNNNNNNNNNNNNNNNNNNNNNNNNNNNNNNNNNNNNNNNNNNNNNNNNNNNNNNNNNNNNNNCGCCAUCCCUGUCGCCGUCGUUUUGCUGUGUAGCCUGCAUUGCUUCCUGCUGGCCGGCGUGUUGCUGAUGCUGUAGCGUAGACGUUGUUCCUGUAGCCAGUUGAUUUUGAUGCUGCUACUUCUGUCGAGCCCCCUUGGCGUUCCCCUCCCGAGCUGUGCCGUUGUCGUGGUUGCUCUGCCAGUUGCCUUGCAUGUUGCUGUCCUGCUGCUUGUCAUAUUGCUGCUUGUUGCUUGCUUGCUGCCUGCCUGCUCGCUGUUGCCGAGCUUGCCUGUGCGAUGGUGGUGCUAUAGCUACGUAGCCUGCUGCCGCUGUUGCUGCCUGUAGCCAUUAGAUUUUGCUGCUGUUUGCUAGCUGAUAGCUGUUGUAGGUUGCUGCUGCUAGGUAGAUGUUGUUGCUGUUGCUGUGUGUCGCCUGCCGUUGUCGCGUGCACCAUCCCCGCCUGGCGUGGUGCGUCGACAAGUUUGCCGAGAAUCCCGUCGUCCUCGACGACUCCGAAAGCGAGUUCGACUUCCUCGACGUCGCCGAAGACCCGUGAUCGACUACCGACGCGAAGACCGUGCACCGACGACAAGAGAACGACUACCGUCGACGAGACCGUGUACCACUACUUCAACUACUGGCGCGUGUACGACUACUUCCANNNNNNNNNNNNNNNNNNNNNNNNNNNNNNNNNNNNNNNNNNNNNNNNNNNNNNNNNNNNNNNNNNNNNNNNNNNNNNNNNNNNNNNNNNNNNNNNNNNNCGGAGGGAGCCGGAAGUCCGAGGCAUUAGUCCUGUUUUGAGAUAAGAGCAGAGUAGUGAAGAUGUGGUAUUGAGCAGAAUAGUGAAGAUGUGGUAUGAGCAAAUUCAUCGCAAAACCUGUGAUCCCCUCUUAAUAGUGUGGGAUCCCUAUACUCAAGAAUAGUAAACUUAAAAGGGAUAGUCUACAUCAUCUUUUCUCAAUCCCGAGCCUUCUUGACAUAUAAAUCCCGAUCUUCUCAGACCACCUUGGCACAUGAUUCUCAAUCUACUAAAGUACUUGCCAUCCUGAGAUACACUCAACAAAUAGGAUUAGUUUCCUAUGUAUGUGUUGUCAUUAACACCAAAAGUCGAUUAGGGGCAUAACAUGCACUUUCAAUCUCCCCCUUUUUGGUAGUUGAUGACAACAUAUACAUAUGUCUCAAAAAGAUUUAACAUACAUUAUAGCCUUGGAGAGGUUUAGUACGGAGCUCCCCCUUAGUAUGUGCAUGAUAAAAUAUCGGAGCUCCCUUUUAAUGUGUGUAUCGAACAUAUAAUGGAUCAUCAUGUAAAGAUAAUAGAUCAUCAUAGAAAGACAAUAGAUCAUCAUAGAAGUAAUGGGGCAAAACAUAAUAGCCUAUGAUGAUAUCAUAGCAAUCACAACAUUCAUAAGUAGCCAUACAUGAGUUUAUCCAUUACAUUACACAAACAUGCAAAUUUAGACUAAAUCUCCAAAGACUAAAAACUACGAUACAUUACUCCCCCUUUGGCACCAAGUACCAAAAAGGGAGGCACCAACAGCAUCAACCAUGCUCAAAGCUCAUCAGCAUCAUCAUCAUCAUCAUCCUCAUCAUCAGGCAAGCCACUGCCACCAGCCUCGUCAAGAAAAUCAGCCCACUCAGGACCAGAUGGGAAGCCAAAGUCAGAAGGAGGAGCAACAGGAAGGGCCUCAUCAUCACUCACAUCAAGAGCGCCCGAGUCUCUCAGACGAGCCUUGAGGGCAUUCUUGGAGGAGACGAGGCGAGAAACCACAUCAUGGGUUUGACCACACUGGAAAGAGAAGGCCUUCAUCAUAGCAGAAUGUGCCUUGCCAAUGAAUUUGGCAAAGCGACUGAGAGAAGCUGAGCUAGAUGAAGGGGUUGCUGACCGGGCAGCAGUGCGGCGAGUGGAUGUGGAGGAUGGGGUUUUCUUGGGAGCAUAGUUAUCCGCCAUGUGAGCGGGAAUGACCCACUUGUGAUGUGUGUGAGUGACAGCAACAGAGAAUUCACCAACAUGAUUAAUAAGAGCCUGGAUGAAGGGGGCAUGAGGGAAGGCUCGCUUGUAUUGAAAACUAGCAAGCCGAAUCUCAUGCCAUAGAAAGUGAGGCACAUUAAUUUUGCUCUUGGGGUGCUCGUACAAAUGUGACAUGAUGUCAAUACAGUAGCCACUGCAAGAUCCCUUAUCACCCAUCUUGGGAUAGAUGGUGCGGAUAAGACUCUGAAAGAUGAUAAAGUAAGGAGAGCGCCAGAUGGAUACCUGGUUAAGAUCCUUCAUGCGUUCAUCUGCAUCAAGUUCACGGAGUGGUUUGAGGAGAUACCCACACGCCUUAAUUGGCUUAUGUGCAUGGUUAGGAUCAUUCUUAUGUAUUUUGAAGCCGGAGUUGGGGAAACCAAGUGCGGCAACAAACGUAUCAUAAGAGGCUAUGAAGUGAACGUCAGAGGUUAUCCAGCUAACAGUGUUGUUUGGAUCAAAGAAGCAUGUGGCAUAAAACUGGUGACUAGCAGCAGCGUUAAAAUCGCGACGAAAAGCAAAGGGGGCAGCAAGCCUCGAUGACUCAAUGAGUUCAAUGGCACCCGGGUAUUUCGCCGGGUGCGCGCGAAUAUGCUCAAGAUCUAUGAAGUGAUGAACAGAGGACCCUUAGGAACUAUGACCGUAGUAAAGAUGUCCGCGUGGACAUUGGUGCGGAAACGUGAAUCCAUAGAGUCACGUACGACAGAGAAUUGAUCAACAUCGCGGCAGAAAGUGAAAUAGGAAGACUUAGCAACCGUGGUGAAGUUCGUGACUUCACGACCUAAAGUAGCAGGAGGCUCAAGUGAGAUGCGACAAGCUUCACCUUCGGGCUGAGCAGGAGGAGGUGGUGGCAUAUAGGAGGGCCUGCGAGUCCCGGGCUUUGGCAUGGACCUCCGAACGGCGGGCUGGUCAGCACGGUCCUCGGCGGCAAGCUCAUCCUCGAAGUCAGAGCCAUCAGACGACGAGGGGAGCUAUUGAGACGGAGGACGCCGGGAAGUCCGUUUGAAGGGACGACGUUGCCCUUCCGAGUCCGACACCGUGCCAGUAGGGGCACGAGCGGAUGAGCUAGCAAUGUCCUCGUGGGCGGCGUGCUUAAUCUUGGGCAUGAUGCACAAAAACCUACACGGAUGGAAACCCAAUGGGGAACGGUCACGGGCAAACCAUAUGAACGAACACGUGAACUUGGGAGAAAAGGAAUCCAAACGCGAGCGGAACGGAGGAGAUACCUGCAGAUCGAGAGAGGAGAGCAAGAAGAGAUGGAUCCCGCGGAGGAGAUUGGAUCCCUCGGAGGAGAUGAGGCAGAUCCCGGAGGUGGCGGCGCGGGCGAGCUCUCCAGGUGCUGGCGGCGGCGGCGGCUGGGGGAAAGGAGGCGCGUGGGGGCUAGGGCAAAGCCCAGCCCGCGCCCUUCUAUUUAUAGGGCCCUGAUGUGUCGGACGUCCGACAGGCGUCGGACGUCCAGAGUGGAUUUAGCCGUCGGACGACCGACACUGGCCGGGCGUCCGGAAUGAGGUUAGCCGCCAGACGUCCGAGACGCGUGAGACGACCGGGAGAGGAGGAGGCAGAGGCUGAUUCUGGAAUUUUGAUGAUGAGAUGAUUUUUGAUGGUUUAUCACAAAGAACACGAAUAUAGUUGCCUACAAGAAUUACAUAUACUACUUGUGGACAGAAGUUGAUUUAUGCAUAUUUUGUAAGAUCAAAACACAGAAUUAUGACCCACUCCCCCUAAAUGCAUGCCCACAUCAAGACAAGAACAUAAUGUGAGUGUGUGUAUGUGUGCAAGAUUUCAAGUUAUGUUAUCAAGCUCCAAGAUACCAAGUUCACGCCUAAGUUGACAGAACAUUGCUACGCUAAGUGGCUUGGUGAAAAUGUCAGCGAGCUGCAUGUCGGUACCCACAUGGGUAAUAUCAAUGUCACCCUUUUGCACAUGGUCUCUCAAGAAAUGAUACCUAAUAUCAAUAUGUUUUGUGCGAGGGUGAUCAAUGGGGUUCUCAGAGAUCUUUAUGGCACUUUCAUUAUCACAGAGAAGAGGCAUGUGUCGAUACGUGAUACCAUAAUCCUUUAGGGUUUGCCUCAUCCAUAGCAGUUGGGUUGCACAGCUUGCGGCUGCAAUAUAUUCGGCCUCGGCCGUGGAGAGAGAAACACAAUUCUGCUUUUUCGAGGACCAACUUACCAAGGAGCGUCCAAGAAACUGACAUGCACCGGAAGUGGAUUUCCAUCCCACUUUGUCACCGGCCCAAUCCGCAUCGGAGUACCCAAUAAGAUUGAACUUUGCAUCCUUAGGGUACCAUAAGCCUAACUUUGGGGUGUGAACAAGGUAUCUAAGAAUAUGCUUAACCGCCGUAUGAUGGCUUUCCCUAGGGGAAGCUUGAAAUCUAGCACAUAUGCCUACAGUUAACAUGAUGUCCGGUCUAGAUGCGCAAAGAUAAAGUAACGAACCAAUCAUGGAGCGGUAAGUAGAUGGGUCAAAAGGAAUACCGUUGGUGUCUUCAUUUAGAACUACAUCUGUGGCCAUGGGUGUCUUGAUUGGUUUAGCAUUUUUCAUAUCAAAUUUUUCAAGAAUGUCCUUGAGGUACUUAGUUUGAGACAAGAAAAUUCCUUCUUGAAAUUGUUGUAUUUGAAACCCAAGAAAGAACUUCAAGUCCGUGUUGAGUGACAUCUCAAAGGUCUUGGUCAUGGAGGCCGCAAACUUCUUGCAUAAAUGGAUGUUAGGAGAACCAAAAAUGAUGUCAUCUACAUAGAUUUGGCAUAAGAUCAAAUCACCAUUUUCCCUCUUAGUAAAAAGAGUGGGAUCGAUCACCCCCACCACAAAGCCAUCAUCGAGUAAGAACUUCUUAAGAUGAUCGUACCAAGCACGGGGUGCUUGUUUGAGGCCAUACAGAGCCUUGUGAAGUUUGUAUACAUGGUCUUUGUGGUGAGGGUCAACAAACCCAGGUGGUUGUGAUACAUAUACCUCUUCUUGUAGAGUACCAUUAAGAAAAUCACUUUUCACAUCCAUUUGAUGCAAAGUAAAACCAUUGAAAGCAGCAUAGGCCAAUAGAAUGCGAAUGGAUUCGAGACGAGCAACAGGGGCGAAAGUAUCACCAAAGUCCAAACCUUCAACUUGGGAGUACCCCUGUGCUACUAACCUUGCCUUGUUGCGUAGGACAGUCCCAUUCUCAUCUUCCUUGUUCUUGAAGAUCCAUUUAGUUCCAAUGACAUUGUGUUCCUCAGUUGGUCGUUCUACCAAUGACCAUACUUCGUUGCGUGUAAAACUGUUUAACUCUUCUUGCAUAGCAAGGAGCCAGUCAUUGUCACACAAUGCAUCCUGAACCCUGUGUGGCACAUUACUAGAGACAAACGAAAAGUGAGCACAAAAGUUUGUUAAUUGUUUACGAGUCACUCUACCUUCCGACACGCCGGUGAGCAUUUGAUCAAUAUCAACACGACCGACCACACGUGGCAUGACGGAGGUCAGGGUUUCACGAGGUUCGACUUCGUUUCCAUCAUCAACGUCCUCAACAUAUGGAUCAUUUACGUGCGGUGGAAGAUAUUCCUCUUCGUGUUGCACCUGUUGAGGUUCAUCAUCAAGCAUAUCCAUACUUUGGUCUAGAUCUUGAGGAUCAACUUGUUCUUGAGUGUGAUCAGAGUGAGAGACAUGUUCUCCCACUUGAUCCUCAACAACUGGCAUGAUAUGUGUGCUAGUAUCUUGUGGAGGUACGGGUAGUGAACUGUCUUGAGGAUGAGAAAUAUUCUCAUCAUCUUCAUCAUCAUCAUGGGGUCUUUGUUCCAUGGGAAGAAGUGCACCUACACCCAUGUUCAAGAUAUCUUGCGAGGAAUCUUCUUCACCUGCAUCACUUAGAUCAACUUGCUCCCCAUGGGAGCGGUUAAAUUCAACAAACGUCACGUCACAUGUUUCUAUAACACAUCCAGUGGAUUUGUUGUAGACUUUGUAGGCGUAAGAGUUUGAUCCAUAGCCAACAAAAAUCCCUUUAGUUGUUUUGGAUUGAAGUUUUCCUAACCGUUCCCGUUUGUUGAGGAUGAAACACUUGCAUCCAAACACACGAAAGUACUUAACAUUGGUCUUGUUGCCAGUUAGGAGCUCAUAUGGAUUCUUCUCUAAUAUUGAUCGAAGGAAGAGCCGGUUUGAUGCAUGACAUGCUGUGUUGACGGCCUCAGCCCAAAAACUAUGUGGUGACUUGUAUUCGUCUAACAUGGACCUUGCCAUUUCCACAAGUGUCCGGUUCUUCCUCUAUGCUACACCAUUUUGCUGAGGGGUGUAAGGUGCGGAGUACUGAUGUUCAAUUCCCUCAUCACUAAGAAAUUCUUCUAGGGUCUAGUUCUUGAACUCGGAGCCAUUAUCACUUCUUAUUGCCUUGAUGUCCUUGUCAAACUUCCGCUGGACUUGUUUGGCAAAAUCAAUGAAGGUGAUCUUCGUCUUGUCCUUGGACUUGAGAAAGAAUACCCAUGUGUAUCUUGAGUAAUCAUCAACAAUGACUAGGCCAUACUUUUUCCCUCCAAGACUUUCCCAUGAAGGAGGCCCAAACAGAUCCAUAUGAAGGAGCUCUAACGGCCUCGAAGUGGAUACAAUGUUCUUGGGUGGAUGUUUUGAUUGAUGUUGUUUCCCAGCUAUGCAUGCACUGCACACACGAUCUUUCUUAAAAGAUACAUUUGUUAGUCCAAGGAUGUGAUUGCCGUUUAAGAGAUUUUGAAUAUUUCUCAUGCCGACAUGGGCGAGCCGGCGAUGCCACAACCAUCCCAUGUCGGCCUUGGCCAUUAGACAAGUUGUAUGGAAGGUGCUCUCUUUCGAGAAAUCAACCGUGUAAAGGUUGCCAUCCAACUCUCCAACAAAGGCCACUUCGAGAGUGUCUCUCUUAAAGACUUUCACAUCCGUUAGUCUGAAUAAUGUGUCAUAACCAACGGAAGCCAAUUGGCAAACUGAAAGUAAAUGAUAUUCAAGAGAUUGGACAAGCAUGACAUUUGCAAUAGACAUGUCAUUAGUGAUUGCCACCUUGCCCAACACAAUUACCUGCCCUUUCGACCCUCCACCAAAUACAAUGCUCAUGUAUGGUCGAAUGGCUUGCAUGAAGUCAUAGAGCAAGCUACUAUCUCCGGUCAUAUGAUUGGUGCAUCCACUGUCGAUCACCCAUUUGGCUCCUCUGGAGAAAACAGCCUGUAACGAAUUAAGACUUGGUUUGAGGUACCCAUUUCGUCAUGGGGCCUCUCACAUUAGUUACAAGAGUCUUAGGGACCCAAAUAGCAUAAAAUCGGAAUGCAUUACGGGGACCAACGAAUUUAGCAUAAACCUCUCCUUCCUUUGAUUUGCGAAGCACAUAGGAUGGAGGCAUGAAUUCAGUUGUCUUGUUGAGAGUAGGCGAACCCCUAGUGGCCGACCCACUCACAACCUUACCUUUCUCCUUGUGUCCCUCUCGUACAAAUAUUUCUUUAAGCGGAGUGGUACACUUGAGAGGAGAUGCACUUUUCUUGGCGGUGCUUGGAUUGAACCCAAGCCCUUCCUUGGCAAAGCCUCCAUUGUGUUGACUUAAGAUAUCAUUGAGAGUCUUUUGUCCUUGUGCACAUGUCACGAGACCUCUAUCUAGCUGUGACUUUAACGAGCAGUUUUCCUCAAGGAUAGAUGUCAGUUCACUACUAGAGUUAGUAGUGCAGGUAUCAACAUUAAUACUAGGUGAGGAGUAAGCCUUAGCUAAAGUGUCAAGAUAAGUAACCUUUAGUGCCUCAAAGCUCUUUGUAAGAACAGUGAGUUUCUCUUCCUUGUCUUUGCGAGACAAGGAUAGACGCUCACAGUCCUUAGAAAGGGAAGCAUGAGAGUUCACUAGUCGGUUUUUAUCAUUUAGUAACUCUUUGCACACAGAUUCAGCCUUUUUCAAGGAGGCAAGAUCGUUAGCAUGUUUAUCAAGGUUUUCACCAACUUUUGAGCAUAAUGCAUCAUUUUGUGCUUCCUCAUAUAGGACUUUCUGCUCAAGGAUUUCAUUUCGUUCCUUCUCCUCAGUGACGAGGGUUUCGAGUUCCUUGAUGGUAUUGGUGUGCUUACUCACCAUUUCCAUAAGUAUGCGAAACAUAGUGAGCUUCUUUCCUUUAAGAGAGCACAUAAAUUUGUUUAUUUUGGCAAACAUGGGAUGAUCUAAGUCAUUAUCCUCAUAGUGAUCUUCCGCAUCAAGAUACUCAUCAGGUGAGGUAGAAUCUAGACUGAAAGAGUUUAACCGUGGAGUUACCUUAACCUUAUCAUGGGAGCUUUGGUCUUCCUCAUCUCCCAUGGCAGUCUUUGCCAUCAAACACUUGUGGGCGUUGCCCUUGUAGUCUUUCAUAUAGUUGUAGUGAACAACAUCACCACUUUUGUUGACUAGCCUCAAGGUGUUUUGUGUAUCCUGAGCUACUCCGGCAACCCCACCAACGUCUUCUGGAUCUGAUUCUUCUUGUGCAACCAUUGCUCUUCCAUCUAUUCUCUUGAGCUUGGAGUUCAUAGGGCUUGACAACUUCUUCUUUACAAAGGUCUUUGGAAACCUUGGUUUAUCUUCUCUCUUCUCAUAGGGGCAGUCAUUUGAGAAGUAGUUGGUUUCCUCACAGUUGUAGCAUUUCCUUACCUUCUUCUUUGGGAAUCUUCCCUUGAAUUUUCCUGCACUGAACUUCUUUACAAAGAGAGCAAUGUCCUCAUAAGAUGGGCUUUCAUCAGAGUCAACAUUAUCACCAUCUUCGCAUUCAUCAUCACCCUCUUCUUCUUCACUUUCUUCUUCAUCACAUUCAUGCUUGUCUUUCAAAGCAAGAUUGAUCUUUGAUGUUGAAGUGCCAUGCAUGGCAAGGUGCUUUGUUGCAUUUGCCUUUGACUCUUCAAAUAAUUGGAAAGUGGAUAUGAUGUAAUCUGGAGUCAUUUCUUUGAACCCAUGGUGCUGCCUCAUGUCCCAUACCAUUUGAUGGUGAUAUGGAGCAAGAGCAUGAAGUAACUUGUCCACGAGAAAUCUCUUGGUCAGAUUGAAACCAUCUUGCGUCUUGUCACAGUCACAGGACUCAAUGUCUGCGGCGAGAGUCAUGAGCCAUUCUAGCAGUUGCUUGGGAGAUUCACUCUUUUCCAUACAGAAAUUCUGUAAUUGCCCCUUGGCAAUUUCAUAUUGAGCAAGCCGAAGAGUGGAGGUACUGGUCUUGGUCCUUAUAAUUCUAUCCCAUAGUUCCUUGGCACUUGUGAUGUGAAUGUAAGGUCUCCGUUGCUUGUCAUUCAUUCCUUUUCUUAUGCACAUGAUCGCAGUGUCAUUGAGAUGCUUGUCAUAAGUUUCUCUGGGAGUGAGGCACCUUGGAUCUACAGGAUUGUACACAUGCUCGAGGAUGUCCAACAUCUCAUCAUUGGCGUACCUAAGAUGAUCGUGCAUACCAACUCUUCACAAAGCAAAAUCGGAAUUGUCAUCAAGCAAGGGAGGAUUUCCUUCAGGAUUGUACUUAGGUUUGUCAACUUGAGAUCUAGCAUAAAGCCAUGGAACACUGGUUUGGUUCCUUUCCGGAGGUUGCUGGCCAAAUGAAGAAUCGUGCACAUGUGGUCCUGAGGCCCUCGGGGACGUGGUUGUCCCCGUGGUUAAUGAUGCCAGUCUUAUUUGGACCAAGGCCUCAAGAGAAGCAUCAUGCUCCUCUUUUUGCUUGGCAAGGGCCCGUUCCAGGUCCUCAGAGGUGAAGGACUUGACUUCCGUGGAAGUUCCGUCGCUCUCCACUGGAGCUACAGUAGUGGGAAUCCCGUCCAUCUCACUCUAGGGAGGUUAAGCCACAAGAAUAGAGCACGAGGCUCUGAUACCAAUUGAAAAGGAUCGAGAUGGACCUAGAGGGGGGUGAAUAGGUACAGUUCCAAAUUUUAAUAAUUACUUAGCAAUUUUAGGCAAAGGUGCGGAAUAUGAGCGUAGGCCUAAUAAUUGCUAUGACAAGGAGUAAGCUAUUUAGAGUGAAGUAAGGCAACCGGUACACAAUAAUCAAAUACAAGUAUGUAAUAAUGAUUAACACAAGUAGAGAGUUAGGGUUAGGAAUAACCGAAACUCCAAGAGAGACGAGGAUGUAUCCCGAUGUUCACUUCCUUGGAGGGAAGCUACGUCACCGUUAGAGGGGCGGAUGUUACCACGAAGGCACACCAACGCCAUGAAGGCUCACCCUAUUCUCCCUUUGAGAUAACUCCAUGAAGGCGUUUCUCAACCACUAGUGGUAAGCCUUGAGGUGGCUUCCAAACCUUCACAAACUUUCCAGGGGAAAUCACAAUGGUUUGAUUCCUCUCCGAAGACUCCUACCGCCUAGGAGUCUCCAACCUCCAAGAGUAACAAGAUCACGGGGAUUACUCAAAACUUGCUCAAAUCACAAAUCACUUUGGUGGGAAGGAGACGAUAUAUCUUUUGAUUGGAACAACACUCAAAGGGACUCACAAAUGCUCUUGGGAUCUAAGAUUGAGUGUAGACAAGAGUGAGUGAGAAGAAAGGUGUUCUUGUAUGUGUUCUAGCUGUGUUGGACACCCUCUCACGAAGUGGGAGGGGGUAUAUAUAGUGGGGAGUGUAAAACAGCCGUUGGGGACACUUUAAGUCACACAGGGUUCGGACAUCCGGCAGUUCACGGAUGUCCGGGCGUCCACAAGGGGACGUCCGACACGGGUCGGUCGUCCGAGGGUUGUAGAUAUGUCUGGAAUCACUGUGAGUUGAACAGGGACCGGACGUCCGGAGAAGGCCGGAAGUCCGAGUUAUUCGACUCAACUUCUUCUGGUGCAAGAUUCCGGAUUUCCGAAAGGGGACGGACGUCCGGCCCUCGGACGUCCGGAGGGAGCCGGAAGUCCGAGUUAUAUGGCUCACGUUCUUCUGGUGCNNNNNNNNNNNNNNNNNNNNNNNNNNNNNNNNNNNNNNNNNNNNNNNNNNNNNNNNNNNNNNNNNNNNNNNNNNNNNNNNNNNNNNNNNNNNNNNNNNNNAGUUACAUAUCUCUCCGUGUUAUAACUGUUGCAUGAUGAAUAUCAUCCGACAUAAUUAUCCAUCACCGAUCCAAUGCCUAAUAGUUUUUCCUAUUGGUCCUUGCUACGUUACUUUGCCGCUACUGCUAUCACUGUUGCUACGUUACUCUGUCGCUGAUGCUAUCACUGCUGCUAGUAUUACUCUGUCGCUACUGUUGUCACUGCUGCUACUGUUGCUAUCACACCACCUUGUUACUGAUACUAAGUCUUUCAGGUGUGGUUGAAUUGACAACUCAACUGCUAAUACUCGACAAUAUUCUUUGGCUUCCCCUUGUGUCGAAUCAACAAAUUUGGGUUGAAUACUCUACCCUCAAAAACUGUUGCGAUCCCCUAUACUUGUGGGUUAUCAUGUUGCCUCGACACAAAUUUCUAUUUGCCCUGCGCCACCAUCUUGUUGAAGUAGAGGUUCCGCAACCUCAUCAAGUUCUAUCUUCCUCCCACUCACUUCUUUCGAGAGAAACUCUUUCUCAAGAAAAGCUCCGUUCUUGGCGACAAACACUUUGCCUUCGGAUCUGAGAUAGAAGGUAUACCCAACUGUCUCUUUUGGGUAACCUAUGAAGACACACUUUUCCACUUUAGGUUCCAGCUUUUCAGUCUGAAGCUUUUUGACAUAAGCAUCACAUCCCCAACCUUUAAGAAACGACAACUUUGGCUUCUCGCCAUACCACAUGUCAUAUGGUGUCGUCUCAACGGAUUUUGAUGGUGCCCUAUUUAAUGUGAAUGCAGCUGCCUCCAAUGCAUAGCCCCAAAAUGAUAAUGGAAAAUCGGUAAGAGACAUCAUAGAAUGCACCAUAUCUAAGAAAGUAGGAUUAUGACGUUUGGACACACCAUUAGGCUGUGGUGUUCCAUGCGGUGUCAACUGUGAAACAAUUCCACAUUGUCUUAAGUGAGCACCAAACUCGUAACUCAGAUACUCACCUCCUCAAUCCGAACGUAGGAACUUGAUCUUCUUGCUAGGAUGAUUUUCAACUUCACUUUGAAAUUUCUUGAACUUUUCAAAUGUUUCGGACUUGUGCUCCAUCAAGUAGAUAUAUCCAUACCUACUCAAAUUGUUAGUGAAGGUGAGAAAAUAACGAUAUGUGCCACGCGCCUCUAUGCUCAUCGGUCCGCACACAUCAGUAUGUAUGAUCUCCAACAAGUCACUUGCACGCUCCAUUGUUUCAGAGAAUGGAGUCUUGGUCAUCUUGCCCAUGAGACAUGGUUCGCAUGUGUCAAGUGAUUCAAAAUCAAGUGACUCCAAAAGUCCAUCAACAUGGAGUUUCUUCAUGCACUUUACACCAAUAUGAGCUAAGAGACAGUGCCGUAAGAAAGUGGCGCUAUCAUUAUCAACUCUACAUAUUUUGUUCUCAAUGUUAUGGACAUGAGUGUCAUAACAAUCGAGAUUCAAUAUGAACAAACCCCUCACAUUGGUUGCAUGACCAUAAAAGAUAUUACUCAUAUAAAUAGAACAACCAUUAUUCUCUGACUUAAAUGAGUAACCGUCUCGUAGUAAACAAGAUCCAGAUAUAAUGUUCAUGCUUAACGCAGGCACUAAAUAACAAUUAUUUAAGUUCGUCGCUAAUCCCGAUGGUAACUGAAGUGAGAGCGUGCCGACGGCGAUCACAUCAACCUUGGAACCAUUUCCCACGCGCAUCAUCACUUCAUCCUUCGUCAGUCUUCGUUUAUUCUGCAGUUCCUGUUUUGAGUUGCAAAUGUGAACAACAGAACCGGUAUCAAAUAAACAGGCACUACUAUGAGAGUUGGUGAGGUACACAUCAAUAACAUGUAUAUCAAAUAUACCUUGUUUGGCGUUGGCCGCCUUCUUAUCGGCCAAACACUUGGGGCAAUUGCGCUUCCAGUGGCCAGUCCCCUUGCAAUAAUAACACUCAGUUUCCGGCUUAGGUCCAACCUUGGGUUUCUUCGUCGGAGGGGCAACAGCUUUGCCACUCUUCUUGGUGUUAUCCUUCUUGCCUUUGCCGUUUUUCUUGAAACUAGUGGUCUUAUUGACCAUCAACACUUGAUGUUCUUUCUGGAUUUCUGACUCAGCGACUUUCAGCAUCGCAAACAACUCGCGAGGUGACUUAUUCAUCCCUUGCAUCUUAUAUACUUCAACACGAAACUCUUAUAGCUAGGUGGCAGUGACUGAAGAAUUCUGUCAGUGAUAGCUUCUUGUGGGAGUUCAAUCCCCAACUCAACUAGACACUUAGAGUACACAGACAUUCCGAGCACGUGUUCACUCACACACGAAUUCUCCUCCAUUUUGCAAGCAUAGAACUUAUUGGCGGUCUCAUACCUCUCAAUCCGGGCAUUCUUCUCAAAGAUAAAUUUCAACUCCUGGAACAUCUCAUAUGCUCCAUGACGUUCAAAACGUCUUUGAAGUCCCGAUUCUAAGCCAUACAAAACUGCACAUUGAACUAGUGAGUAGUCAUCCUUACGAGACUGCCAAGCGUUCAAAACAUCUUGGGUGGCCGUAGCGGGUGGUGCAUCAAGGACAUAUUGCUUUUGGCCAGCCGUGAGGAUAAGCCUCAUAUUACGAGCCCAAUCAACAAAGUUGCUUCCAUCAUCUUUCAGCUUAGCUUUCUCUAGGAACGUAUUAAAAUUUAGGGUUGCUACUGCGCGAGCCAUUGAUCUACAACAUAAACUUUUGCAAAGAUUACUUAGACUAUGUUAAAGAUAAUUGAGUUUAACUAAUCAUAUUAUUAAUAAACUCCGACUCAAAUAGACACCCCUCUAGUCAUUCGAGUGUUGCAUGAUCCAAAUCCACUAUCUCAAGUCUGAUCAUCAUGUGAGUUGAGACUAGUUUCAAUGGUGAACAUCUCCAUGUUGAUCAUAUCAACUAUAUGAUUCAUGCUUGACCUUUCGGUCUCUUGUGUUCUGAGGCCAUGUCUGUACAUGCUAGGCUCGUCAAGUUUAACCCGAGUGUUCCGCGUGUGCAACUUUUUUGCACCCAUUGUAUGUGAACGUUGAGUCUAUCACACCCGAGCAUCACGUGGUGUCUCGAAACGACGAACUGUCGCAAUGGUGCACAGUCGGGGAGAACAAAAUUUUAUCUUGAAAUUUUAGAGAGGGAUCACCUUAUAAUGCUACCAUUGGUCUAAGCAAAGUAAGGUGCAUAAAAGGAUUAACAUCACAUGCAAAUCAAAAAGUUACAUGAUAGGGCCAUGAACUUGUGCUUCUUGAUCUCCCACCAAAGCACCGGCAUGAUCUCCAACGUCACCGGCGCCACAGCAUGAUCUCCAUCAUUGUGAUGCCAUGGAGGUUGUCACGCUAUCUAUGUAGUUACUACUAAAGCUACUGCCUAGUGAUAUAGCAAGAGCAUCUACAAGAGUAAAAUUGAUUAGAGACAACCCUAUGGCUCCUGUCGGUUGCCGUAGCAUUGACGUGCAAGUCGAUAUUUUACUAUUACAACAUGAUCAUCUCAUACAUCCAAUAUAUCAUAUCAUGUGUUUGGCCAUAUCACAUCACAAGCAUACCUUGCAAAAACAAGUUAGACGUCCUCUAAUUUGUUGUUGCAUGUUUUACAUGGCUGUUAUGGGUAUCUAGUAUGAUAGCAUCUUACUUAUAAAAAGCCACAAUGGUGAUAUAAAAAUUGCUAUUUAACCUUCUCCAAGGACCGCCUCGGUCAAAUCUAAUUCAACUAAAGUUUAAGAAAUAGACACCCGCCAGUCAUCUUUAUGCAACAAGUUGCAUGUCAGUCGAUGACACCGGUCUCUCGUAAGCGUACAAGUAAAGUUGGUCUGGGCCGCUUCAAUCAAACAAUGCCAUUGAAUCAAGAAAAGACUAAGGAGGGUAGCAACUUGAACAUCAACGCCAACAAACUCUUUUGUGUUCUACUCGAGAUAUCAUCUACCCAUGAACCUAGCUCAUGAUGCCACUCAUGGGAACUUUGCAUGGGAAACAAAAAAAUUCCUACGCACACGAAGACCUAUCAUGGUGAUGAUCAUCUACGAGAGGGAGAUCGGAUCCACAUACCCUUGUAGAUCGCUAAGCGGGAAGCGUUAAGAAAUGCGGUUGAUGUAGUGGAACAUCUUCGCAAUCCAAAUCGUCGCCGUCCCAUGAUCCGUCCCGAUCUAGCGCCGAACGGACGACACCUCCGUGUUCAGCACACGUACAGUUCGAUGACGAUCUCCGCCUUCUUGAUCCAGCAAGAGAGACGAAGAGGUAUCUGAAUUCUUCGACAGCACAACGGCGUGGCGGUGAUGAUGGUGGAGCUACUCUGGCAAGGCUUCACCGUGCCGUACUGAACUAGCUACGAGGUGUCGCGAAGUAGUGGAGGUAGAGAGGGCUGCACAAAGGCUUGGGGUGGAAAGACCCUCUCAAAUCUCCACUAUAUAUAGGAGGAACGAGAGGGAGGGUUGGCUUGCCUCCUACUCCAAGUAAGAGGGUUCGGCCGAGCCCAAGAGGGAGGAUUCCUCCUCCAAUUCGAUUUGGUGGAGGAGUCCUUCCCAUCUUGUCCACCUCCUUCCCUUUUUUUCUUUUCCCCUUUUCUUUUGCUUCAGCCGAAAUAGGCUUAUUGGGCUGGCCUCACCAGCCCACCAAGGGCUGGUGCGCCACCCAUUGGGUUAUUAGGUCCUCUCCCGGGUGGGUGGCCACUCCCGGUAAAACCCCAGAACCCAUUCGUCACUCCCGGUACUUUACCAGUAAUGCCCAAAUGCAACAAUCCUAUAUAUCAAUCUUCAAUUCUAGACCAUUCCGGAGAACCUCGUAAUGUCCAGGAUCUCAUCCGGGACUCCGAACAACAUUCGGUCACCAACAUCAAUAAUUCAACUAUACCGAAAACGUCACUGAACCAUAAGUGUGCAGACCCUGUGGGUUCGAGAACUAUGUAGUCAUGACCGAGACACUCUCCGAUCAAUAUCCAAUAGCGGGACCUGGACAUCCAUAUUAGAUCCUACAUAUUCUACGAAGAUCUUAUUGGUUGAACCUCUAUGUCAAGGAUUCACACAAUCCCGUAUAUCAUUCCCUUUGUCCUUUGGUAUGUUACUUGCCCGAGAUUCGAUCAUCGUUAUCAACAUACCUAUUUCAAUCUCUUUACCGGCAAGUCUCUUUACUCGUUUGGUAAUACAAGUUCCCGUGGCUAAAUCUUUAGUCACAUUGCUUGUAAGGCGUGUUUGUGAUGUUGUAUUACCGAGUGGGCCCCCGACAUACCUCUCCGUCACUCGGAGUGACAAAUCCGAGUCUCGAUCCAUGCUAACUCAACGGACACCUUCGGAGAUACCUGUAGAGCACCUUUAUAGUCACCCAGUAAUGUUGUGACAUUUGAUACACACAAGGUGUUCCUCCGGUGUUAGUGAGUUACAUGAUCUCAUGGUCAUAGGAAUGUAUCCUAGACAUGCAGAAAACAAUAGCAACAAAAUGACACGAUCAUAUGCUACGUUUAUAGUUUGGGUCUUGUCCAUCACAUCAUUCUCCUAAUGAUGUGAUCCCGUUAUCAACUGAUAACACUUGUCUAUGGCCAGGAAACCUUAACCAUCCUUGAUCAACAAGCUAGUCAACUAGAAGCUUACUAGGGACAUUGUUUUGUCUAUAUAUCCACACAUGCAUUUAUGUUUCCAUUCCAUACUGUUGGGGAACAUAGUAAUUUCAUAAAUUUUCCUACGUCACGGUGUAUGGAGAAACCAGCAACGAGCAAAGGGGUAGAUCAUCUUCAUACCUUUGAAGAUUGCUAAGCGAAAGCGUUGCUAGAAUGCGGUUGAUGGAGUCGUACUCGUAGCGAUUCAGAUCGCGGUGGAAUCUGAUCUAUGCACCGAACAACGGCGCCUCCGCAUUCAACACAAGUGCAGCCCGGUGAUGUCUCCAAUGCCUUGAUCCAGCAAGGAGGGAGGAGAGGUUGAGGGAGAGCUCCGGCAUCACGACGGCGUGGUGACGGUGGAGCUACGUGAUACUCCGACAGGGCUUCGCCAAGCUCUAUGGAGGACGAGGAGGACGACGAGUAGGGCUGCGCCAUGGAGAUGGAAAACUUGUGUGAUUUGCAGCCCUACAACCCCACAUAUAUAUAGGGGGAAGGAGGAGGAGGGUCGGCCACCCCUAGGGAAACCCUAGGAGGUGUGACAGCCAAGAUGGCGAGGAGGGGCGGCGCCCUAGGGUGGCCUUGGAGCCCAAGGGAGCCCCUCCACGCCUAGGGUAUGGCCCCCUCCACCCCUUGCUGCGCCUUGGGCCCUUAGUGGUGGUGCACCAGCCCACCUAGGGGCUGGUUCCCAUCCACUUUUGGCCCAUGAAGCCUCUUGGGGCUGGUGGCCCCUCCCGAUGGACGGAACCCUUCCGGUGGCCCCAGUACAUUAUCAGUGACGCCCGAAACACUUCCGGCGAUCAAAUCCUCACUUCCUAUAUAUGAAUCUUUACCUACAAACCAUUCCGGAACUCCUCGUGACGUCCGGGAUCUCAUCCGGGACUCCAAACAACCUUCGGUAACCACGUACACUAUUCCCAUAUAACCCUAGCGUCAUCGAACCUUAAGUGUGUAGACCCUAUGGGUUUGGGAAGCAUGCAGACAUGACCGAGACACCUCUCCAGUCAAUAACCAACCGUGGGGUUUAGAUAUCCAUGUUGGCUCCCACAUGUUCCAUGAUGAUCUCAUUGGAUGAACGACGAUGUUAGAGAUUCAAUAAACCCUGUAUGCAAUUCCCUUUGUCUACCGGUAUGAUACUUGCCCGAGAUUCGAUUGUCGGUAUCCCUAUACCUUGUUCAAUCUCGUUAUCGGCAAGUCUCUUUACUCAUCCCGUAACACAUCAUCUCGUGGCUAACUCGUUAGUCACAUUGAGCUCAUUAUGAUGAUGCAUUACCGAGUGGGCCCAGAGAUACCUCUCCGUCACACGGAGUGACAAAUCCAGGUCUCAGUUCGUACAACCCAACAGAUACUUUCGGAGAUACCUGUAGUGCACCUUUAUAAUCACCCAGUUACGUUAUAAUGUUUAAUACACCCAAAGCACUCCUACGGUAUCUGGGAGUUGCACAAUCUCAUGGUCUAAGGAAAUUAUACCUGACAUUGGAAAAGCUUUUAGCAGACGAACAAUACGAUGUAUUCUCGUUAUCAUUCUCCUAAUGAUGUGAUGUCGUUACAGCCAUUUCCAACAGUCUCCCACUUGCACUAGAGUCAACAAUCUAGUUACAUUGUGAUGAAUCAAACACCCAUAGAGUGCUGGUGUUGAUCUUGUUUCGCUCGUGGAAGAGGUUUAGUCAACAGAUCUGUGACAUUCUGAUCUGUAUGUAGUUUACAAAUAUCUAUAUCUCCAUCCUGGAUGUAUCCACGUAUGGAGUUCAAGCGGCGCUUGAUGUGCUUGGUAUUCUUGUGAAACCUGGGCUCCUUUUGCAAUGGAAAUAGCUACAGUGUUGUCACAGAACAGAGUCAUCGGGCCCGACGCACUUGGAAUCACUCCUAGGACGGUGAUGAACUCCUUCAUCUAGACUCCUUCCUGUGCUGCUUCGAAGCAGCUAUGUACUCCACUUCACAUGUAGAUGCCGCCACGAUGCUUUGCUUGCAACUGCACUAGCUAACUGCCCCAUUAUUCAAAAUAUACACGUAUCCAGUUUGUGACUUGGAGUCAUCCGGAUCUGUGUCGAAGCUAGCAUCAACGUAACCCUUUAAGAUGAGCUCUUCGGCACCUCCAUAAACAAGAAACAUAUCUUUAGUCCUUUUCAGGUACUUAAGGAUGUUCUUGACUGAUGUCCAACGAUCCACUCAUGGAUCACUAUGGUACCUCCCUACCAAACUUAUGGCAAGGUUCACAUCAGGUCUGGUACACAGCAUGGUAUACAUAAUAGAGCCUAUGGUUGAAGCAUAGGUGACGGUACUCAUCUUUUCUCUAUCUUCUACCGUGUUCAGGUGUUGAGUCGUACUCAACCUCAUACCUUGUAAUACAGGCAAGAACCCCUUCUUGGCCUUAUCCAUAUUGAACUUCUUCAAUAUCUUGUCAAGGUAUGUACUUUGUGAAAGACCUAUAUGUAAGCAGCUUCUCCAAGGUCCUUCAUUGAAAAACUCUUAUUCAAAUAGGCCUUUAUGCUUUCCAAUAGUUCUAUAUCAUUUCCCAUCAACAAUAUGUCAUCCAAAUAUAAUAUGAGAAAUGCUACAGAUCUCCCGCGCAUUUUGUUGUAAAUACAGGCUUCUCCAUAAGUCUGUACAAACUCAAACGCUUUGAUCACCUCAUCAAAGCGAAUGUUCCAACUCUGAGAUGCUUGCACCAGCCCAUAGAUGGAGCGCUGGAGCUUGCAUACCUAGCAUUGCUAGGAUCGAGAAAACCUUCCGGCUGUAUCAUAUACAAUUCUUCCUUAAGAAAGCCGUUCAGGAAUGCCAUUUUGACGUCCAUUUGCCAGAUUUCAUAAUCAUGAAAUGCGGCAAUUUCUAACAUGAUUCGGACUGACUUUAGCAUCGCUACGGGUGACAAGGUCUCAUUAUAGUCAAUCCCUUGAACUUGUCGAUAACCCUUAGCGACAAGUCGAUCCUUAUAGAUGGUCACAUUACCAUCUGCAUAACCCAAAGCCUCGGUACAAUGAUGUCCACCUCCGGCGGGGCUGGGGCACGCAAGUAGUGCUCCAAGGUGAUUCCUACCUCUCACUCCUGACCGGGCAACGUAACAAACCCCGGGAAGUUUUGCCAACAAAGCACACCAAGGACGCUGUUGGGCUUGCAGACACCCUUGGCAACAAUCCAACCCCUGCAGUAUGAUAAAUUAAAGCCAAACAUUAGAUAUUUGAGAAAACGUGAAGGCAAAAGGUUAAAUAAGAGUAAAUUAACUUACUUGUCCCCAUUCGGCUUAAUCGACCACCUCUGCUCGCGAUGGCCGGCAUGAGCGGGAGCCCCGAACUACCAUGCUGGUGGACGGUGGCCCCCUCACCCAGCUCCUCGCCGCUAUCAGCAUGGCCACUUGGCUCAGGCUGACCCAAAUCAGGCGAGGUAUCCCACUAGGUCUCUUGGGACGUACCGUCAUCCCUGCUUUGCUCUGGAGUUGCGUGGAACGAAGCCUCUGGGACACGCAUCUCGUGGGUGGAAGGCUCGUCGACCUGAGGCUCGUGAAUCGAAGACCGUGUAGCCUCCACCUGAGAUGAAUCCACCCUAGCAGUCAUGUGCUGAGGUGAAUCAGCUUGGGGUGGCGGCGAGGAAGGCGUGGCAGCCACCUCCCUACCUCUACCAUGGCCACGUGUAACUUUAGUACCUCUCGGCUUCGCAGGGGGGUCGACCUCCUCUCACGGGGGCCGCGAGAGUCAAAGAAGCGGCCACUCCAUGCAGAGUAGAGAGAAACGCUCUCCGAAGAGGCGAGGCAGGAAUGGAAGUACCCAUCCCACCACCCGCCGACAAAGAAGGAGCCGCGGAGUGCUUUCGACCCUUUCCCACCAUCUUUCAACACCUGUCAUGACAAAUAGUAAAUGAAAUUAGUACAACAUAAAUACCAACAUGAGUAAUAAAAUGUAUAUAAUUUAAGUGUAUCAUCAUCAUAAAUACCAACAUGACUAAUAAAAGUUGAAUACCUAACAUGAACUCAAAAUUUAUAUAUGUAUAUAUAGUAAUAGUUGAAUAUGUGACAUGAACUAAUAACAAUCAUGCUCGUCUAUAUAUGCUUCGGGGUCAAUAAAUGCUUCAUGAUGAUCACUAUCAUCAAUAAAUGCAGCAUCAUCAUCACUAUAAGGAAGAACUUUGUGAAGGCCACCAUUAUUUAAUCGGUCAAGAAGUGACAGGUCAUCCGCAGCAGUAACCUCUUCUUCUUCCGGCUCUUCCUGUUUGGGCUCAGGGGUUAAGACGGAUUCACUAUCGUUGUCUACUUCAAUGUUCUGUGGUGAACUAGAGCGGUUCUUGAAACGUUUCUUGGACAGACGUGUUUCUUUGAAGAAUUCUCCUUCAUAUGUGUGUGGGUUAAUGUGAGGUUCGUAAUCCUCUUCAUUGAGGGUAGGUGGUCUAAAAUGUGGCGGCACUUCAUAAACGACAUCCCAACCUUUCAGAUUUGGAUCAGUUUGGCAGGCCCACGGUAGAUAGAAACUUGUGUCGCCUGUUGAGCCGUAAUAUAGACAUCGGGAACAUCUAAGUGGGUUUUUUGGUUGAUUUCAACUAGUCCUAUAUGUUCAUGAGUCCUUCUAGUCUCCCUCGGCUCAAACCAAUAACAUUUGAAGACUAUGACGGUCGGUGGGUUUUCACCAUAGAAUAGAAGUUCAUAAAUUGCUUCAACUCUUCCAUAAUACUCGGUGCCUCCUUCGCCGAUAGCAGAGACAAAACAAUUUGUAGUCUUUAGGUCGGGCAUAGAUAGCUCUUUGCCAAAGGUACGAAAGUGAUACCCGUUGAUGUUGUAUUUGUCAAAUGAACGGACCUUAUAGUCAUAAUCAUUAGCGACUUCUCUCAACUCGGCGUCCAUAGACUCUACAUCAGCCUACAAGUUUAAUACGAAAGAAUGGAUGCAUUAGCCGCAAAUUAGAACAAGAAAUCCAAUGGCCCAUUAAUGGUAAUUAAUUACCCUCUGUUUGAACCAAGAGAUGAAACCGGGAUAGUCGCCUCCAUGCUUUGCGAGAAGCUCAUACUCUUCGACGGAAUCCUUUUCGAUGACCGCUCCAUCCGAGAAUUCGGCGACGUAUCGACUAUAUCAAAUAUCCGGGAAUAAGAGUUGUUCAAAGGAAGUAGAAGUUGCGGAACAAUAAUUUAUCGAGAACUUACUCGAUGUACGGCAACACUUCUGUUAGGUUGGUGAAGGUAUACAAUGAAAUGGUCCGCCAUUCUUCGACAUCCAACGAUUUCCCUUUCGAAGAACCGGAUGGUGGGAGCAUCCCUUUGAAUAGGCUGAGGUUGGAUCGACCUUUUUUAGGAUCGCCAUCAUUGUAUCGAGGCUUCGGGUUAUGCAAAUGAUGAUUUUUGGCUUCAUAAUGUGCUCUCACGAAGUUUGCCGCCUCCUCAGUAAUGAAUGCCUCAGCCAUCGAUGCUUCAAUUCUACGUUUAUUUUUACAUUUAGCUCAAAGCGUCUUCUGCAUCCUCUUAGUUGAGUAGCACCAUCGAUUUUGAAUGCCCCCCCCCCCAAUCUUGCCUCGGUCGGGAGAUUCAAAAUCAAAUGCUGCAUUGGAUUAAAGAAGCCCGGUGGAAAGAUCUUUUCUAAUUUUCAGAUCAGCUCCGCCGCCAACUCUUUCAUUUCAUCUAGCACGCCAGGCGGUAGUUCUUUCGCACAAAGAGAACGGAAGAAAUAGCUCAACUCUGCUAGUACUAGCCUUUCAUCCUCAGCGAUAAAGCCAGGCAACAUCACCAGCGUUACCCGCUCAAUCCAUAUGUGCCAAUCAUGACUCUUGAGACCAAAUAUUUUCAAUUUCUCAAGACUCGCUCCCCUCUUUAGAUUCGCAGCAUACCCAUCAGGGAACAUCAACCGCAUUUUCACCCACAAUUGCAUUUCCCUCAUAGCUGGCCUUUCAAGAUUGAACCAUGCCUUUGGCUUCACUAUACUUUGCUUUCCUUUUCAUUGUCGCAAGUUUUGUAACGGUCUAUCGCAUAGUGCCUCCUGGUCGAUUCUAGCCUUAGGAUUAUCUUUUGACUUCCCCUCUAUGUCGAACAAUGUACCAAAAAUGGCCUCCGCAAUAUUCUUUUCAGUGUGCAUCACGUUGAUGUUAUGUGAUCCCAUAAGCAUGACUUGUGAGUCCAGGCGUGUUCCGUAUUAUACCCUUUGAAGUACCCUGGACGCAAAGGAUCAAGCUCGAGACCGUUUAACUGAUCAAGGGUAGUGUUUUUGACAACUCUACCUUUGAUGAAAUUCUUCUUGUCUUUUUUGAACUUAUGGUCAGGAUCGAGGAACUUUCUAUGCAUGUGGAAGCAAGAAAACUUGCGACCAGCCUGCAGCGAACGGAACUGAAGAGUUGCCUUGCAUGUGGUGGACGGGAACCUUCCAUGCACACACCAACCAGCGAAUAGUGCAAACGCCGGAUAAUUAUGCAUCGAGUACAUGUACCACACAUUCAUUUUGAAAUUUGUUUUGGUAGCAGAGUCGUAUGUCUUGAUCCCAUUAUCCCAGGCUUCUUGCAACUCAUCCUUAAGCGGCUGCAUGUACACAUUCAUGUUCUUCCCCGGAUAGUUGGGCCCUGGAAUUAUCAGCGUCAGGAAAAUGUUCUUUCUUUUCAUAAUCUCUCCGGGUGGGAGAUUGAGUGGAAUGACAAAUACAGGCCAACAACUUUAUUGUGAUGCAGUCAUACCAUACACAUUGAACCCAUCCGUGCUGAUGGCAACUCUAGGAUGCCUUGGAUCUUCUGAUUUAUCCUUAUGUAAUGCAUCGAAGUGCUUCCAUGCAAAACCAUCUGAAGUGUGUACCAGCAUAUUGUUCCCAUCCGCAUCUAGUUCGGUUCUUUUGCCCAAUUUGUGCCAUGCCAUCUGUGUGGCCUUCUCUUCGGCCAUGAAAAGAUGUUGAAGUCUUGGUACGAUUGGUAGAUACCGAAGAACACUAAUCGGGAUUUUGGUCUGAUUCUUCUCACCCAUACCGUUGUCUACCACAAUAUACCUGGUAGAAUUGCAAAUGGGCAGUAGUUCAAGGCCGCAUACUGAAGCCUAAAUAAGGCACAUCCAUUCUCACACGCAUGUAUCUUCUCAUAGGACAUCUUAAGUACACGGAGGAUUCUCUCUGACUCGUACGUGUUUGCAGGCUAUACAUGGCCUUUGGGUAGAAAGCGUCCAAAUAUCAUCAUCAUCACGUCGUAGAAUUCUCUGUCUAGGUUGAAUUGAGCCUUCAGAGCCAUUACUUGCGCGAUGGCAUCCAGCUGACAAAGCUCAGUGUGCUCAUGGAGAGGACGUUUUGAAGACUCCAACAUUUCAUAGAAGGCCUUUGCAGAUUCCUCCAUCUCAUCGUCCGUAUCCUGAGCAUCAUCAAAGUCUUGCACCAUGUCUUCGAUCUCGGUACCAUGCUCGUCGGUGCGACGACGAAUCACCUCAGCUCUGGCACGUUGGUCAGACUCACCAUGAAAAGUCCACACCGUAUAAUUAGGCAUAAAACACAACUUCUGCAAGUGUUUACCCAUUUCAAACUCUAUAUGAUUUUUCUAGUUGUCGCAGUUGGGACAGGGGCACCAUGUUUUUUGCUGGCCAUUUGCAAAUGCGGCUCUCAAAAACCCCCUGGUUUUUGUUAACCAUUCAUGGGUCAUGUCUUUCUGACAAGGGUGACCAGUGUACAUCCAAGCACAAUCACUCAUCUUGCCUAGCUACCUAUGGGCACACAAGAAAUAAAUAUAUAAUUCAUAAUCUAUAUUCAUCCGCUAAUCAAGUUUGUCAGUUUUAUUACGUCCAUGCAACCUACACGCUGAUAGGUAAAGAUAGGUCCUAAUCCCACCCGAGUAUGUGUAGAUUGGGUUCGUUUUCCCAUCCUCUGCUCCAGAUCUGACGCAGAAUUUUGGCAGCACCUCCCUGCUGUUCUCCUGAUACACGUCUCGGCAAUAAGAAGAGAGGACAUGUACCCGGAGAAUAACAGGGAGGCACUGACAAAAUUCUGCAUCGGAUCCGGAGCACAACAUACGGGAAAACGAACCCAUUCUACAAAUACUCGGGCUGUCCAUGGAUAACAUUGGACAAUUGGAAAGGAUGUCGGUUAUAAAUAUGCAAAGACAUGCAUAUUUAUAGAUGUCGCCCUUUCGAACGGGAGACGCAUACCGGUCACACAUACUCAUGAUUGAAGAAACCUAUAGCUAGCAAGUUUCAUCGGCACGAAGACCGGAACAGAGAAAAUUAAGGGGGUAGGAGGAGAAGUCAUUUGUGCUCACGAGCAAAAAAGCAGGGGCGGAGCUCGUCCAACGCACGUGGAGGUCGUCGAACAACUGCACAUUGAACUUCACCCGAUCAACACAAAUGUGAUGUUUUUAUAACAUAAUCGGAAAAUAUGUGACCUAACUCAUAAUUUACAAAACUAUGACCCCGUCGUCCUCUGGAAGGCCGAAAAGCACCUUCUCGUUCAACAGGAGGCAGAAGAGGUGUCGGGGGUUGGGGCUUAGUGGCGUCGGAGUCAUUGCCGUCGAGGGUCGGUGGUGUCGGGUGUCGGUGGCGUCGGGGGUCGGGGGUUAGUUGCGUCGGUGGUCGGGGGUCAGUGUCGUCGGGGGUUAGUGUCGUCGGGGGUCAGUGUCGUCGGAGGUCGAUGGUGAGUGGCAUCGGGGGUCGGGGGUCUUUUCAGUCAAUAAGAGGCCGAAGAGGUGUCGGGGGUAGGGGUGGGGGGUCAGUGGCGUCGGCGGUCAGGGGUAGGGGGUCAGGGGUCAGGGGUCGAGGAUUAGUGGCGUCGGGGGUCGGGGGUCGAGGGUCAGUGGCGUCGGGGGUGAGGGGUCAAGGGUCAGUGGCGCCGGUAGUCGAGGGUCGGUGGCAUAGGGCGUCGGGGGUCGGGGGUCGGGAGUCGGGGGUCGGGGUUUAGUGGCGUCGGGAGUCGUGGGUCAGUGGCGUCGGGAGUCGAGGGUCAGUGGCGUCGGGGGUCGAGGGUCAGUGGCGUCGGGGGUUGGGGGUCAGUGGCGUCGGGGGUCGGGGGUCAGUGACGUCAGGGGUCGGGGGUCAAUGGCGUCGGGGGUCGAGGGUCGAGGGUCAGUGGUGUCGGGCGCCGGGGGUCGGGGGUCGAGGGUCACUGUCGGGGUGCCGGGGUUCCUUUUUGCUCUUCUUUCUUCUUCUCCUCUCUCCUCUUUUUCUUCUUCUUCUUCUUCUUUUUUCUCCUCCUCCUCCUCCUCCUCUUCUUCUUCUUCUUCUUAUUAUUAUUAUUAUUAUAAUUAUUUCUCCUCCUCCUCCUCCUCCUCUUCUUCUUAUUAUUAUUAUUAUUCUCCUUCUUCUUUUCCUUUUUCUUCUUCUAAUUAUUUUCUUCUUUUGCUUUUUUCUUUUUCAUUUUUUUCCUUCUUCUUUUCCUCUUUUUUUCUUCUAACCUAACUAACUAACCUAAUUAGCCUAAUAAUCUAACCUAAUAGACUAACCUACUAAACUAACUAAAUUAACCUAAAAUAAAAAACUAACCUAAUAAACUAACUAAAUUAAUUAACUUAAUCAAACAGAACAAGAAGAAGGACUCACCGGCAGUGGGCAGCGGGGCGACGUGGGCGGCGGUGGAGGACGACAGGGGGCGACAGGGCUGCCGUGAGGGCCGGAGCGGGCUAGGGUGGCCGGGGGCGGCUGUGGCGGCCAGGGCGGGGUGGUGGGCCGGAGCGGCUCCGACAUUGGCGGUGACGGCGGCGGCGGGUGGGCACGCGAGAGAGAGAGGGCCGGGCGAGAGAGAGAGAGCGGACAGGUGGUGGGCGCGAGAGCCGUUAGGGGAGGGACCGGGUGGGGGAUGUGUGCCAUUAGAGAGAGCCCACUUUGCCAUCUGCAAAGGCUGGGUGGCAGACGACAAAGGAGUGGGUGGGGUGGGGUGGGCUCCGGCCGUUUGGGUGGCGCCCCCUUUGUCGUCUGCCUCCCCUUUGUCGUCCGCCUUUGGUUCCUUUGCCGUCUGCAAGGCCUAUGGAAAAUAGAAAUUUUGCCUUAAGUGAUAUGUUUGCCGUCUGCUUCGUGCCACCUGACGGCAAAGUAGCUCUUUGCCAUGUGUCAGUAGACGGCAAAGGCAAGGCAGACGACAAGUUUCUGAAUUCCAGUAGUGAAUAAAGUAAAGUAAUCUCAUGGCGUUGCAUCUCAUACAAUAAAUUAAGACAACUCAUAUGGCUCCUGACGGUUGUCAUACUCAUCGACAUGCAAGUCGUGAAUCCUAUUACAAGAACAUGAUCAAUCUCAUACAUCACAUAUGUAACAUCACAUCCUUUUGGCUAUAUCACUGUUGGGGAACGUGGUAAAUUAAAAAAAUUCCUACGCCAUGCAAGGACCUAUCUAUGGAGAAACCAACAACGAGAGAGGUUAUAGAGCAUCUUCAUACCUUUGAAGAUCGCUAAGCGGAAGCGUUGCUAGAACGCGGUUGAUGGAGUCGUACUCGCAGAGAUUCAGGAUUCAGAUCUAUGCCUCCGCGUUCAACACACGUGCAGCCCGGUGACAUCUCCCAUGCCUUGAUCCAGCAAGGAGGAGGGAGAGGUUGGGGAGGAGCUCCGGCAACACGACGGCGUCGUGACUGUGGAGCUAUGUGGUACUCCGACAUAGCUUCACUAAGCACUACGGAGGAUGAGGAGGAGGAGGAGUAUGGCUGCACUGUGGAGAGAUAAAUUGUGUGUCUCAAAAGGACAAAACCCUCCACUAUAUAUAGGAGGAGAGGAAGGAGGUGCCUGCUCCUGGCUACGCCUGUAGGGAUUUCCUUGGCAAAUAUGCAAAGUAUUCCCCCGCGGCCUUGGAGCCUUGUGUUGGUGUUCCCUUGAAGAGGAAAUGGUGAUGUAGCACGGCGGCGGUAAGUAUUUCCCUCAGUUUGUGAACCAAGGUAUCAAUCCAGUAGGAGAAUCGCGUCAAGUCACAAGUACCUGCACAAACACAAGGAGCUUGCACCCAACGCUAUGAAGGGGUUGUCAAUCCCUUAUAGAUUGUUUGCAAAGUGAGCACUGAAAGCAAAAAAGUAAACAAAGCAAAGUAAAAGUAAAAGCUGAGAUGAUAGUUGUGAAUAGACCCGGGGGUCGUAGUGUUCACUAGUGGCUUCUCUCAUGAAAGCAAGUAGACGGUGGGUGAAUGAAUUAUUGUCGAGCAAUUGAUAGAACCGCGCAAAGUCAUGACGCUAUGUAUGGAAAUGAUCAUAUCUAUAGGCAUCACGUCCAAAACAAGUAGACCGAUACUUUCUGCAUCUACUACUAUUACUCCACACGUCGACCGCUAUCCAGCAUGCAUCUAGUGUAUUGAGUUCCUAAGAACAGAGUAACGCCUUAAGCAAGAUGACAUGAUGUAGAUGGACAAUCUCAAAUCUAUGAUGAAAGCCCAUCUUGUUACCCUUGAUGGCAACAACAUGAUGCGUGCCUUGUUGCCCCUUCUGUCAUUGGGAAAGGUCAUCGCACGGUAUGAACCCAAAACCAAGCAGUUCUCCCAUUGUAAGAAUCAUAGGUCUAGUUGGCCAAACAAAACCCAAGACUCGGAGAGACUUACAAGGAUAUAAAAUCAUGCAUAUAAGAAAUCAGCAAAGACUCAAAUAUAAUUCAUAGAUAAUCUGAUCACAAAUCCACAAUUCAUCGGAUCUUGACAAACACAUCGCCAAAGAGGAUUACAUCGGAUAGAUCUCCAUGAAGAUCAUGGAGAACUUUGUAUUGAAGAUCCAAGAGAUAGAAGAAGCCAUCUAGCUACUAGCAACGGACCCGUAGGUCUGAAGUGGACUACUCACGAGUCAUUCGAGAGGCAAUGAUGUUGAUGUAGAAGCCCUCCAGCUCCAAAGUCCCCUCCGGCAGGGCACCGGGAAGGGUCUCCAGAUGAGAUCUCGCGAAAACGGAAGCUUGCGGUGGCGGAAAAGUGGUUUCGUGGACGCCCUGAUUUUUUCUGGGAUUUUAGGGAAUAAAUAGGCCAAAGAGCUAGGGCAGGGGAGCUCCCGGGGGGCCACAAUCCUGGUAUCCGCGGGCCCCCUAGCCGCGGCUACAGGGCUUGUGGGCCCCCUGUGGGCCUCCUGCGUUGGCCCUCAAGUCCCCCGAUCUUCUUCUGUUCUAGAAAAAUUUAUUUUGGGGAUUUUAUUCGGUUUGGACUCCAUUCCAAAAUCAGAUCUGAAAAGAGUCAAACACACAGAAAAACAAGAACUGACACUGAAUUAAUAAGUUAGUCCCAAAAAAGAUAUAAAAGGUAUAUAAAACAUCCAAAGUUGACAGGAUAACAUCAUGAAACCAUCAAAAAUUAUAGAUACGUUUGAGACAUAUCAAGCAUCCCCAAGCUUUAACUCCUGGUCGUCCUCGAGUAGGGAAGUGAUAAAGAAUGAAUUCUUUAUGCUUUCAUGCUACCUAGCAUAGAUGACCUUUGUAACUCCUCUUAUGUGACAUGAAUGUUCAGAUCCGUUAGAUUCAAAACAAUAGUUUUCUAUUGACGUGGAGACAAUAAUACUUCAAGCAAACUAGCAAGGUAAUCAUGAACUUUCAUAAUAACAAGGCCAAAAGAAAGUUAUCCCUACAAAAUCAUAUAGUCUAGCUAUGCUCUAUCAUCCUUGCACAACGAAUUUAAAUCAUGCACAACCUCGGUAUUGGCCAAGCAAUUUUUUUCACACCUUUACUUUCUCAAACCUUUUCAACUCUCACGCAAUACAUGAGCGUGAGCCAUGGUUUUAGCACUAUAAGUGGAAUGGACUGUGGCGGAGGUUGCAAGACAAAUAAGGAGAAGAUGGUCACAUUGACUAGGCAUAUCAAUGAGCUAUGGAGAUGCUCAUCAAUAGAUAUCAAUGUGAAUGAGUAGGGAUUGCCAUACAAAUGACGCACUAUAGCUAAGAGUAUGUGAAAGCUCUUAAAGAAAACUAGUGGGUGUGCAUCCAACUUGCUUGCUCACGAAGACCUAAGGAAUUUUGAGGAAGCCCAUCAUUGGAAUAUACAAGCCAAGUUAUAUAAUGAAAAUUUCCCACUAGCUAUAUGGUGGUGACAAAACGAGAGACUCUCAAUCAUGAAGAUCAUGGUGCUUAAUAUGAAGCACGAGUGUGGAAAGGAGAUAGUAGCAUUGUCCCUUCUCUGUUUUUCUCUCAUUUGUUUUUUGGUGGGCUCUUUGGCCUCUUUUUUUCUUUUUUUUUCUUUUUUAUUUUGGUGGGAAUCUUUGGCCUCUUUUAUUUCCUCACAUGGGACAAUGCUCCAUCAAUGAUGAUCAUCACACUUACAACUCAAAACUUAGAGCAAUGAUGACUCCAUAUGGAAUGCCUUCGGUAGUGUACCGUGACAAUGAUCUAGCAUGACAUAGACAUCAAUGGAAACAUCAUGCUAGCUAUCUUAUGAUCAUGCAAUGGCAAUGUAGAAGCUGUGGCACAUGUCAUGGUGGUAGUUGCAUGGCAAUAUAUCUCGGAAUGGCUUUGAAAAAGCCAUAGUAGGUAGGUAUGGUGGCUGUUUUCAGGGAGGCUAAUGGUGGGUUUUAUGCACCGGCAAAAGUUGCACGACACUAAAGAAGAUAGUGAUGGUGGAAGGUGAAAGUGCAUCUAAACCAUGGACUCAACAUUAGUCAUGAAGAAUUCAUAUACUUGUUGCAAAAGUAUUAGUAGUAAUCGAAACAAAGCAUUCAACGCAUACUCCUAGGGGAAGGGUUGGUAGGUAUAAACCAUCACGCGAUCCUGACCGCUACACAAAGGAUGACAAUCAAUAAACUAAUCAUGCUCAGACUUCAUCACAUAGAGGUUCACCAUACGUGCAUGCUACGGGAAUCACUAACUUCUACACGAGUAUUUCUAGAUCCACAACACCUUACUAGUACAACUUCAAUAUUACCACAACCACAACUCAAAACUAAUGGAGAUGAAUCCAACUUCUCUAACUACUCAAUGCACAUGAAGGUGGAAGUUUUCAUAUCCCUUUGGAUAACUACCACUUUUGAGACUACUUUCAUAGCAUAGAUCAACUACCACGCCAUGCACUACCGUGCUCCAAAAGAUAGAAGUGAAACACACAGAGCAAAAUCAACUAGCUCAAAAGAUAUAAGUGAAACACGUGUGAGCUGAAUUGUCCAACCAAAGGAUAUAAGUGAAGCUCGACAAAAUCACGAUGAGUGCAUGUCUCUCUCUCUCUAGGUGUGCAGCAAGGAAGAUUGUGACACAACAAAAAUAAAAGACUCCUAUGAUACAAGAAGCUCCAAGCAAAACACAUAACAUGUGGUGAAUAAAAAUAUAGCCCCAAGUAACGUUACCGAUGGAUUGAAGACGAAAGAGGGGAUGCCUUCCUGGGGCAUCCCCAAGCUUAGGCUUUUUCGGCAUCCUUGAAUCAACUUGGGGUGCCUUGGGCAUCCCCAAGCUUGAGCUCUUGCCACUCUUUAUCUCUUUGUCCAUAAGAACUUCACCCAAAACUUGAAAACUUCACAACACGAAACUCAAACAGAAACUCGUGAUAUCAUUAGUAUAAGAAAGCAAAUCACCACUUAUUUAGGUACUGAAGCAAACUUAAAUUCUACUUAUGUUCAUGUUGGGUUACUGUAUUUUCAAUCUUCCAUGGAUAAUACCCCCUGAUACUAUCCAUUGUUUCAUCAAAAUAAGCAACCAACUCAACAAAAACAGAAUCUGUUAACAGCAGACCAGUCUGUAGAAAUCUGUAUACUUCGUAUACUUCUGGUACUUCAAACAUUUUGAACAAUUACGACAGUCUGAAGAAUUUGCGUAGCAAUCUGCAACAAAAAGAAUCAACUCAAAAUCUCUCACAGAAAAACAAUGAAAAUUCUUUUUGUGAGCAGAAAGUUUCUGUCUUUUCCUGCAUGAUCAAACGAUCACCCCCAAGACUAAUCAUUACGGUUUUACUUAGGACAAACGCAAAAGAAACACAAAAAACACAAUCAUAACAUAAUUAUGAAAGUGUGGAAAACAUAAAACAGAAAGAAAAAGGAUAGAUUCGUUGUGUUGCCUCCCAACAAGCGUUAUUGUUUAGCGCCCUUAGCUAGGCAUAAGGUGAUGGAAUCACGUAUAGUCAUCUUUGGUGCUCAAACCAUAAGUAGCCCUCAUCAUAGAUUCAUAAGACAAUCUUAUUUUCUUUCUAGGAAAAUGCUCCAUGCCCUUCUUUAGAGGAAAUUGAAAUCUAAUAUUCCCUUCCUUCAUAUCGAUGGUAGCACCAAUAGUCCUUAGGAAAGGUCUACCAAGAAUAAUGGGACAUGAAGGAUUGCAAUCUAUGUCAAGUACAAUGAAAUCCACUGGUACAUAGUUCUUAUUUGCAACAAUAAGAAAAUAAUUGAUCCUUCCCAUGGGUUUCUUGACAGUAGAAUCCGCAAGAUGCAAAUUAAGAGAANNNNNNNNNNNNNNNNNNNNNNNNNNNNNNNNNNNNNNNNNNNNNNNNNNNNNNNNNNNNNNNNNNNNNNNNNNNNNNNNNNNNNNNNNNNNNNNNNNNNNNNNNNNNNNNNNNNNNNNNNNNNNNNNNNNNNNNNNNNNNNNNNNNNNNNNNNNNNNNNNNNNNNNNNNNNNNNNNNCAAAGCAUUGCAUUCAUAGUUUUUGAUUUUGAUUUUGAUAGUAGGUUCCCACUCAUCAUGAAGUUUUCUGGGUAUAGAGACUUUUAAUUCGAGUUUCUCUUCAAGAGAUUUCAUCAUAGCAUCUAUGAUAUGUGCGGUAAAGGCUUAGCUUUGGCUACAAGCAUGUGGAGAGUUUGCAAUGGAUUGCAUCAAGGAAAUGCAUUCAAACAAGGAGCAAUUAUCAUAAGUGAAUUCCUUGAAAUCCAAAGUGGGAGUUUCAUUACUACCCAGUAUUUUGAUUUCUUCUACUCCACUCUCCACACCUUUAUCACCAAGAUAGGUGGACUCCGAAUCAUUGGGGCGUUUUUCAACCAAAGUGGAUUCAUAUCCAGCCCCUUCAUCAAUAGGUUUGACACGCGAAAACAAAGAUUCAAGAGGAGUCACACCAAGCACUUCGUGAUUUGCAUCACUAGAACGCACCCUUUUAAACCAUUCAUACUUAACGUGAAUUUGGGUGGUUCUUUCUUUACUCUCAUUCAUGGAGACACGCAUAGAUUUCAAAGUUUCAUCCAAGUUAACCUUGGGAGGAGCACAUCUAAUUUCAAAGCAUCAAUAUCACAAGACAUCCUAUCAACGCUCUUAGCCAAAUCGUCUAUUUUGAGUAGUUUUUCCUCUAUGGACGCAUUGAAAAUCUUUUGAGAGUUGAUGAACUCUUUGAUAUUACUCUCUAAAUCAGAGGGUAAUUUGUUAUGAUUUCCAUAAGUGUUGUUGUAGGAAUUGCCAUAGUUGUUAGAGGAGUUACUAGGAAAAGGCCUAGGAACAUAGUUUCCUCUAAAAGCAUUGUUGUUGCCAAAAUUGUUCCUACCAACAAAAUUAACGUCCAAACUAGCGUUGCUACUCUCAAUCAAGGAAGAUAGUGGCAUGUCAUUAGGAUCUAAAGGAGCAUUUAUACUAGCAACCAAAUUCACCAACUCGUCCAUCUUAGCACUAAGCGAGUUAAUUUCUUCUAUAGCGUGUACCUUUUUGCUAGCAGGUGACCUUUCAGUGUGCCACUGAGAGUAGUUGGUCAUGAUAUUGUCUAGGAGUUUUGUAGCGUCUCCUAACGUGAUUUCCAUGAAUGUUCCACUUGAGGCGGAGUCCAAGAUGUUGCAAGAAGCAAAAUUCAAACCAGCGUAAAAGAUUUGUAUAAUCAUCCACAAACUCAAGCCAUGAGCGGGACAAUUUCUAAUCAUUAAAUUCAUCCUCUCCCAAGAUUGUGCAACGUCUUCAUGAUCAACUUGCUUGAAAUUCAUGAUAUCGUUACGGAGAGAGAUAAUCUUAGCCGGCGAAAAAUACUUGGAUAUGUAAGCAUCUUUGCACUUAUUCCAAGAAUCGAUACUAUUUUUAGGCAAAGAAGGAAACCAAGUUUUUGCACGAUCUCACAAAGAGAAGGGAAAAAGCUUCAAUUUAACAACAUCAUUAUCCACAUCUUUCUUCUUUUGCAUAUCGCAGAGUUCAACGAAAGUAUUAAGAUGGGAUGCGGCAUCUUCACUAGGAAGGCCAGAAAAUUGCUCUUUCAUAACAAGAUUCAGCAAGGCAGCGUUGAUUUCAUAUGAUUCCGCACUAGUGGCGGGAGCAAUCGGAGUACUAAUAAAAUCAUUAUUAUUAGUAUUCGAGAAGUCGCAAAGUUUGGUGUUUUCAGCCAUGAUGACUUCAACAAACAAACAAGAACACAAGCAAGCAAGAAAACUGGCAAAGGAAAACGGCAAAAGGCAAAUGAAAACAGCAAAGGAGAAAGGCAAAUGAAAACGGCAAAUGUGAAGUGGGGGAGAGGAAAACAAGAGGCAACUCGCAAAAAAGGUAAAUGCAAGAGAUGAGUUUGUGACACUUACUUGGAUAGAUCUUGACUUGAUCUCCCCGGCAACGGCGCCAUAAAUCCUUCUGCUGCUGGCUACGCCUAUAGGGAUUUCCUUGGCAAAUAUGCAAAGGAUUCCCUCGCGGCCUUGGAGCCUUGCGUUGGUGUUCCCUUGAAGAGGAAAGGGUGAUGUAGCACAGCGGCGGUAAGUAUUUCCCUCAGUUUGAGAACCAAGGUAUCAAUCCAGUAGGAGAAUCGCGUCAAGUCACAAGUUCCUGCACAAACACAAAGAGAUUGCACCCAACGCUAUGAAGGGGUUGUCAAUCCCUUAAAGAUUGUUUGCAUUGAAAGCAGAAAAGUAAACAAAGCAAAGUAAAAGUUGAGAUGAUAGUUGUGAAUAGACCCGUGGGCCGUAGUGUUCACUAGUGGCUUCUCUCGUGAAAGCAAGUAGACAGUGGGUGAACGAAUUACUGUCGAGCAAUUGAUAGAACUGCUCAAAGUCAUGACGUUAUCUAUGGCAAUGAUCAUAUCUAUAGGCAUCAGAUCUAGUUGGCCAAACAAAACCCAAGACUCGGAGAUACUUACAAGGAUAUCAAAUCAUGCAUAUAAGAAAUCAGCAAAGACUCAAAUAUAAUUCAAAGAUAAUCUGACCACAAAUCCAUAAUUCAUCAGAUCUCGACAAACACACCGCCAAAGAGGAUUACAUCGGAUAGAUCUCCAUGAAGAUCAUGGAGAANNNNNNNNNNCCGCCAAAGAGGAUUACAUCAGAUAGAUCUCCAUGAAGAUCAUGGAGAACUUUGUAUUGAAGAUCCAAGAGAGAGAAGAAGCCAUCUAGCUACUAACUACGGACCCGUAGGUCUGAACUGGACUACUCACGAGUCAUUGGAGAGGCAAUGAUGUUGAUGUAGAAGCCCUCUAGCUCCAAUGUCCCCUCCGGCAGGGCACCGGGAAGGGUCUCCAGAUGAGAUCUCGCGGAAAUGGAAGGUUGCGGCGGUGGAAAAGUGGUUUCGUGGACGCCCUGAUUUUUUCUGGUAUUUUAGGGAAUAAAUAGGCCAAAGAGCUAGGGCAGGGGAGCUCCAGGGGGGCCACAAGCCUGGUAGCCGCGGGCCCCCAUGGCCGCGGCUACAGGGCUUGUGGGCCCCCUGUGGGCCUCCUGCCUUGGCCCUCAAGUCCCCCGAUCUUCUUCUGUUCUGGAAAAAUUUAUUUCGGGGAUUUUAUUCCAUUUGGACUCCGUUCCAAAAUCAGAUGCGAAAAGUGUCAAAAACACAGCAAAAACAGGAACUGGUACUUGGCACUGAAUUAAUAAGUUAGUCCCAAAAAAGAUAUAAAAGGUAUAUGAAACAUCCAAAGUUGACAGGAUAACAGCAUGAAACCAUCAAAAAUUAUAGAUACGUUUGAGACGUAUCAGUGCCCACCCUUAGGGUUCCCACCCUAAGGGGUGCGGCAGCCCCAUCUAGGGCAAGGGGGCGAGGCCAAGGGGUGGAGGCGCCCUAGGAUUCGCCUUUGGGCCCAAGGGUGCCCUCCCACGCCUAGGGUUGGCCCUCCCCCACCCUUAUGCGCCUUGGGCUGAGCGAGGGAGGCGCACCAGCCCACUUUGGGCUGGUUCCCUUCCACCUUUUAGCCCAUGUACCCUUUUGGGGCUGGUGGCCCUUGUCGGUGGACCCUCGGAACCCUUCCGAUGGUCCAUGUACAUUACCAGUGACGCUUGAAACAUUUCCUGCGUCCAAAUCCUCACUUCCUACAUAUCAAUAUUUACCUCCGGAUCAUUCCGGAGCUCCUCGUGACGUACGGGAUCUCGUCCGGGACUCCAAACAACCUUCGGUAACCACGUACACUAUUUCCCUAUAACCCUAGCGUCUUCAAACCUUAAGUGUGUAGACCUACGGGUUCGGUAGACAUGCAGACAUGACCCAGACACUUCCCUGGUCAAUAACCAACAGCAGGGUCUGGAUAUCCAUGUUGGUUCCCACAUGUUCCACGGUGAUGUCAUCGGAUGAACCAUGAUGUCAAGGAUUCAAUAAAUCCCGUAUGCAAUUCCCAUUGUCUACCGGUAUGAUACUUGCCCGAGAUUCGAUCGUCGGUAUGCCUAUACCUUGUUCAAUUUUGUUAUCGGGAAGUCUCUUUACUCGUUCUGUAACACAUCAUCCCAUGGCUAACCCCUUAGUCACAUUGAGCUCAUUAUGAUUAUGGAUUACCGAGUGGGCCCAGAGAUACCUCUCCGUCACACGGAGUGACAAAUCCCAGUCCGAUUCGUAUAACCCAACAAACACAUUCAGAGAUACUCGUAGUGCACCUUUAUAAUCACCCAGUUACGUUGUGACGUUUGAUACACCCAAAGCACUCCUACGGUAUCCGGGAGUUGCACAAUCUCAUGGUCUAAGGGAACGAUACUUGACAUUAGAAAAGCUUUAGCAGACUAACAACACGAUCUAGUGCUAUGCUUAGGAUUGGGUCUUGUCCAUCACAUCAUUCCCCAAUGAUGUGAUCCCGUUAUCAAUGACAUCCAAUGUCCAUGAUCAGGAAGCCAUGAUCAUCUAUUGAUCAAUGAGCUAGCCAACUAGAGGCUCACUAGGGACAUAUUGUGAUCUAUAUAUUCACACAUGUAUUAUGGUUUCCGGGUAAUACAAUUAUAGCAUGAAUAAUAGACAAUUAUCAUGAACCAGUAAAUAUAAUAAUAACCACUUUAUUAUUGCCUCUAGGGCAUAUUUCCAACAAAUACAAUUAUAGCCUGAAUAAUAAACGAUUAUCUUGAAGCAGGAAAUACAAUAAUAACUAUUUUAUUAUUGCCUCUAGGGCAUAUUUCCAACAAUAGAUGUCCUCUGUGACCGAUCCCCCCUCCGACAGGGCAUCAGAAUACGUCUCAAGACGGACACAUGAUGAAACAGAAGCAUGCGGCGGUGGAAAAAGUGUUUUCGGAGGCUAUCUAUGGUUUUGCACAUAUAUGAGAAUUUAUAACAAAGCGAUCAGGGCCACACGAGCUAGGAGGUGUCCCAAAUCCAUCAAGGCGCGACCAUCCCCCUAGGCGCACCAUGUUGGCUUGGGGGAACCUCAUGUGCCCUUUGGUACUCCUCCAUAACUUCCAGGUCUUAUUUUUGUCCAUAAAGAAUCAUCAAAAAAAUUCAGGGUAUUUGGACUUCGUUUGGUACAAAAUUCCUCAAAGGCCAAAAACAUGCAAAGAACAACAACUAGCACUUGGCACUAUCAUACAUCCAUUAUCCAUCAUGAAUCCUUAUUGAUACUUAUGUUAUUCUUGUCCAUUAUUCCUCAUUAUGAUACAAUUCUUGUGUCUUUUCUCUAUGAAUAUGCAAGGUACACCACGAAGAGGGAAACUAACAAAAACUGGAAUUCCUGACGUGAAAACCAAGAAAAAAGGUGAGAAAUCACAAGACUCCAAAUGGCCUGAAAUUUCACGAAGAAAUUUUGUGGAAUAUAAAGGGUUAUUGGGCCAAAAAUAUACCAAAGGGGGCCACGAGCAAACAUGGCGCAACCACCCCCUCGUCGCGCCAUGUUGCCUCGUGGUGGCCUAAUAGGUAUCUCGACCCACCUCUUCUCCUAUAUGGUGUGUUUUGACCUAGAAAAAAUCACAAGCAUACUUUCGGGGUGAAGCGUUGCUGUCUCGAGGCGGAAAAUUGAGCAUAGUCCCUUUUGCUCUCUAAUAGAGAGAUUCUGCCUCAGAAAUUCCUCUCGAGGAGGGGGAGAUCGAAGUCAUCGUCAUCGCUAAUUCUCCCUCCUUCAUGGGAGGACAAAUAUUCAUCAACAUCUGCACUAGCACCAUCUCAUCUCCAACCCUAGUUCAUCUCUUGUAUUCAAUAUUUGUCUCAAAACCUCAUAUUGGUACGUGUGGGUUACUAGUAAUGUUGAUUACAUCUCGUAGUUGAUGCUUGUUGGAUUACUUGGUGAAAGAUAUUAUGUUCAGAUCCUUAAUCACCAUUAUUAUACCUCUAAUCUUCAACAUGUUAAUGAGGUGUGAGUAGUUACUGUUGUUAUUGAGGACAUGGGAGAAGUCUUUUUAUAAGUAAUCAUGUGAUGUUGGUAGUUGUUCGAUAUUUUGAUGAUGUGUAUGUUGUUGCUUCUCUUAGUGGUGUCAUGUGAACAUCGACUACAUGGCACUUCACAUGUUACAGGCCUAAGGGAAGGCAUUUCGGAGUAACAAGUAGAUGAUGGCACUAUGCCACGGUCAAGAUUUAGUGACAGAUCAAUCUGUUGGCAUAGGGUACCUUUGCCGACACAUAAAUUGUAGCUAACACCUAUGCCGACACAGGAUAAAAUAGUCGGAGGAAUCGUUGUGGGCAAAGGUAUCACCAACAUUUGUUUACUUUCUUACACAUAUUUAGUCGGCAUACACCCUACCUUUGGCGACACAUUUUCAGUCUGCUUACACCCUACCUUUCUCGACAUUUGAUUUGUGGGUAUACAACCUACCUACCCCGACAUUUGAUUUGUGUGCAUACACCCUAACUUUGGCGACACUUAAUACGUCACAUUAGAUACAUACCUUUUCCAACAUUUAAUAUGUCACGCAGCAACAGGCAGCAGGGCGACAUCAGCUCCGACAGUAGUAGCUCCGGCAGCAGCAGCUCCUGCAACAGAUGGCAACAGGGCGACAACAACUUCGGUAGUAGCAGCUCGGUGACAGCAACUCUGGCAACAGCAGCUCCUGCAGCAGCAGCUCUAGCAACAGAUGGCAGCAGGGCGACAGAAGCAGCUCCGGCGGCAGCAGUUAUGGCAGUAGGGCUCUAGCAGCUCCGGUAGCAGCAUGCGAGAGGUGGAGCUCGAGGCCGGCGCGCGAGGGAGGCCAGCUCAUGGGCGAUGCCGGCGUGCGAGGGAGGCCGAUGCGUGAGGUGGAGCAUGCGAGGUGGAGCGCGUGGGAGUUGUAGCGCGUGGGAGGCUGGCGGCAUGGGAGGUGGAGCAUGAGGCCGGUGGCACAGGAGGUGGAGCCUGAGGCACGAGUAGGGUUGGGGUUGACUGGAUUUGUGGGAUAUUUUGCUCCUGAGCCAAAAAAUUCAUCCUCGCGCCUAAAUCACGCGCCAAAUUCAUGACCAUCCGUGUUUUGACACAUGUCGACCUACGCUGACACUUAGUCCGUGUGCAUACACCCUACCUAUGCCGACAAUUUUAAUGUCAUUAAGUGCGUGUAUACGUCGACUGAUAAACUGUUAAGGGACAUACAUAUGUCGACACAUACUGUGUUGUACAAGAAAUGCCAACACAUACAUUGUAGCUUUGUGGUUGCCGACACUUAUUGUGUUAACGAUGAUGUAACCUUACUGACACAUGAUCCGAAGGCAAAACUUAAAAGCUAUGCUGACAGUUAUUUUGUGGGCAUUAGUGGACCUUUGCCAAUAGAAUGGUGUCACCUAAGCUCUACCGUGGUGUAGUGUGGGUUGCGAGAGUGACAGAAGCUUAAACCCCAGUUUAUGCGUUGCUUCAUAAGGGGUUGAUCUGGAUCCACAUGUUUCAUGCUAUGGUCGGUUUUAUCUUAAUUCUUCUUUCGUAGUUGCGGAUGCUUGCACGAGGGGGUAAUCAUAAGUGUCUUUCUUGUUCAAGUAAGAACAUCACCUUAGCACGGGUGCACCCACACAUCAAAUUAUCAAAGUAGCGAAUGUGAAUCAACUCAACAUGAUGAACAUGACUAGACAGUAAUUCCCAUGUGUCCUCUGGAGCGUGUGCUUUAUAUAGGAGUACUUUCGGGAUUGUCCUUUGCUACAAAAGGAUUGAGCUACCUUUCUGCACAUUUUAUACUAUUGUUAUUUGUCACUUGUUAUGAAUUAUCUUACUACAAAACUAUCUAUCACUCUUACUUACAACACUUGUGGAGAAUACCAUGCUGAAAACUGCUUGUCAUUUGCUACUCCUCCUCAUUGGGUUUGACACUCCUGUAUACUUGUGGGUCAUCAAGACUCUUUUAUGGCACCGUUUUCGGGGAGUGCAGCGCCUUUGGUAAGUGGAAAUUGGUAAGGAAACAUUUUUGGUACGUGCCGAAAUUUACUAUUGCUUGUUACUAUGGACGGUUACCCUUUGAGUGACUUGUUCGGGGCAUCUUUUCCUUGAAUGAAAGUUGAAAAGGUUUCUCCUCAACGUACUGAACCUACUGAAAAUAUUUAUUAUGAGAUUCCUUUGGGUAUGCUAGAUAAACUGAUAGCUAAUCCUUAUGAUGGGACAACUUAUCCUGAUUACCACUUGAUAUAUGUCGAUGAGGUUUGUGGAUUAUUUAAGCUUGCAGAUUUGCCUAGAGACAAAGUUAAGAAGAUUUUUUUUUCCUUUAUCUUUGGAGGGAAAAGCAUUGAUGUCUUAGAUGGUAUUGGAUGAUAUUGGAUCAUGGGAAUGGAAUCGCUUAAAGCUAGAAUUUCAUUAGAAGUUUUAUCCUAUGCAUCUAAUUCAUCGUGAUCGGAACUUUAUUUAUAAUUGUUGGCCUCAUGAAGGAGACAACAUCGCUCAAGUUUGGGGAAGGAUUAAAUCUAUGAUGCACACCUUCCCCAAUCAUGAUCUCUCAAGAGAAAUGAUUAUACAAAAAAAGUUAUUUUCGACUUUCUCAUAAUGAUCAAGUACAACUCGAUUCUUCUUCUACUAGUUCUUAUAUGAAAUACUAUUGAAUUCAAAUGUGAUCUUCUGGAAAGAAUUGAACAAAACUACGAGGACUUGGAAUUCGACAAAGGUAAAGAGCUAAGUAUAAAUCUUAAGUUUGAUUAUGUUAAAUGUUUUAUGGAAACCGAUACUUUUCAUAAGUUUAGUAAUAAAUACGGGCUUGACUCUGAGAUAGUAGCUACUUCAUGUGAAUCAUUUGCUACUCAUAUUGAUCUCCCUAAGGAGAAGUGUUUUAAAUAUCAAUCACCUAUUGAAAAAUUAUAAGAGGAACCAUUAAAUUUAAAUAGGAAGCAAUUGUUUAUCGUGUUGAUCCAGUUGUACCUACUGCUUAUAUCGAGAAACCGCCUUUUCCUAUUAGGAUUGGGGAACAUGCUAAAGCUACAACUAUGGUUAAUAAAAGUUAUUUUAGAACACCCCAAACCUUCUAAAUAAAUAAAUGUGGAGCCUAAUAUUGUUGUAAUUGAAGAUAUUUUGGUUGAUAAUAUUGAUGGGUAUGUUAUUUACUUCUGUUCUAAAGCUCCUAGAAUUGCAAAGCCUAUUAGAAAUGAACAGGACAAGCUAGAUAAAAACAAACCAAUCGUUGGCAUGCCUACUGUUUCUGUUAAGAUGGGAGAUCAUUGCUAUCAUGGUUUAUGUGACAUGGGUGCUAGUAUUAGUGCAUACCUUUUACCUUAUACAAAGAAAUUAUGAAUGAUAUAACACUCUCUGAGAUUGAAGAUAUUGAUGUCACUAUUAAACUUGCAAACCGAGAUACUAUCUCGUCGCUUGUUAUUGUUAGAGAUGUUGAAGUCUUGUGUGUAAAAGUCAGUACCCCACCGACUUCUUAGUACUUGGUUCUGAACAAGAUAACUUUUGUCCCUUUUAUUUGGUAGACCUUUCCUGAAUACUAUUAAUGCUGAAAUUAAUUGUGUCACACAGGAAGUUAUAGUAAGCUUUGCUAAUGAGUCUCAUGAAUUUAAUUUCACUAAUGGUAGACAACCACAUGAGAAGGAGUUAUCUAGUAAAUUUGAAAUUAUUGGUCUUGCUUCUAUUGUUGUGCCUCGUACAUAUCCUUUAGAACGAUAUUUGCUAGAACAUGAGAACUAUAUGCAUAUGAAUGAAAUAAAUGAGAUAGAUGAUAUAUUCCUUAGACAAGCACUUAUCCUCAAACACAACUUACCUAUUGAUUGACACGUCUCCAACGUAUAUAUAAUUUUUGAUUGUUCCAUGCUGGUAUAUUAUCAUUCUUGGAUGUUCUACGAUCAUUUUAUAGCAACUUUAUAUCAUUUUGGGACUAACCUAUUGACAUAGUGGCUAGUGCGAGUUGCUGUUUUUUCCUUUGCCAAAAAUCCAUAUCAUAUGAGGUACAAUGCCAUGAAACUUUACCAAGAUUUUUUUUUGUACCAGAAGAAAACUUGGGAGCCAAGAAUGAGUAGCAGACGAGGACCAGAGGGGCCACUAGACAUCAGGGCGCGCGAGAGACCCUUGGCUCGACCCGAUGGCUAGUGGGGCCCUCGGGCACCUCCUCCACCGCCUCUAGGCUCUAUAAGUACCCCAAUACUAAAAAAAUCUAGGGGAGUCGACAAAAAUCAUUUCACCCGCCGCAAGUUCUAGAGCCAUGAAAUCCAAUCUAGAGCCCAUUCAGGAGAGGGACACAAUCAUGGAGGGGUUCACCAUCCUCAUUGGUGCUCCUCCGAUGAUGUGUGAGUAGUUCAUAUCAGACCUACGGGUCCGUAGGCAGUAGCUAGAUGGCUUUCUAUCUCAUUUUGUUUCUCAGUACAAUGGUCCCUUGGAGAUCCAUAUGAUGUAACUCUUUCUUUUGUGGUGUGUUUGUUGGGAUCCGAUGAAUUGUGAGUUUAUGAUCAGAUCUAUGAAAACAUAUUCAUGCUUGAUUAUUAUAGCCUCGUAUUUCUUCUCUGAUAUUUGGUUUUGGUCUGGCCAACUUGAUCUUUUAUCUUGCAAUGGGAACAGGUGCUUGGUGAUGGGUGCGAUCUUGCGGUGCUCAAUCUCAGUGACAGAAAGAGACAUGACACACAUGUAUCAUUGCUAUCAAGGAUAAAACGAUGGGGUAUAUUCAUACAUUAAUAGAUAUUGUCUACAUCAUCUCAUCAUUCUUAAGGCAUUACUCCAUUUCUCCACGAACUCAAUACACUAGAUGCAUGUUGGAUAGCGGUCAAUGUGUGGAGUAAUAGAAAUAGAUGCAGGCAGAAGUCAGUCUGCUUAUCUUGGACAUGAUGCCUAUAUACAUGAUCAUUGUCUUGAAUAUUGUCAUAAUUAUUUUCUCUUCUAUAAAUUACCCAACAGUAAUUUGUCUACCCACUGUUUGCUAUUUUCUCGAGAGAAGCCACUAGUGACACCUACGGCCGCUGGGUCUAUUCCACAUCAUCUAUUUGCAAUCUCUACCUUGCUAUUUGCGUUUCUACUUUAUUUACUCUUUUGUUUUCAGAUCUAUAUUAUCAAAAAAAACCAAAAAUAUGUUGCUGCAUUCUAUUUGCUAUCACUCUUUUUUGCAUCUAUCAAUCUAUCCUUACUUUACCCACGAGGGAUUGACAACCCCUCCACACGUUGGGUUGCGAGGAUUUUCUAUUUGUGUGCAUGUGCUGCUUAGAUAGUCUUGUGGAUCUUCCUAUUGGAUUGAUACCUUGGUUUCUUAACUGAGAGAAAUACUUGUUGUUGCUGUGCUACAUGACCCUUUAGGCUUGGAGGGAAACCAACGCAUCAGCGAGACUAAGCAAGAUUAAUGGCAGUUUUCCACGGAAGAUCAAGUCAAGAUCUAUCAGGUUCCUACACACAAAUCUCUUCUCCUUGCAAUUAUAUUAUUUGCCAUUUGCCUCUCGUUUUCCUCUCCCACACUUCACAAAAAAUUUCCUUUAUAUUUGCCUUAUUUUCGUUUGCCAUUUUCUUGCUGGAUCUCUUGUUUGCCUUAGUUUUUUCUUACAUAGUCCCGAUGACUCAAGAAAACACUAAGUUGUGUGAUUUUUCCAAUACCAACAACAAUGAUUUUAUUAGCACUCCUAUUGCUCCUCCCGCCACUAGUGCCGAGUUUUAUGAUAUUAAUGUCGCUUUGUUGAAUCUUGUUAUGAAAGAGCAAUAUUAUGGUACUCCUAAUGAGGACUCCGCGUCCCAUCUAAACACUUUCAUAGAAUUAUGUGAUAUGCAAAAUAAGAAAGAUGUGGACAAUGAUAUUGUCAAGCUGAAAUUAUUUCCCUUCUAUUUGUGUGUUCGUGCUAAAAUUUGGUUUUCAUCUAUUGUGAGAUUGAUAGAAGAGGCGUAUAGAGGGGGGGUGAAUAGACUACUUGCAUAAAUUAAAAUCCUAUCUUUUUCCCAAUUUAAUGGUUGGAAGAUUUUAGCGAUUCUAACAAGUCUAGUGGACCCUACACAUGCUAGUCAAGAAAUAUGGUAGCAGAAAGUAAAGACUUUGCACAUGUAGUAAGGAGUAGAGUUUAGGAAGAUGAAAGCAAAGAAGUUGAUACAGUGCUUUUUGGCAUGGUUCUGAUAGGUGGUGCUAUCAUACGUCCAUGUUAGCGGAGACUUCAACCCAGGGAGGGUAACGGUUGCGAGAGUCCAUGGAGGGCUCCACCCACAAGGGGUCCAUAAAUAAGCGGCCUUGUCUAUUCCACCACGGCUUCCGUCCACACAACACUAGCCUCACUCACGGUAGAUCUUCAAGAAGUAGGCGAUAUCCUUGCCCGUACAAACAUCUUGGUUCAACUCCAGAACACGAAUUAGGAGGAUCUCAAGCGACACCUAACCAAUCUAGGAGGCACCACCCUCCAAAAGGUAAUAGAUGUGGUAGAACGAUGAAUUCCUUGCUCUUGUGCUUCAAAAUAUAGUCUCCUCAACACUCAGUCACUCUAUCUCAGAUUUGGAUGGGGUAGGAGAGAUUGAUCUUGUGGAAAGCAACUUGGGGAGUCUAGAGAUCAAGUUUCAAAUGAUUGGAAUGGAAUCUCUCGAUCUCAACACAGGAGUAGGUGGCUCUCUCUCACAAAAAUGGAUCUGGAAAGUGUAAGUGUGUUCUGAGUGCUUUCUCUACGAAUGAGAGGUAGGUGGAGAUGUAUAUAUAGGCAUCCCAUAAAAUCCAACCGUUACAACACCGAAAUGAAUCUCGGUGGUACCAAGUUGCACUAAAUGUGGCAAUUUUCAAAUUCUCGGUGAGACUGAUAUAUAAAUAUCAGUGGUACCAAUAUUGGUGUCCUAGCAAGUUUUCAAAUCUCAGUUAGACCAAUUCUCAAAACUUGGUGGUACCAAUUCUUGAAAACGGCUAACCAGAGAGUUGGUCCAAAACUCGGUGAAGCCAAUUCUCAAACUCGGUGGUACCGAUUCUUGAAAAUUGCUUACCUAAAAGUUGGUCCAAAUCUUGGCGAGACCAAUUCUCAAAGUCGGUGGUACCGAUUCUUGAAAAUGGGUAACCAGAAGGUUGGUCACUGAUUUCGGUGGCACCAAAUGGAAUGUUGGUGGUACCGAGAUAUUAGGGUUUGGCAAAGGAUCUGUCAAGUGGAAAAUCGGUAGGGCCGAGUGGAAAUAGUUGGUGGCACCGAUUUUACUGGUUUGGCUUUGGAGAGAGAUAUUUUGUGGGAGAAUGGGUAAGUAUUUUUGGUGGCUACCUCUAAGCACUUGAGCAAGCAAUUCAUCAUAACACCUCACCCCCUUUUAAUAGUAUUGGCUUUCCUAUGGACUCAAAGUGAUUUCUCACAAAUGUAAAAUGCAGAGUCUUCUUGCUUGAAGCUUGAGCCAAUCCUAUUCCUUUCCUACAUCAGGAGGCUUCUCCUCAGAAUCCUUUAGCCAAGGUACUUUAUGGACUAUAUGUGAAAUAUACUAGGUAAAAGUGUUAGUCCAAGAGACAAUGUAUGUUGUCUGAAUUAUCAAAACCACCAAUGGAGCGUAUGUUCUUUCAAUCUCCCCUUUUUGGUAAUUGAUGAAAACAUACAAUCAAAGCUUCAAAUAAAUAUAGACAUUAGAAUAUGACAGCUUUGAAAGAUACAUGACUAGUACAAGCUCCCCCUAAAUGUGUGCAAACCCUUUUUAAUGGAUAGUUGCUUUGGAUUGCAGGGCACACACAUGAUAGAAGGACAACACACGCCAUGUAGAUCUUGGCUAUAUGCAUCAAACAUAUGUGAAUAAAAAACUUCCAUGUUCAAGACUCACCCUUGCAAACAAUAUGUGCAAGAGACAAGAGAUCAACAUGAACAAGGAUAUCAUGUGUAUACUUGUCUUGAGGUUCUUGAGCGUCUUAGAAGUAGGAGUACACUUGGGAAAACAAAUGUUAGAUAACACAAGAGUACUCUAUUGUAAAGAUGCAAAUAACUUCAAAAGUACCAAGAUAUGGAGAACAUAUGAGAAAUCUAUUUUGAUGAUAAAUAUGUCUCCAAGAAAAAUUAGAACUUUUACCCUAAAGAUGACUAUGUAAGAAUUUCCUCUACCCCUGAAUCAUAGCAUGUAGAUAUUGGGAGGAGGUAGGGUAAGACAAGUUCAAUCCAAAGAUAACAAUAAAACAAUUAUAUCUGAAGCAAUUUUAUAUCUCUCCCCCUCAAUGGUAUUACUCCCCUGAGUGUGUAAAGUUUAAUAUAUCUCCCUUUAGGUAGACCUUCCUUUAGGAACAAAUAUCUCCGCUCUUGAUAUUCCCCCUUAUGCAAACUUAUUGGAAGAUUUGAUAUUUCUCCCCCUUUGGCAUUAAUUUCCAAAAAGGUCACAGGGUAAGGGCUCAUUGAGAGAAAGGGAUCCUUGAUUCUUCUCUUUGAUAAGGGUUCCUUGAACUUGACUUUUCUCCCUCUUAAGAUUAGAUAAGAGUUCCUUGGACGAUCUCCCCCUAUAUUUGGGAUCCUUGAUGUUUCUCCCUCUUAUAUUGUAUGGGAUCACUCAGAUUUUCUCCCCCUAGAGAAGUCCCCCCCCCCUUGAAGAUAAUGCUAAAAUUAAUUUUGUUUCCCAAAAUGUUCAAUAAGAUCUUAGGAGGUAAUGAAAGUUGGGAACAUUGACAAUCUUUCUCCCCCUAAGGCAAAGCUCCAGAAAAUAUAUGAAAAUCGAGGGCAGUAAUAAAUUUUGGAGUCACGAGGCAAUAUAGUUUGGUAGAACCGAGAAUGAAAGCCGGCCUUUGGAAGAAAUCGGUUGGACCAAGUUUCCCAGAUCGGUGAAACCGAGUUGCAAUGAAAAUCAACUCUUUAACUUAAAGUAGAAAAACAAUAUCCACAAACUUUGAAAACGAAACUAUCCAAAGAUAAAAAUGAAAUAAGAGAAAACAUUAUUAUUAUUAUGUGUGUUUUUUGAAAAUAUAUACAUAUAUAUAUAUAUGAGAGUUGAAUGGUUCCAAGAAAGCAUGCAACAAAAAUGUGAACCAUACAAAAAUCUCCAUCUAGAUGUAGGGUGAUCACUAGUUCACCUAUACUAGAGUAUAUUGACUUGAGGAGUCAAACAAGAUUGCUUGAUCAUAGGUCAUACUUAUCAUUAAGUGCAAAAUGGGGUUACCAUUUUUCGAUUAAGCUUUUAAUGUCUUCACAUCACUUGAGUUGCUUUACCUCAUUACUUGGGGCAAAGCUUUAUCAAGGAUAUGAGUACAUACCUUCGAAUGAUGUUGAUGACGUGGCAUGUAGGUGAACUUGUCGUGGAUGCUCAGUGUUGAUGAAGAUCAUCUUGAGUUGGUAGCUAUCCAUGUAGUUUUGUUUCACUUUUCACCUACAGUGGUUAGUCAUGAAAGGAAGAACAUAAUAUAUCCAAAUGACAUGAGUGAAUUACGUCAUCAUAUAAUUGUCAACGAUAUGAUUUUGUUGUCUUCUUCUUCCAUCUCCAAAGAAGGGGUUGUUGAUACUUGGCCAUGUCAAGAUUGCUUUUGAUGUGAGUUGAUGGCAAUCUUGUGAAGUGUAUUUCUUCCAAGUACCUACAAAAGGGUUAGAUGCAAUACAAGGGAACAUAGUUUUCUAAGAUAUAAGAAUGUGUCAAAUCAAUAACAUGAUGGAAUGGACAAUCAAGCUCAUGCCCUUGCAUGCAUCCCAGUGAGUCUAGCUCAAGUUUGAAGCAUCAAUGAUGUUCAACUCACUCCUCAAAUGACAAAAUAAUUUCUCAUCAAGUGGUUUGAUAAAGAUAUUAGCUUAUUGUUUGUUGGUACAAACAUGCUUAAGAUCUAUAUCUCCUUUACCAACAUGAUCACGAAUGAAAUGUUGUCACAGUUGAAUAUGUUUUGUUCGAGGAUGUUGCACAAGACUAUAGGAAAUUUAGUAGAACUUUCAUUGUCACACAAUAAUGGAACAUUUUUUAACAUUAAUGCCAUAAUCCUUAAGAGUUUGAGUCAUCCAUAGUAAUUGCGCACAACAUGAUCCGGCGGCUAUAUAUUCAACUUCGAAAGUGGAUAAAGAUACUAUGUUUUGUUUCUUGGAUGACAAAGACACAAGAUAUCUUCCAAGAAAUUGACAUGUACCCGAGGUGGCUUUUCUAUCAACCUUGUCUCUGGCAUAGUCCGAGUCGGAAUAGCCAACAAUAUUAAAACAGGAUCCCUUGGGAUACUAUAUGCUAAAGUUUGGUGUAUGUAUCAGGUAUCUCACGAUUCUUUCCCAGCCAAUAGAUGACACUCUUUAGGUGCCGCUUGGUAUGGGCCACACAAGCAAACACUCAACAUGAUGUCAAGAUGGGAGGCACAAAGAUAUAGCAAUGAACUAAUCAUUGAUUGAUAAACUCUUUGAUCAACUAGUUUGUCCUCCUUAGUGAGGUCAAUAUGGCCACUAGUAGGCAUGGGGGUUCUCAUACCUUUGCACUCUUUCAUAUUGAACUUCUUGAUUAAGUCCUUGGUGUAUUUGGUUUGAGAGAUAAACGUACCUUCUCUCGAUUGUUUGAUUUGCAACCCAAGGAAUAAUUUGAGCUCGCACAACAUUGACAUCUCAUAUUUCUCUCACACCAACCUUCCAAAUUUCUCACUAAAAUGUGGGUUAUUAGAAGCAAAGGUAAUAUCAUCCACAUAUAUUUGGCACACAAAUAGUGCACCAUUAACUCUUUUAGUGAAUAAGGUUGCAUGAAUUUUACCAAUCUCAAAACCUUUUUCAAUGAGAAACUUCGUUAGGCAUUUGUACCAAGCUCUAGGGGAUUGUUUUAGACCAUAUAAAGCUUUACGAAGUUUGUAAACAUGAUUAGGUUUCUUGGGGUUCACAAAGCCGAGUGGUUGUUUGACAUAAACCUACUCCUCAAUUUCACCAUUUAGAAAAUCACUUUUGAUAUCCAUUUGGUAAAGAGUAGUAUCAUGGUGAUUGGCAUAAGCGAGAAGAAUGUGAAUGGCUUCAAGUCUAGCAAUAGGGGCAUAAGCCUCACCAUAGUCCAUACCUUCGACUUGGAUGUAUCCUUGGGCUACGAGACGAGCCUUGUUGCGUACAACUUGUCCAUCUUCAUAUUGCUUGUUUUGAAACACCCAUCUUGUACAGAUGAUGUUGUGCUCGUCUUCGGCCUUUUUAACAAGUGUCCACACUUGAUUCCUCUCGAAGUUGUGUAGCUCUCCUUGCGUGGCAUUCACCCAACCCGGGUCUUGAAGGGCUUAUUCUACCUUCAAAGGCUCAAUGCUAGAGAUGAAAGAGUAAUGCUCUCAAAAGUUAGCUAAACGAGAUUUAGAGAGAGUGAUUCUCCCGGCUUGUAUGUCACCGAAGAUUUGAUUUAGCAGAUGAUCUUUGUCCACUCUUGCUCGAACUCGUGUCAACUUAUUCUUGUUGGACGGUGGAGCUUCUUCAUCAUCAUCUUCUUGCACAUUGUCAUUGACGGUUCCAUCUCCUUGCGGUGGUGGUGAGGAAGGUUGAGGUGGAUCAUCACGAUGUACUUCUUCCUCUUCUUCAUCAUGUCGUGUAUCGCUUGUGGAUGCCUCCAUGUCGUUUUGUGGUUUGCCUUGAAUCGAAGUAGGAGUUUCCACUUGAGUUGACGAAGUACUUUCCUUCACCUCCAUGGGUCAAAUCUUGCCGAUAGGUAGAUCUUGGAUGGCUUGCGAAGGUUCCUUAUUUCCUACAUAAUUUGGCAAUUGUUCGACUUGAAAACCAUUAGAUUCAUCAAACUUCACAUCUACCGUCUCUUCAACUUUUCGAGUGAAGCUGUUGUAGACACGGUAAGUGUGAGAGUUUGAUCGGUAACCGAGUAGGAAACCUCCACGAUAUUUAGGAGCAAAUUUAGUGUGACUAUGCUUAUCAAGAAUGUAGCACUUUGAUCCGAAUACUCGAAAGUAUCCAACUUGGAGUUUGUUACCGGUGAGUUGCUCGUAUCCCGUUUUACCGAGAAGCUUGUGUAAUUAGAGUCAGUUUAUGGUCUGACAAGCUAUUUCCACGGCUUCUGCCCAAAUGUGUCUUGGCAUCUUGUAUUCGUCAAGCAUCAUUCUGGACAUCUCUAUGAGAGUCCGGUUCUUCCUCUCAACAACUCCAUUUUGUUCAGGUGCGUAUGCCGCCGAGAACUCAUGUGAGAUACCUUCUUCGCCAAGAAAAGUAUCCACAUUUGUGUUCUUGAAAUUUUUUCCAUUGCCGCUCCAAACUUUCUUGACCUUCACUUCGAACUAAUUUUGAGCUUUCCGAGCAAAUUUCUUGAAGAUCUUUUGUACCCAUGACUUAUCAUCAAGAAAGAGUAUCCACGUAAAUCUGGAAAAAUCAUCAACAAUGAAUAAACCAUAAGAAUUUUCACCGAAGCUCUUGUAAGCAUUGGGACCAAAAAGAUCCAUGUGAAGCAGCUCGAGUGGCCUUCUAGUAGUCAUGAUGUUCUUCACGGGAUGACUUCCACCGACUUGCUUUGCUGCUUGACAAGCACUACAAAUUCUAUCUUUGUUAAAGAUAACAUCUCUAACACCAAGAAUAUGAUCACCUUUGAUAAACCUGUGAAGGUUAUGCAUACCUACAUGUCCUAACCUUCUAUGCCAUAACCAACCUUUAGAAUAUUUUGCAAUAAGGCAUGUACGGGGUUUGGAUUUUUUACUGAAAUCGACAAUGUAUAGAUCAGCUCGAUGGAAACCAGUAAAGACCAUGUUAUAGUUAUCACGACGAAACAUUUGGCACUCAACUUCCAUAAAUAGCACAUUGAAACCAAAGUCUGCUAGUCUAGAUACGGAAAUAAGAUUGUAGCCAAGAUAUUCAACAAGCAUGACAUUUUGAAUAGAACUAUCAUGAGAUUUUUCUACCUUACCAAGACCAAGUACCUUACCCUUGGAGUUGUCUCCAAAGGUCACAUACCUUCGAGGUCCACGGUUUGGUGUGAUCUCAUGGAACAUCUCUUUAUCUCUGGUCAUGUGAUCGGUGCAUCCACUGUCGAGAACCCACUCCUUUCCUCCAACCAUGUAGCCUCUAAGGAUCGCCAUAAGACUAAGGUUCCUCAUGGUCUUCUCAUACUCGAUGUCAAACUCUUCAUCUUCAUUGUAGUAGCCAUGCUCCACAUUGUCAUCGUUAGACGAAAUAUCCUCGUUGUAAGAACCAAAAAUUUCAUCAGAAUUUUGACUAUGACAAUGUUCAUGUUUAUGCAUGCGUAUGGCUUCAACAUUGACAUUGUUAAUGGUAAUGAAAUCUCCUUUAGCACGGAUGAGGUCACGAAGGUCAAAAAGACAUUUAUCAAAACUAGGGCCAGUUGGCUUCAUUUUGUGAAAGGCAAUGCAUUUAUGGAAAUUGAUCUCGAGACUUUUUAGUGAGUAAUGAGGAUAUCUUUUCCCUAAGUUUUUCCAAAAAGUGUGAGCACACUCAAAAUUAUGCAAUUGAAUAAGCACAUUUCUUGGCAGUCCUCUAAUGAUUAGAUUUACAGUUUUAAGAUUACCAAGCAUAUCAAGUUCUUCAUCAUGAGAAGGAUGCAAAGGAUCAAUGGGAGGCUCAUAGGGAUAUUUAACAUACUUGCACAAAUGGAAUUCAUCAAAUAUAUCAAGCAUUUCAUCUUUCCAUUAUCUAAAAUAUUCCCCAUCAAGAAUAGGCACUCUACAACUAAUAUUCCCCAAACUAGGCACAUCCAUAUUCCUCCAAUGGUGUUUAAACCAAGGUUUUGGAGACCUUGCUCUGAUACCAAUUGUGAUAUCGAAAGAAGAUGUGUCUAGAGGGGGGUGGAUAGACUAGUUGCAUACAUUAAAAUCCUAGCCUUUUCCCAAUUUAAUGGUUGGCAUAUUUUAGCAAUUCUGACAAGUCUAGUGCACCCUAUACAGGUUAGUCAACAAAUAUGAAAGCGGACAGUAAAGACUUUGCACAUGUUGUAAGGAGUAGAGUUUAGGAAUAUCAAACGUGAAUAAGUUGACACGAUGAUUUUGGCAUGGUUUCGAUAAGUGGCGCUAUCGUACAUCGAUAUUAGUGGAGACUUCAACCCGCGGAGGGUAAUGACUUCGAGAGUCCACGGAGGGCUCCACCCACAAGUGGUCCAUGAAGAAGCGACCUUGUCUAUUCCACCACGGCUUCCGUCCACACAAGACUAGCCUCACUCAUGGUAGAUCUUCAUGAAGUAGGGGAUAUCCUUGACCAUAUAAACAUCUUGGUUCAACUCCACAACACGAAGUAGGAGGCUUCUAAGAGACACCUAACCAAUCUAGGAGGCACCACCCUCCAAAAGGUAAUAGAUGUGGUAGAAGGAUGAACUCCUUGAUCUUGUGCUUAAAAAUAUAGUAUCCUCAACACUCAAUCACUCUCUCUCAGAUUUGGCAGGGGUAGGAGAGAUUGAUCUUGUGGAAAUCAAUUUGGGUAGGCUAGAGAUCAAGUUUCAAAUGAUUGGAAUGGAAUCUCCUGAUCUCAACAAAAGAGUAGGUUGCUCUUUCUCAGAAAAAUUGAUCUGGCAACUGUAAGUGGGUUCUGAGUGCUUCCUCUAUGAAUGAGAGGUAGGUGGAGGGGUAUAUAUAGGUAUACCCCAAAAUCUAAGUGUUACAACAUCAUUUCCCAACUCGGUGACACCGAAAUGAAUCUCGAUGGUACCGAGUUGCACUAAAUGUGGCAACUUUUGAAUUCUCGGUGGCACCGAUAUAUAAAUCUUGUUGGUACCAAUAUUGGUGUCCUAGGUAGCUUCCAAAUCUCAGUGAGACCAAUUCUCAAAACUCGGUGGUACCAAUUCUUGACAACAGCUAACCUGAGAGUUGGUACAAAACUCGAUGAGACCAAUUCUCAAACUCGGUGGUACUGAUUCUUGAAAACGGCUAAGCCAAAAGUUGGUCCAAAUCUCGGUGAGACCAAUUCUGAAACUAGGUGCUACCAAUUCUUGAAAAUGGCUAACCAGAAAGUUGGUCACUGAUUUCGAUGGCACCGAAUGGAAUGUUAGUGGUACCGAGAGAUUAGGGUUUGGCAAAUGAUGUGUCAAGUGGAAAAUCGAUAGGGCCGAGUGGAAAUAGUUGGUGGCACCGAUUUUACUCGUUUGGCUUUGAACACAGAUAUUUUGUGGGAGAAUGGCUGAGUAUUUUUGGUGGCUACCUCUAAGCACUUGAGCACCCAAUUCAUUAUAAUAUGUAACCCCUUUUUAGUAGUAUUGGCUUUCCUAUGGACUCAAAGUGAUUUCUCACAAAUGUAAANNNNNNNNNNNNNNNNNNNNNNNNNNNNNNNNNNNNNNNNNNNNNNNNNNNNNNNNNNNNNNNNNNNNNNNNNNNNNNNNNNNNNNNNNNNNNNNNNNNNNNNNNNNNNNNNNNNNNNNNNNNNNNNNNNNNNNNNNNNNNNNNNNNNNNNNNNNNNNNNAGGGGCUUAUCCUCACAAUCCUUUAGCCAAGGCACUCUGUGGACUACAUCUGAAAUAUAGUAGGUAAAAGUGUUACUCCAAGAGACAAUGUAUGUUGUCAUGAAUUAUCAAAUCCACCAAAGAAGAAUAUGUGAUUUUAUCUUUGCCACAAUAUAGUAUCGAUUCUUGGAACAAGUGCAAUGAUGCUUUUUAUCACAAAGUAUUUUACUCUCGCAAAAAUUAUUUCUCUUAGAAAUCAGAUUUUAACUUUUAAACAAAUUGAGCAUGAGCAUGUUGCCCAAUCUUGGGAAAGUAUGAAAUUGAUGAUAAGAAGUUUCCCAACUCAUGGUUUGAAUUGUGGAUGAUCAUAUAAAUUUUUUAUGCGGGAUUGAAUUUUGUUUCUAGAAAUCUUUUAGAUUCCACCGCAGGUGAUACUUUUAUGGAAAUUACUUUCGAUGAUGCUACUAAAUUUCUUGAUAAUAUUAUGUCUAAUUAUUCACAAUUUCAUAGUGAAAGAGCUCCUACUAGUAAAAAAGUUAAUUCUAUUGAAGAAAUUGGUGUUUUGAGUGAAAAAGUUGAUGCGCUUAUGAAAUUGGUUGCUAGUAAGCAUGCUCCUAUUGAUCCUAAUGUUGUGCCUUUGUCUACUUUGAUUGAGCAUAAUAAUGACCCCGUAGAUGUGAAUUUUGUCUCAUGAAACAAUUUUAAUAAAGUGCUUAUAGGAACAAUUUUAAUCCUAGGCCGUAUCCUAGAAGUUCUUCAAAUAAUCAUGGUAAUUCCUAUGGUAAUCAUAUUAAUAAUAAUGCUAUGAUACCCUCUUACCUUGAGAGUAAUAUUAAGGAGUUUAUCAAUGUGCAAAAAGCUUUCAAUACUACGAUAGAAGAAAAGUUUAAUAAGAUUGAUGAUAUGUCUAGAAGCAUUCAUAGAAUUUCGCACGAUGUAGAAAAUCUCAAGAAUAAUUUUUUUCCCUAAGGUUCACAUUAAUGAAUAAAUUAAACCUUUAUAUGUUUCCAUAGAUGAAAGUAAGAAAAGAACCGCUAUGAUUAGAGCUAAAAGAGAAUUUCUAGAAAGAGCAUUUCCCGAUUGCUUUCAUAAAAAUGAUGAUGAUAUUAAAUUGAUCGGUGUUUUUUCUAUUGAUUCCCUGUUUAAUAAUGUUAAAAUUAAUGAUGAGGGAACUAAAGAAGAGUCAAAUUUAGCUAGAGGGUGUUCCCAUGAUUCGAAGGGUGAAAAUCCUAUUGAAAAAAUCGAUAAAAGUGGGAUUGAAGAGGUCAAAACUUUAGCUAGUGAUGCACCCACUAUUUCGGAUUGCAAUUUUUUUUAAUUUUGAUAGCUGCUCUUUGAUUGAGUGUAUUUCUAUUUUGAAAUCUAUGAUAAAUUCACCCAACGCCUAUGAACAAAAUAAAGCUUUAGAGAAAACGUUAGAGCUAGAGAUUUUAAUUCCUAGAAAAUGACAUGAUGAAUGUGCCACACCGUGUGUUUUGCCUUACUUUGCUAACUUAACAUAGCUCAAAAGUAGGACCAAUUUUUUCUGAAGCGCUUGUGAUGGUGAUGUGAUCGUUGUUUGCUUGUUUGCUUACUAGUGUUUAUAAACCACUAAAGUUCCUACUACUCUUUAGGCUCACCACCUUGCCCAAAGUAUUUGCCAAUUGACCAUACCAUAUGUAUAGGACCUAAAAAUAUUUUAACCAAAUAUUAUUUUGACCAAAAAGAAUUUAUUUAAUUUAGGCUUUCAAAAAUCCCUCACUAGGGAUUUGUACUACAAGUCCUGAGUUAGGGAAGUUGUUUUGACCCAAAUUUUUUACUUAAAUCCCAUUAUCAAAAAGACUUCCCAAAAUCACAAAAUUAUUAUUUUAAAAGUUACUUUACUAUUUUAUUUAAAUACCUUCUUCUGUGUCCAUAAAUGGUCUUUUAUGAAGGAAAAUUAUUUUCUUGCUUUCAAAAUAUUUGAGAAAAUUUAGGGAAACUAAGUGGACAUAUAUAUUCCAUAUAUAAGAGUUUAAACACAUGGUCAUGUUCAAAAUAUUGUACAAAACUCUCCAAAACCAUUUCUGUCUAGUCUAAGCUUUUGAAAUAUUCCUACAAGAAAUAUUGUCAACAAAUUCCAGUAAAAUUAUAGAAGGUCACACAUGAUAUAUGUGAUGAUCUUGCCAAGUCUCAUCUCAAUCCAAGUUGAUUUGGUGAACCUAAAUAUUCCAAACCCCUAUCUGUCCAGAACAAAAUUGAGCAACUCUUCAUUGCCAAGUCACUACAAGAAAUAUGGCAACUUGUGACCUCCAAUAUUGGUCACUAAUUGGUCGCUAAUUUUCAUUGUUUGACCUUUUUACGACCAAAAUGGGUUGGACAAAAGCUGACCCUUUCUAAUGAACUAUGACGACCUUUCUUCUGGAAUGGCCGAAGUCAUUUACGACCAAACGAAAAGGUCGCUGGUUCUACGACCAAUUGUUUUGGUCAUUGGUUGUCUGCCCAGGCCACGUCGGAUCCAACGUGGCAAGCUGACAUGGCAAAGUUACGACCAAUUGGAUUGGUCGUUGAUAAGAAACAACCCAGUCCAAUUCGGUGCUUUAGCUGGGCUCAACCCACUAUUUCAGCCUUUUUAAUUAUCAUUUUUUUGUCAUUCUCGUCGGCUACCUGGGCCUGGCCCAAUAUUUCUGCCUUUUUUUUGGUUGUGGCCUUUCUGGCCCAAUGGUUCCAGUUUUUUUAAAGAUCGGUCCAAUACUCAAAUGGGUCCCGAUUGUGAGGUUCUAGUAUGAGGAUUCAUGUUUUCAAUUCACCAAUGAAUAAAUAACCUAUAUUCAAAUCAAAACAGACAAAAAGAACACAUAAUACUUUAAAUAACAGACAAAAUAAGUCUAUUACAUCAUAUAACUUAGAUAAAAUGGUAAUCAGAGCCACAAGCUCUAGAAGUGUAAACACAACCACAAGCUCUACAAGUUUCUACAAAUGUAAUCACAACCACAAGCUCUAUAAGUGCCCUUUGACAGAUGGUUUCUAGUAGUCCUGAUUUGAGGAACACACCGACUUCAAGGGUCUUCUCCAUAGUGCCGACCAAGAUCUCACCCUUCAUGGGCAUCAGAAUGAUGCAACUAAACGUGGCAGGGAAAAGGAUUACCUUCCAAAAGCCAAAUUUAUACAAGAUAUUAGCCUUUUAGUGGUGCAGAAUAUCAUAGAUAGAGACAUGCUUCAGCAUUACAUGGCAUGGAAAAGAAGAAUGCAUCUUUUUUUACAAAGGGCAUACAAUUGCAAAUUUACUAUCCACAAAAUAAAAUUAGAAAAAAACAAAUAAAAUAGUGAAGUGUAAAAAAUAUCAUCCAUAGUGUUUCUACUUCCUACAAAUGACUGAGACCAUGGUGUUUGAACCUUUUGUAGAACACUAUUCUAUAACAAUAUAUAUUGAGCAUGCUAAAACAGAAGCUUGAAUUUAUGGUUUCUCUACUUCUACAUAAUACAUCCCCGGUAAUAUAGACAUGUUUAUCACAUAUAGUGUACACGACAAUAGGAGCAAAAUUCUAAUAAAUUCAUUAGAGGCUUGUCAAUAAAAAUGACAAAUUACCUACAAACCAGGAAACAUAAACUUGAGAGGUUCAGAUCAAGGCCUAUCAACUACAUCAUAUAUAUGCAUAAAAAACAAGACCAAUGGACCAAUGCAUCAUAAUUAUCAGUUUGAAACACUACAGGACCAGGAAGUAGGUGUUGCUUCAAAUUUACAAACUCAACCAUUCAUCAUUAAGAGUAGCAAUUUAAUCUAAUAGUAAAACAGUGCUCCUAAAAUAGUUUUCACACUAGAACUAUGAGGCAGCUAAAUUACAAGAUAUGGUUUGCUCUUAAGCCUGACCAAGAAGGCUUUAUGACACACUAAAAAUCUAAUCAGCUAAAUGCGCGUUUGGAUGUUUUCUCCACAAAAGCAAAAGACCAUGAGUAUUUAGUGGUUUCCCCUUUUUCACAACAGCGAUGCGACAAAGGGUUCUGCAGGGUUAGGCAACUCAUCUAAAACUAUGAAUAUACUCCAUGCCAUCAUCUAUUCACACAGAGGCCAAUCAUUCUCACAUAUAUUAAUAUAAAGAAGGGAUCCUAGUCAUCUACUUAUGUAGUAUACAUGGCAACAAGCUUAGCUAGCAACACAGUCUCACGGUAACUUGCCAAUUGGAGUAGCAACAAUCAUCGAGAUGCAAUCUCCUCAUCUUCUUGGCAAUCUGCAUCGUAAAGGAAAAACAAUCGAAAGGAACAACUUCGCUCAUUACACCUGCACAUCAUGCAUGUAGUUUUAAUGUGUAAAUUGAUUGGAGACAAGCAAAUCAUUGGAGAGUGGAAAUAAAUACAGAGCACCUACCCAUCAUCUUAUCUUGACGUAAUUUGGUUAGAAGUUAUUUCUUGGACACCCUGCUGAUGGUGCUGCUGGACAUGCUCGUCAUGUGCCUAGGCCACCGCACCCCAGCACUCUACAAAGGCCCCCACCAGACCUCUAGCCACCACCCGCGUCGCGGCCAAGCCCCCUGCACCCGGAUCCGGCGGACCUGGACAUGGCACUUCUCGCACGCUCCCGCCAGAGAUGGGUCGCGCCAACGUCAUGCUCGCCCACCCGCGACAGCCCCAGAUCUUCGCCUGAGCAGCGCCCCCUUGCUCGGCCGCGAUGCUGCUGGACAUGGUCGUCGUGCUCUGCGGGCAGACCGUGGCCACCCUGCUCGGCCGCUACUACUACAACUCCAGCAGCAACAACAAGUGGAUGGCGACGCUCACGCAGUCAGGUGGCUCGCCCUUGCUGGCCAUCCUCCUGCUCCUCACCCCUUCCGACCCCGUCGGCGAGCCGCGGCCGGUGGCGGCCAAGAUGGUGCCCAUCUACCUUGGGCUCGGCACCCUCGUAGCCGGAGGUGGUGGCACAUGGCGGAGGGAGCAGCCAAAGGUGGUGGUGGUGGGGAGGGGGAGGAAGGAGCCGAUGGCUCAAUGGAAUCGGGAGAGGCGACUCGAUGGGAUCUGGAAACUGAGGAAGGGUGGGUGGGCAGGGUUGUGCUUUCUUAGGAGAGGCUCCGCCGUUGGAUGGAUGCUGAUGGAUGGCUUAGAUCGCGUCCAACUGGGUGAUCCGUGUGAAGGCAGUUUCACGUCCCUCAUUGGUCGGCUCAAAACACGAUUUUUUUUACCCAAAUCUUUGGAAAAAUUACAGAAAAUUUUAAAUACUGUUGCAAAAUUGGACUACACCAUUUUUCAGAAAUAUUAUAUCACAUUUUGAGUGUCACGAUGUUGCCUAAGGAAGUUUUCAUUUUGUUUGGACGAAAAAAUCAUUUUUCAUUUUUUGAGUGCCCAAAAUCAGUAUUUUUGUGAAGGACCUACCAUAUAUUUGUUAUAAAUUUUGACCAAUUCAAUUUUCUAAACUAUUAGACAAUAUUUAAUGUAUAAUUGACUAAAUGGUUGGUUGUCAAAAACUUUUAUCCACCUCUUGUGAAAAAGACAAAUUUCCGUCAAUUCAGCUCGAAGCAUGUCAAAUUUGAACUACAAUUGCCUCAUACAUUGUAAGUUAUUUUUUCUAAAAAAUAUUUCUAGGGACAAAAGUAUCUAUUUAGUCAAACAAACACCAAAAAAAUUCCAAUAUUCAACCACCAGCUAGGAACGGUCAUACCCGUCGUUUUGACCGCAUUUUCAAAUGGACAUGAAAAAUUCAAAAAAAAUAAAAAAAUGGAAAACCUUCGCAUUGUGUCAUUAUAUUUGACCAGGGUACUAGAAAAAAUAUUAAACUUUCGAUAUGGCAAUUAUUUUAAAAAGUGUUCUAAGAAAUGAGCUAUCAUGUGUGAAGAUUCAUGGCUUUCAAGCCAAAUGAUCAAUCAUAUGGCCACAUUCAUGGCAUAGUUUGUGCCAAUAAUCUCAUAUUGUGCAUAAGGGUGCAUAUUGGAACGGAAAACAAUGUUGCCUAAGGAAGUUUUCAUUUUCUUUGGACGGAAAAUUCAUUUUCCAUUUUUUGUGUGCCCAAAACGAGUUUUUUGUGAAGGACCUACCAUAUAUUUGUUCCAAAAUUGGACCAAAUCAUUUUUCUAAAAUACUAGGCCAUAUUAAUGUACAAUUGACCCAAUGGUUGGGUGUCAAAAGCUUUUAUCCACCACUCGUGAAAAAGACAAAUUUUCGUCAAUUCACUUGGAAGCGGGUCAAAUUUGAAUUGCCGCUGCAUUGUAGAUUGCUCUUUAUUUUUUCCAAAAAUAUUUAUAGGUACAAAAGUAACUAUUUUAUUAGAGAAAUACCAAAAGUUUCCAUGCUUCAACCACUAGCUAGGAAAGGUCAUACCCGCCGUUUUGACCGCAUUUUGAAAUGGGCAUGAAAAAUGGAAAACCUUCGCAUUGUGUCAUUAUAUGUGACAAAGUUACCACGUAAAAAAAUAAACUUGUAAUAUGGAAAUUAUUUUUAAAAAGUUUUCUUAGAAAUGAGCUCUCAUGUGUGGAGAUUCAUGGGUUUCAAGCCAAAUGAUCAAUCUUAUGGCCACAUUCAUGGCAUAGUUUGUUCAAAUGAUCUCAUAUUGUGCACAAGGGUGUGUAUUGGAAUGGAAAACAAUGUUGCCUAAGGAAGUUUUCAUUUUCAUUGAACGAAAAAUUCAGUUUCCAUUUUUUGAGUGCCCAAAAUGAGUUUUUUGUGAAGGACCUACCAUAUAUUUUUUUGCAAAAUUGGACCAGAUCAUUUUUCUAAAAUACUAGGCCAUAUUUAAUGUACAAUUGACCCAAUGGUUGGGUGUUAAAAGCUUUUAUCCACCACUCGUGAAAAAAACAAAUUCUCGUUGAUUCACUUGGAAGCGGGUCAAAUUUGAAAUGCAGCUGCAUUAUAGAUUGCUCUUUUUUUCCAAAAAUCAUUUAUAUGUACAAAAGUAUCUAUUUUAUCACAUAAACACCAAAAGUUUUCUAAGAUUCAACCACUAGCUAGGAACAGUCAUACCCGCCAUUUUGACCGCAUUUUGAAAUGGGCAUGAAAAAUUCAAAAAAACAAAAAAAGGAAAACCUUCGCAUUGUGUCAUUAUAUGUGACAAAUUUAUCACGUAAAAUAUUAAACUUGUAAUAUGAAAAUUAUUUUAAAAUAGUGUUCUCAGAAGUGAGCUACCAUGUGUGAAGAUUCAUGGCUUUCAAGCCAAAUGAUCAAUAUUAUGGCCACAUUCAUGGCAUAGUUUGUUCAAAUGAUCUCACAUUGUGCACAAGGGUGCAUAUUGUAAUGGCAAACAAUGUUGCCUAAGGAAAUUUUCAUUUUCUUUGGACGGGUAAUUCAUUUUCCAUUUUUUGAGUGCCCAAAAUGAGUUUUUUUAAGGACCUACCAUAUAUUUGUUGCAAAAUUGGACCAAAUAAUUUUUCUAAAAUAGCAGGACUUAUUUAAUGUGCAACUAGCCAACUGAGCAAGAGCAUGAAGUAACUUGUCCACGAGAAAUCUCUUGGUCAGAUUGAAACCAUCUUGCGUCUUGUCACAGUCAUAGGACUCAAUGUCUGCGGCGAGAGUCAUGAGCCGUUCUAGCAGUUGCUUGGGAGAUUCAGCCUUUUCCAUACAGAAAUUCUGUAAUUGCCCCUUGGCAAUUUCAUAUUGAGCAAGCCGAAGAGUGGAGGUACUGGUCUUGGUCCUUAUAAUUCUAUCCCAUAGUUCCUUGGCACUUGUGAUGUGAAUGUAAGGUCUCCGUUGCUUGUCAUUCAUUCCUUUUCUUAUGCACAUGAUCGCAGUGUCAUUGAGAUGCUUGUCAUAAGUUUCUCUGGGAGUGAGGCACCUUGGAUCUACAGGAUUGUACACAUGCUCGAGGAUGUCCAACAUCUCAUCAUUGGCGUACCUAAGAUGAUCGUGCAUACCAACUCUUCACAAAGCAAAAUCGGAAUUGUCAUCAAGCAAGGGAGGAUUUCCUUCAGGAUUGUACUUAGGUUUGUCAACUUGAGAUCUAGCAUAAAGCCAUGGAACACUGGUUUGGUUCCUUUCCGGAGGUUGCUGGCCAAAUGAAGAAUCGUGCACAUGUGGUCCUGAGGCCCUCGGGGACGUGGUUGUCCCCGUGGUUAAUGAUGCCAGUCUUAUUUGGACCAAGGCGUCAAGAGAAGCAUCAUGCUCCUCUUUUUGCUUGGCAAGGGCCCGUUCCAGGUCCUCAGAGGUGAAGGACUUGACUUUCGUGGAAGUUCCGUCGCUCUCCACUGGAGCUACAGUAGUGGGAAUCCCGUCCAUCUCGCUCUAUGGCGGUUAAGCCACAAGAAUAGAGCACGAGGCUCUGAUACCAAUUAAAAAGGAUCGAGAUGGACAUAGAGGGGGUGAAUAGGUACAGUUCCAAAUUUUAAUAAUUACUUAGCAAUUUUAGGCGAAGGUGCGGAAUAUGAGCGUAGGCCUAAUAAUUGCUAUGACAAGGAGUAAGCUAUUUAGAGUGAAGUAAGGCAACCGGUACACAAUAAUCAAAUACAAGUAUGUAAUAAUGAUUAACACAAGUAGAGAGUUAGGGUUAGGAAUAACCGAAACUCCAAGAGAGACGAGGAUNNNNNNNNNNAAGAGUGAAGUAAGGCAACCGGUAAACAAUAAUCAAAGACAAGUACGUAAUAAGGAUUAACACAAAUAGAGAGUUAGGGUUAGGAAUAACCGAAACUCCAAGAGAGACGAGGAUGUAUCCCGAUGUUCACUUCCUUGGAGGGAAGCUACGUCACCGUUAGAGGGGCGGAUGUUACCACGAAGGCACACCAACGCCACGAAGGCUCACCCUAUUCUCCCUUUGAGAUAACUCCACGAAGGCGUUUCUCAACCACUAGUGGUAAGCCUUGAGGUGGCUUCCAAACCUUCACAAACUUUCCAGGGGAAAUCACAAUGGUUUGAUUCCUCUCCGAAGACUCCUACCGCCUAGGAGUCUCCAACCUCCAAGAGUAACAAGAUCACGGGGAUUACUCAAAACUUGCUCAAAUCACAAAUCACUUUGGUGGGAAGGAGACGAUAUAUCUUUUGAUUGGAACAACACUCAAAGGGACUCACAAAUGCUCUUGGGAUCUAAGAUUGAGUGUAGACAAGAGUGAGUGAGNNNNNNNNNNUCGGGGGAAAUCGCAAUGGUUUCAUUCCUCUCCGAAGACUCCUACCGCCUGUGAGUCUCCAACCUCCAAGAGUAACAACAUCAAGGGGAUUGCUCAAAACUUGCUCAAAUCACAAAUCACUUUGGUGGGAAGGAGGAGAAGGAGACGAUCUAUCUUUUGAUUGGAACAACACUCAAAGGGACGAACAAAUGCUCUUGGGAUCUAAGAUUGAGUGUAGACAAGAGUGAGUGAGAAGAAAGGUGUUCUAGUAUGUGUUCUAGCUGUGUUGGACACCCUCUCACGAAGUGGGCGGGAGUAUAUAUAGUGGGGAGUGUAAAACAGCCGUUGGGGACACUUUAAGUCACACAGGGUUCGGACAUCCGACAGUUCACGGAUGUUCGGGCGUCCACAAGGGGUCGGACGUCCGACAGGGGUCGGUCGUCCGAGGGCUGUAGAUAUGUCUGGAAUCACUGUGAGUUGAACAGGGACCGGACGUCCGGAGAAGGCCGGAAGUCCGAGUUAUUCGACUCAACUUCUUCUGGUGCAAGAUUCCGGAUUUCCGAAAGGGGACGGACGUCCGGCCCUCGGACGUCCGGAGGGAGCCGGAAGUCCGAGUUAUAUGGCUCACGUUCUUCUGGUGCAGGGCUCCGGAUUUCCGAAGCUGGUCGGUCGACCAGCCCUCGGACGUCCGGAGGGAGCCGGAAGUCCGAGUUAUAUGGCUCAAGUUCUUCUGGUGCAGAGCUCCGGAUUUCCGAAGCUUGUCGGUCGUCCGACCCUCGACCGGCCCUCGGACGUCCGGAGGGAGCCGGAAGUUCGAGGCAUUAGUCCUGUUUUGAGAUAAGAGCAGAGUAGUGAAGAUGUGGUAUUGAGCAGAAUAGUGAAGAUGUGGUAUGAGCAAAUUCAUCGCAAAACGUGUGAUCCCCUCUUAAUAGUGCGGGAUCCCUAUACUCAAGAAUAGUAAACUUAAAAGGGAAAGUCUUCAUCAUCUUUUCUCAAUCCCGAGCCUUCUUGACAUAUAAAUCCCGAUCUUCUUAGACCACCUUGGCACAUAAUUCUCAAUCUACUAAAGUAUUUGCCAUCGUGAGAUACACUCAACAAAUAGGAUUAGUUUCCUAUGUAUGUGUUGUCAUUAACACCAAAAGUCGAUUAGGGGCAUAACAUGCACUUUCACCUGUAACUUUGCCAUGGCCCCUGAUCAAUUAUUGGGGGUAACUCCCUCUCUUUACCUCUCCUUUUUACCAUGAGAGCACGUCUUUUACCCCUCUUCCAUUUUUAUGUUCGUGCGGAUGCCCUCAAAUCUUUCCACAACACCUCUAGUGUGCUAAUGCACCAUUUCAAUCAAAGAUAUGGCAUGCUCACGUGGAAAAUAUGAGUAGCCCUUCUAAAACUUGAUUUUGACACAAAUGUAGCCUUGAACUAAAAGGACUAGCUACACUAUUCUCCCUCAUCUCAAACUAGACAGUCUUGAAGUUCUUGCAUAGCCAGGGCUAUUAGACAUGGUUUAAUCCCAAGUAAGCCCCAGUAAAACACUUUUAGCUAGCCCCAAGAUUGGUGCUGCAAACUUAACCAGAGAUGAAACCCCACCUACACUGCCCCAUAUAAGACCAAAUUGCACCAGUACCUUUCGCACGCAUGCCUUGCAUGCUAGACACCUUGGUUUGACCAUAACACUUCUGUGGACACUAGUGGGCACGGUGACCACUCCAUUCGCAUGUAGUAACGGUGCUCUGCUAGGCAACCUUGUCUUGUAGCACAUGGCAGGCUGUGGCCAGAUGCCCACGCGCGCCAUAGAGCCUCCCUCGACGUCCCACGCUCCUCCCUGAUGCCAGGAAGCCGCCAAAGCCUCUCUGGCACGUGUGCUCCCCCGCGCCCGAGGGCAUCUGAGGCCUCUCAAGCUCCUCCCCAUCGCCCCCUCCAUAUGAGACCCACCUCGGCUACCCUCCCCCCACUUCGCUCUCUCUCAAUCUCACGGAGUUCCAAGUGCUCCCCAUUCACCCUCUUGCCCCUCCAUCGCCGCAAAUGGCCGGAGCACUACCGGUGGCCCCUUCUUAAAUUCUGGCUCCCCCAAGCCCCUUCCCACCAUUGAGCAGCACCAAGGUGCUCCCCUCCUCGCUGCAAGCUCCCCCGUGCUCUCCUGCUGCCUCCCAGUGCCCGGGACGCCACCCCACCGCAACCGCUAUUUCUGGUCUCCGCCGCGGCCAAGGUCCCCUUAUCCCCGGUGCUCCCUGUCUGAAUGAGUCCACGAGGUUGGUCUGGGAUCCUUCGUUGGGCAUUCCGGCAGUCGGAGCCUGGCUAGAGAUGCCCCAAGCCGCCGGGACGGUGUUGGUGCGCCCGUUGCCCCCACCUUGCCUGGCUCGACUGUUCGAGCGGGAGGUAGGAUAAGGCAUGACGGCCAGGCCCUGCUUGUAAGCGAGCCAAGGGGCAGCCCCCACUUGUUUAAGUGAAGGCGGAUCCGCUCAUAGCCGUCUUCCUGCACCGAAGUCGUAUUGCAUCUGAUGCGCCUCCGACGUAGCCGCAUCACGCGCUCAGUCGAGUAGCUGGGCCGGCCCACUCUCUCUCCACCGCCUUGGGCGCGGUAGAACCCCCAUGGUAUAAACUUUCCCCCUUUUUCUUUUUAACGGAAACUUCCAAAAUUCAUAACUAAUUCAUAUGGUCUCCAAAUUUAGUGAUUCAAAUUUCUAGGAGCUUCUAAAAUCAUGACCCAUCCAAAGACGUUCUUUGCACAUUUUUCUUGAAACUAUUUCUAUAGAGAUCAAAUUCAAAUUUGAACUACUCAAGCCACACCUUGCACAAGUCCUAGAGGACUCAAAUCAGCUCCAACUAGAGUGGUUUCAAUUUCUAGAUGACUCUGAAAUCAUGCUCUAUUUUUCUAGCCUAGGUGAACAUUUUCUCAUACAUUAUUUCUGUUGGACCAAAUAAAUAGUCCCCUUUACCCAUUUAUUCCAACUUAUUAAAUUGAUAGAAAAAUCAUCCCAACUCCAAUUCCAAUCAGACCACUCCAAAAGUCUCCUAAAAUCAUGCCCUAUCAGAUGGAUACAUCCACUCCUUUUAAGAAAAUAUUUAGUGUAGACUUCUUGUGGGGCUAGUGAUUCCUCCAUUUCCACCGCUUAAAAAUCUGUGGUGAUCCAAAUCUCUUAGAACAAGGUUUAGAGAUUUUUUCUUAUGGCGAGAGAUGUCCUAGAAAAAUAAAAAUCCUAUAUUUAGAGCACUUAUAUUUUCUGCUUGUGGUGUUUCUCAUUGUGGUUGUUCCGUCGAAGUUGAUGAAGUUGACAAGGUGCUCGGAGUGGACUAGAAGCUCGUGAAGACCCCAAAACUUUGUUGAGAAAGGCAAGAAGCCCCUUGAACAUGUCUAAGAGAAUACUUUCAUGCAUGUCAUAUUUAGCAUUUUAUUCGGGGUGCAUAAGGCCAUGUUGAGUCGGCAACUACCUCGGUGAGGUGUUUCCGAUAGUUCCUCGAUGACACUUGCACUUGGGCAUAAACCUAUCUACCUAUGAGGAUUGUAUAGGUGGGGUGUAGUUAUGUUUCUAGUAGUGCUACCCAUGGGUUGGGUAUAUGCAUGAAACUGUAAAAGAAAAUGAUUUCAAAUGUUUUACGAAAACCCCGUCGGGUGCCACUAAUGCCCUAGUGUGACAACCCGAGACCGACUCUCCAGAAGAUUCCCCUUUUAUUUCGUUCAUGUCAUGCGAUUAGAUUGUCUGUCGUAUUCAUCAUGCACAUCAUUUACAUUGCAUCGACACUCUGUAGCCUCCAGUUUUCAAAACUUGCAUCAGUUAUUAGUUGUCGGUUCUCACCGUUUUUGUCCUUGGCCGUUUUAAGACCAACCACACACGCACGCACUCGCGAGAUCGAUUAAUCUUGUUUUUAAAAGUAUGUGUAAAACUUUCUUCGAAUGGGUUGAAACUUAACGUGCGGUCUUAAUAUAGUGUAGGUAAGCCGCGUGUCAAUUUUCAUCGCAAUCGGAGUUUGUUUGAGACCUGGACCGUUAAACCUAUAGCGACACUAUAGCCAGUCAUUUCGUCGGACGUCUUCGUUUAUAAAAUUUUGUCUCCGGGUUACCCGUUUUCCCUCUCAUCUUUGCCUAGCCCUUCUGCAUAGUGCACCUACCUUCGCGCAACCUAGCCCGAAACUCUCCCCGGACCCGAACCUACGGUUGUGACCGUUGGGUCCGGAUCAACCCCUAAUACCACAAACCAUCAUCAGUUUGUACACUAGACUCCCUAACCUAAUAAUCUCGACCGUUCAAUUUCGGUCGAAGGGAUGAGAUAGACCUAACCUAACCUACCUCGCGUGUAUAUAUAUAUUAGCAACCCUAAAUUCUAGGAUCUAUGACCCAUCCCCCAAUCCCGAUUCAGCCGCCGCCAACCACACGUGGUAUCCUCCUUGAUUUCCCCUCCUGCCCAAUCCUGUGGAGCCUCCUCGCUUGACAGUGCCCGAGGCCACCUCCUCUGCUCGAUCCCAGGGGAAUCACAAGUAGCUCAUCCCCGGCAACCAGAUCGCUGGACGUGUCUAGCUCCCAGCAGACGCAAGCGCUCGCCCCGAACUCCUUGAUUCGCCGAGCACGAGCACCACCUCAUGAACGCCUCUUCGGUCGGCCGCCCUGCAGGAGCUUCAUCUGCGCCACCGUCCGGCCGUCGGACCAGCAUGUCCCCAGCUCAUGUCUUUUUUCCUUCUUGGUUCUCCUUCCUCCUACCCUUCUUCCUCCCCUUCUCUCAUGUCUCUCUUGCUCUAUUGCAUCAGGUUCCAGCCAGGGAGUAUGCCAUGAAUGGCUGGCCUUAAGCUUGUGUGGUGAGUCCCUCAAUCACCGGGAACGAGACCAAUGCCUCAAGAUCCGGCGCCCCAAGGCCUCGAUCCGGUUCGUCCCCGUCGCCUUCGGCCAGGACCUCAUCACCCUCGCCGUCCCCGUGUAGUUCUUGCCGGAUCACGCCUCUGCUUCGCCACUGACCAUCGACCCCGAGCCCCUGGUGAGCGCCCUGCCUACAACCCGCUUUGCUUCAUCGCUUGCACGCGAGACGAGCCAGCCCCCCGUAGCUCAUUUGCAUGCACGCACGCACGCACGCACCAACACACAUUCCCGCACGCCCGCAGCUGCUCUGCAUCGUUGUGAAGGCUUGGCCUUGCCCAGCUUAAGAAGCAGCGUCUAGCCUCUAAACACUCGCUCACAGCAAGCCUAGUUGGCUAGCAAGCCAGUCUUCCUUCCAAGAGAUAGUGGGUUCGAUUCCUAGUGAGCACACAUUUUACUCUAUUUUGGUAUUUUUUUUCCUAGAUUUGUUCCCCAUUUAGGGGAUACUAAGGUCCUGUUUCAUACUACUUUGGUCCUUAAAAUUCAUCUUUCUUCCACAAAAGACAAGCCAAACGAGGUAACUCCACGAUAUGCUGCUCCAUAAAAAAACUAGAAUGUGGGGUACAACUUCAAAGUUUUUAUGAAGCUCAAGAGGGUGCUUCAAAUAACUCUAAAAGUUGGAGUUGGGGGAAAAUUACCCACCACUGCCACCAGUAAGUGGAUACCCCUUCAUUUCUUUCUCCUCAACCAAUCAAAUAGAUUUUUUCCACCAAAAUUUCUAUUCUUGAAGCUGGAGCUACAUAGAAGCCAAACAUUCUCUUGAUAGUGCUAUAGCUUUUGUAUGAAACUACUCUAAAGUGAAUUUGAUGAAGUGAAACUGGUUUUGGUGAAUUGAAGCAGUCCUAAACAGGCCCUAAGAAAUGGAUUUAUGUUAGGACUCGAGCCCCAGUCGGAGAGGCUAGUACCUAGCGUGUCCAUUCAAGAGGUUUGGGAUCGAAACCCAAAGCCACCCCUAUUUUUUUUUUUCUUGUUCUGCUAUAUUUGUUAUUCCCUCUCGUUUUGCACUCAGUCAGUUCCUUGGGCCGAUUUCAGCCUUGGGUCGUUACACUACGUUGCAAUUCAGUCCAUGUAUAUUUCUUUCCACCUACAGUUUGCUAUUUGUUUCUUUAGAAAAACCAUUGAUUUUAAAAUGCUUGUACUGUGGUGAAUAACUUGUGUUGAUUCUUGUUUCCGGUUUGCUUCGUCUCGAUAGAGUUCCGUAAGCAUGUCGGAAUGUGAUGAUCCAUUCGACUACAUCGAUUCGUCUGCUUCACGGAGUCGUUCUUCUUCCAAGCGGGAUCAUAGGCANNNNNNNNNNNNNNNNNNNNNNNNNNNNNNNNNNNNNNNNNNNNNNNNNNNNNNNNNNNNNNNNNNNNNNNNNNNNNNNNNNNNNNNNNNNNNNNNNNNNCCGAUGGAGAGACGAGGACUCCCGGUAGGGCUUCGCCAAGCACCGUGGGAGAGGAGGAAGAAGAAGAGCAGGGCUGCGCCGAGAGAGAGAUGGAAUUCGGUAUCUCCAAUGGGCAAACCCCCCGAUAUAUAUCGGGGCAAGGGAGGGUGGCGCCCCCUAGGGUUCCCACCCCUAAGGGGUAGGGCAGCCCUAGAUGGGGGGAGGGGGUGGCGGGGAGGAGGGGUGGCGCACCCCCUGGUGGGCCUUAGGCCCACCUGCGCUAGGGUUCCCCCCUUCCCCUCUUAGGCGCCAUGGGUUGGGUGUGGGGGCGCACCAGCCCACCCAGGGGCUAGUUCCCUCCCACACUUGGCCCAUGUAGCCUCCUGGGGCUGGUGGCCUCUCCCGGUGGNNNNNNNNNNGUGGUUCCGGCAAUUUGCCAGUGGUGCGUGAAACAUUUUCGGCGUCCAAACCCAUCCAUCGUAUAUAUCAAUCUUUAUCUCCGGACUAUUCCGGAGCUCCUCGUGACGUCCGGGAUCUCAUCCGGGACUCCGAACAACCUUCGGUAACCUCGUAUAACAAUUCCCUAUAACCCUAGCAUCAUCAAACCUGAAGUGUGUAGACCCUACGGGUUCGGGAGGCAUGCAUACAUGACCAAGACACCUCUCCAGCCAAUAACCAUCAGCGUGGUCUGGAUACCCAUGGUGGCUCCCACAUGUUCCACGAUGAUCUCGUCGGAUGAACCAUGAUGUCAAGGAUUAAAUCAAUCCCGUAUACGAUUCCCUUUGUCUAUCGGUAUAGAACUUGCCCGAGAUUCGAUCGUCGGUAUCCCAUACCUUGUUCAAUCUCGUUACCGGUAAGUCUCUUUACUCGUUCUGUAGCACAUCAUCCCGUGACUAACUACUUAGUCACAUUGAGCUCAUUAUGAUGAUGUUCUACCGAGUGGGCCCAGAGAUACCUCUCCGUCACACGGAGUGACAAAUCCCUAUCUUGAUUCGUACCGACCCAACACACACUUUCGGAGAUACCCGUAGUGCACCUUUAUAGUCACCCAGUUAUGUUGUGACGUUUGAUACACCCAAAGCACUCCUACUGUAUCUGGGAGUUGAACACUCUCACGGUCGAAGGAAAAGACACUUGACAUUAGAAAAGCUUUAGCAUACGAACAACACGAUCUAGUGCUAUGCUUAGGAUUGGGUCUUGUCCAUCACAUCAUUCUCUUAAUGAUGUGAUCCCAUUAUCAAUGACAUCUAAUGUCAAUGAUCAGGAAACCAUGAUCAUCUAUUGAUCAACGAGCUAGCCAACUAGAGGCUUGCUAGGGACACAUUGUGAUCUAUUUAUUCACACAUGUAUUAUUGUUUCCUGUUAAUACAAUUAUAGCAUGAACAAUUGACGAUUAUCAUGAACAAGGAAAUAUGAUAAUAACUAUUUUAUUAUUGCCUCUAGGGCAUAUUUCCAACAGUAUCCCACUUGCACUAGAGUCAAUAAUCUAGUUACAUUGUGAUGUAUCGAACACCCAUAGCAUUGUGGUGUUGAUCAUGUUUUGCUCGAGAGAGAGGUUUCCUCAACGGGUCUGCAAUGUUCAGAUCCGUGUGUACUUUACAAAUAUCUUUUACUCCUCUCUGGACCUGGUCCUGGAUGGAGUUGUAGCAGCGUUGGAUGUGCUUCGUCUUGCGGUGAAAUCUGGGCUCCUUGGCUAUGGCAAUGACUCCAGUGUUAUCACAGAAGAGUGUCAUCGGACCUGACGCGCUUGGAACCACUCCAAGGUUGGUGAUGAACUCCUUCAUCCAGAUCCCUUCAUGAGCUGCUUCCAAAGCAGCUAUGUACUCCGCUUCACAUGUAGAUGCUGCCACGACGUCUUGCUUGCUGCUGCACCAGCUCACUGCCCCACCAUUCAAAACAUACACGUAUCCGGUUUGUGACUUAGAGUCAUCCGACUCUGUGUCUAAGCUAGCGUCGGCGUAACCCUUUAAGACGAGCUCUUCGUCACCUCCAUAAACGAGAAACAUCUCCUUAGUCCUUUUCAGGUACUUAAGGAUAUUCUUGACCGCUGUCUAGUGUUCCAUACCGGUAUCACUUUGGUACCUCCCUACAAACUUAUGGCAAGGUGGUACACAACAUGGCAUACAUUAGAGAGCCCACGGCUGAAGCGUAGGGGACAGUACUCAUCUUCUCUCUAUCUGCUGUCGUGGUCGGUGACUGAGUCUUACUCAAUCUCAUACCUUGCAAAACUGGCAAGAACCCCUUCUUUGAGUUUUCCAUAUUGAACUUCUUAAAUAUCUUGUCAAGAUAUGUACUUUGUGAAAGACCUAUGAGGCGUCUCGAUUUAUCUCUAUAGAUCUUGAUGUCUAAUAUGUAUGCAGCUUCUCCAAGGUCCUUCAUUGAAAAACUCUUGUUCAAGUAGGCCUUUAUGCUCUCCAAUAACUCUAUAUUAUUCCCCAACAAUAGUAUGUCAUCCACAUACAGUAUGAGGAAAGCUACAGGGCUCCCACUCACUUUCUUGUACAGAUAGGCUUCUCCAUAAACCUGUAUGAAUCCAAACGCUUUAAUCACCUCAUUAAAGUGACUGUUCCAACUCCGAGAUGCUUGCACUAGCCCAUAGAUGGAGCGCUGGACCUUGCAUACCUUGUUAGCACUCUUAGGAUCGACAAAACCUUCUGGUUGCAUCAUAUACAACUCUUCCUUAAGGUACCCGUUAAGGAACGCUGUUUUGACGUCCAUUUGCCAAAUUUCAUAAUCAUGAAAAGCAGCAAUUGCUAACAUGAUUCAGACUGACUUUAGCUUCGCUACGGGAGAGAAAGUCUCAUCGUAGUCAACUCCUUGAAUUUGUCGAAAACCCUUUGCGACAAGUCGAGCUUUGUAAACGGUCACAUUACCGUUUGCGUCAGUCUUCCUCUUGAAGAUCCAUUUAUUUUCUAUGGCUCGCCGAUCAUCGGGAAAGUCCACCAAAGUCCAUACUUUGUUCUCAUACAUGGAUCCUAUCUCGGAUUUCAUAGCCUCAAGCCAUUUGUUGGAAUCCGGGCCCGCCAUUGCUUCUUCAUAGUUCGAAGGUUCACCGUUGUCUAACAACAUGAUUUCCAUCACAGGGUUGCCGUACUACUCUGGUGCGGAACGUACCCUUCUGGACCUUCGCGGUUCAGUAGCAACUUGAUCCGAAGCUUCAUGAUCAUCAUCAUUAACUUCCUCUUUAGUUGGCGUAGGCGCCACAGGAACAAUUUCCCGCGUUGCACUACUCUCUGAUUCGAGAGGGGGUACAAUUACCUCAUCAAGUUCUACUUUCCUCCCACUUACUUCUUUCGAGAGAAACUCUUUCUCUAGAAAGGAUCCGUUCUUGGCAACAAAGGUUUUACCUUCGGAUCUAAGAUAGAAGGUAUACCCAUAGUUUCCUGGAGGUAUCCUAUGAAUACACAUUUCUUCGCUUUGGGUUCGAGCUUUUCUGGUUGAAGUUUCUUCACAUAAGCAUCGCAGCCCCAAACUUUAAGAAACGACACCUUAGGUUUCUUGCCAAACCAUAGUUCAUACGGUGUCGUCUCUACGGAUUUAGACCGUGCCCUAUUUAAAGUGAAUGCUGCAGUUUCCAAUGUGUAUCCCCAAAAUGAUAGCGGUAAGUCGGUAAGACACAUCAUAGAUCGUGCCAUAUCUAAUAAAGUGUGAUUACGACGUCCAGACACUCCGUUACGUUGCGGUGUGCCAGGCGGCAUCAGUUGUGAAACAAUUCCACAUUUCCUUAGGUGUGUGCCAAACUCGUGACUCAAAUAUUCUCCUCCACGAUCAGAUCGUAGACACUUUAUUUUUCUGUCACAUUGAUUCUCAACCUCACUCUGAAAUUCCAUGAACUUUUCAAACGUUUCAGAUUUGUGCUUCAUCAAGUAGAUAUACCCAUGCCUACUCAAAUCAUCGGUGAGAGUGGGAACAUAACGAUAGCCACCGCGAGCUUCAACGUUCAUUGGAC